AGUCUAAUAUUGUGAAACUGACCAAGCCGGUGGCGCUGUGGACCCAGCAGGAUGUGUGCAAGUGGCUGAAGAAACACUGCCCUAAUCAGUAUCAAAUCUACAGUGAGUCAUUCAAACAGCAUGACAUAACUGGUAAAGUAUGAAAUAUAAAGACCUAUUUCACUUGAGUGUGUAUUGCUUGUUUCGAUUUCUCUUGUUUUGCGAGGGGGCAGCAUCCGAUAAAACUCGUGCUUCAUUUUUUCGCCCGGUGCUGAGCGGUGGGGAGGCCGGGAGGGAAUCGGCAGCAUUCCCAGCUAUGUUAUCUGAAGGAGCAAUCCGCAGAAAAUAUACAGUGAGGGAGCCUUGCCGUGAUAAAGGAUUGUGGUUUCUAAUCUAUAUCUUUUUUGACACAUGCCCACCUUAGGGGCCUGGCUUAAGGCUGAAAGGGCAUAAAUGAAACAAACCGAUUCUGCUCCAUUAAGACUUUAGAAUACAAGAAGCAUAGCUUCAUAUGAGGAGCCCAGUGGAAGAACACAGGCUUUCUAUAUAGAUGCUGCCAACCAAGCCUGAUGUGUCUGGAGGUCAGGAUAUGAGCUUUGAGAGCUCAUUGCUCUCUCUUCAAAGAAGAGGCAGACAUGGAGAAUCUAAAUUCAGCUCAGAUUAAAAUCAGAGCCAGAGGGGGAAAUUCCCCUCCCAGCCACCCAUCGUCUCCAGCACCAGGCCUGGGGGUGUGCCAGAAGUGUGUUGCAUGCUGCGCCCACAGGACACACCAAGGGCGACACAGCCCCCCAUGCCAGCUGAUCAGUGCAGCAUAUGUCCCCCUCCGCUCAUCAAAUGAUCUAAUAAUCAGGGAGGACUCCAUAUGCAUCCCCAACUGGGUACUGGUCUUUGACCACCCCAGAAACACAGCAAGUUUUCUUUGCUGUUUGCCACCAUGGCACAGAUUGGUAGGGGUGAGGGUCAGUGGCUGAAAAAGAAUUGCUUGGGAAUCCAGAUCACGGUUCUGAACUAUAAGUUAGCUGCUCUGAGUUUAAGCCACACUUGGAUUAGUUAGUUCUGCCUGUGGCCCUGGUGUUGCUAUCAGACCACGGGUAGACAAACUAAGGCCUCGGGGCUGGAUCCGGCCCAAUCGCCUUCUAAAUCUGGCCCGCGGAUGGUCCAGGAAUCAGCUUGUUUUUACAUGAGUAAAAUGUGUGCUUUUAUUUAAAAUGCAUCUCUGGGUUAUUUGUGGGGCUUGCCUGGUGUUUUUACAUGAGUAGAAUGUGUGCUUUUAUUUAAAAUUAAUCUCUGGGUUAUUUGUGGGGCGUAGGAAUUCGUUCAUUCCCCCCCCCAAAAAAAAUAAUCCGGCCCCCCACAAGGUCUGAGGGGCAGUGGACCGGCCCCCUGCUGGAAAAGUUUGCUGACCCCUGCUAUCAGACUUUGCUAUCAGACUCAAGGGGGAAACCAAUAUAAAAACAACACUGAACUGAACCUCUCCUUGCUAAUUUUAUUUUGUUUUGCCCUCUUGCAUUAUUUCAAGUUGUGCAAAAGUAUUGCACGGCAAUAUUGCAGGAAGUAAAAAGAAUUUAAUAUUCUUGUCAAGUGAAAGCCUACCUGAAGGAGCCUCUCCACCCCACUGUUCAGCCCAGAUUCCUGCAUUUGCAAGGGACUGGAUUUGAUGACCCUCGUGGCCCCUUCCCAACCUUCAACUCUAUGUAGCUUCUGCCCCUUUUAAGAUCUCUGGGGCAGGGUGGCAUUCAUCCUCCACCAGGCUCACUUCUCGGUGGCGGCUGGCAUGGAAGAGGCGAUUGCUAGGCGAGUACAUUCCUAAACGGUGUCGCAACGAAGCAGCUGAGGUACCAUGAGAUAUAAAAUGAGGAUAGACUCCUGCUGGGCCCACCUGCAAGUGAGGUUGCCCAUUGCAUUUUUGCAUGGUUCUCCAGCUUUCACUGGGAAAUCUUAACUGCUUCUGCUCGUUGGAUAGGACUGGAUAAUUUUUUUGGGGGGAGGGGUGAAAGUGGCCUUGCUAUUUAUUUAUUUUUAAUUUUUUUAUUAACAAUUUCAACACAUAACAAAAUAUCAAAACAUAUCAUCUUCAUUAUUUCCCCCCUUCCCCCACCUCCCCAACAAACCCUUCCCCCUCCCAAAGACUUCCCUCAGCUCCUCUCUCUGAUUUCUCAACACAUACUGUUCUCUGCAUACUGUAAAAUUGUAUAAAUCCUUAUAUUAUCUAUCUACUAUAUUAACCAUCAGUAGAUUUGUGUAUGUUUAUUCAAAACCUGCCAAGGAGUCCAGUUCAUUUUGUUGUCUUUUUAGAUAAUUUGUAAAAAGUUCCCACUCUUCUUUGAAGUCACAGUUGUCCUUAUCUCGCAGUUUGUAUGUCAGUUUAGCCAGUUCUGCGUAGUUCAUCAAUUUCUCUUGCAUCAGGACUGGAUCAUUUAAUCAUGCAGAAUUGUAGUGCCUUUGGGUAUUCUGUCUGCUGCAUCUCUGGAUGAUUCCCUGCACUGCCUGCUUCCAAACAGGACACACCCAGAACAAUAGGAGGGAAUGCAGUUUAGUGGUAGAGCCCUGCUUGAAUGCAAAAGGACCCAGACUCAUUCCCCCAUUUCCAGUUAACAGGGCCAAGUAGCCAAAGAAUGAAUUACCUCUGCCUGAGACUCUGCCAGUCAGAGUAGACAACACUGCAUUAGAUGAACAAAUUGCCUGACCUAGAAUACGACAGUUUUCUGUGUUCUUAACAACUCAAGCAGAUGCAUGUGGGCUGCUCUCUGGGCAGGUAAUUCUAACUCUUUCACCAUCUACCUGAGAGCAGGAGCCCUGUUAUUUUAGGCACGUCUUCUCCAAAAUUUGUGGGAUUUUUUUUUUUAAAAAAAACAAAAUCUCCAAAGCGAAUAAUUUUAUAAACUCGUGGGGAAGCUGGUGUUAAAUCGGCUAUAUGCCCACUCUGUUGUUACAGAUCAGGAGCAAAACCUAACUGGAAAAUCUGUGUAGGAUUAACAUGUCCUUUUGAAUAAUAUGCCAGACAGGGCUUAUUCCGCCUCCCUCCCCAAUCCGCAGAUUCCAUGUCAUGAGUUCUUAUGGUUCAUCUGCUGUAGAGGGAGGUAGCAAAACCAGCUUACAAAUUUUUAGAUCGAUAAUUUUAAAGCCAUGCAACAGUCUUAAUUUGCAAAAGCAAAAACCCUUGCGUGAUAUUUUUUAAAGCAUUUUAACAGGUGAAUUAAAAACCAGUGCAACAGGUAAAAUAAUAAUAAUAAUGAAUCGCUAACAGUAGCAAGAUAGCAGCAAAUGUCACUUAGCCAUUUAAAAAUGCCUCAAUAAAUAAGCGGGACGCGGGUGGCGCUGUGGGUUAAACCACAGAGCCUAGGGCUUGCCGAUCAGAAGGUCGGCGGUUCGAAUCCCCAUGACGGGGUGAGCUCCCGUUGCUCAGUCCCAGCUCCUGCCAACUCAACAGUUCAAAAGCACGUCAAAGUGCAAGUAGAUAAAUAGGUACCGCUCCAGCGGGAAGGUAAACGCCGUUUCCGUGCACUGCUCUGGUUCGCCAGAAGCGGCUUAGUCAUACUGGCCACAUGACCCAGAAGCUGUACACUGGCUCCCUCAGCCAGUAAAGCGAGAUGAGCGCAGCAACCCCAGAGUCGGCCACGACUGGACCUAAUGGCCAGGGGUCCCUUUGCCUUUACUAAUAAAUAAGCAGGCCUUUGUCUGGUGCCUAAAAGUAAUUAAAUUCAUCACCUGGCACUGCUUUCUGGGGGACACAGCACUGCUGAAAAGCCCUUUCCACAAUCUCCAGGUAUCUCCACCAUCAGAGAUCAGGCUACUGCACGGUUGGAUGCAGCAAUGCUUCUGAAUACCACUUCCUGGAAACCGCAGGAGGGUAGAGUGCUCUUGUGUUCGGAUCCUUCUUGCCCCAUGGUCAGCCACUGUGAGAACAGGAUGCUGGACUAAAUGGGCCAUUGGGCUGAUCCAGCAGGGCUCUCCUUACGUUCUUGUGAGGGAUGAUCUUACCAAUAGGACAGGCUCAUGUGGAAGAUGGUGGUCCUUUUUGGUGUCUGUGUCGCAAUUCGUAGAAGACCCUAAAUCAGGCGUGGGAUACUUGUCACUCCCCUGAGGUUGCUGGACUACAAAGCUGACAUCUUCCCUGACCAACUACCCUGCCAGCUGCCGCUGAUGGAAGUUAGAGUAUGGCAACACCUAGAGGAAGGAAAUCAGCCCUGAGUGCUCACUGGAAGGACAGAUCCUGAAGCUGAGACUCCAAUACUUUGGCCACCUCAUGAGAAGAGAAGACUCCCUGGAAAAGACCCUGAUGUUGGGAGAGAUGGAGGGCACAAGGAGAAGGGGACGACAGAGGAAGAGAUGGUGGGACAGUGUUCUCGAAGCUACCAGCAUGAGUUUGACCAAACUGCAGGAGGCAGUGGAAGACAGGAGUGCCUGGCGUGCUCUGGUCCAUGGGGUCACGAAGAGUCGGACACGACUAAACGACUAAACAACAACAACAACACCUAGAGGGCCACAUGUUUCUCCACUCCUUCAUUACGGUCUUCUACAAAUUCCAUGGUAAUCUGCGCAUUAAGAGAAACCCUCUCAAAAUGCCCAUUUAAAUGAAUGUUCGAAAUGUCUACGCUUCAGAGAACUCUAUAGCAACAUUCCGGGAAGGGCAAACGAUGAAGAUUUGUCUUAAAAUGGCUGUGAAUACACAUCUUGGAACCCAAGCCACGUCUUCCACAUUUGCCUCAAAACUUCUCAAUGGCCGCUUUCUCAGUGAAGUCGGUGCACCAAUUUUAUAUAUGGACUAAGUAGGAGAGAAGGAAUAAAAGCAGGGGUCAGUAGACUUUUUCAGCAGGGGCCCAAUCCACUGUCCCUCAUAGCUUGUGGGGGGCCGGACUAUAUUUUGAAAAAAUAAUAAUGAACGAAUUCCUAUGCCUCACAAAUAACCCAGAGAUGCAUUUUAAAUAAAAGGACACAUUCUACUCAUGUAAAAACACGCUGAUUCCUGGACCAUCCGUGUGCUGGAUUUAGAAGGCGAUUGGGCCGGAUCCUGCCCCCGGGCCUUAUUUUGCCUACCUAUUGAUUAAAGGUUUCUUUCCCUUGCGCCUCGGUCGCAAUGGGCUUCCCAGAAGGAUGCUUUUGAAGACCUGCAGUAACUUUCCAUUCCUCAAGGGGGAGCUUGCGCACAAAUUACUACGCCGUUUUCAAUUUUUGUGUGACUGUAAUGGGAUCCUGCCUGUGAAAAUGGAUUGAAAUUAUUCAGGAGAGCUAUAAUCUGAUACAGCAGAUGCUUUUUUUUAACAGCACAACUAUAAAAACAAUGUUUUGUGUUCCAACCAAGAGACAUGUUUUAUUACAUUUGCCAUUGUAGUUAAGCGUGCGUGCUCAGAUUUUUGGUCACUUCCAGUUCCCGCCACUACCCCUCCCCCAACCCCCCAAAUUUAUUCUUAACUUGUAAUUUAUUUGGCUAGAAAACACUGCUCUGUGUCUAAAAGUUUCUAGCAGGAAGUGAAAAGGUUAAACUUGCCCUCCCUGCUACUCAGGCUGCCCUACCCCACCCCUAAUAUUUAUAUAUGCAUAUUUAAAACAUGCAUUCACACAAUUCUCUGGCUGAUUUAAAAAUUGGCCAUUUUUAUUGUGCACAAAAAAAAGGAAAAAGGAAAAUAGAUUCCAGUUGGAGAAGGCAGGCUGUUUUCUCGGUUAAUCAUCAAUUAUCCCCUCUUUGUUGUGGGAAAGUUGUAGCUUAUAAACAGCUCGUUGAAAAUGUAACAAGAGAGGAAGUAUUGCAGAUGGGGAAUUCGCUAUGAUCUUGCAAAAGCAGAAACCCCACCAUGCAGUUAAAUGAAUCCUUUGCCUUGCUAGCGGAAAGGCAGGCUCAUUUGGAAAAGAAAAGAGCACAUCAAGGGCAAUAUAUUCAACACACUGGAAUAUUUUGCCAUAACUCUUUUCAAGCUCUCCUGCCACCAGGAGGGCUAAAAGCUGCUUGACGAAAGGUGUGAUUUCUCGGAGUUUUAACAAGAACAUAUAACCGUAUAGGAUGAGCACACUUCCCAGUUUUUAAGUUCUGGUGGGGCAAGCAGAUAGCCCAGUGGUGCUUCAGGGAAGAGCCAUAGAUAAUAAUAAUAUAAUAAUAAUUUAUUAUUUAUACCCCGCCCAUCUGGCUGGGCUUCCCCGGCCACUCUGGGCGGCUUCCAAAAGAAUAUUAAAAUACUAUAAUACAUCAAACAUUAAAAGCUUCCCGAAACAGGGCUGCCUUCAGAUGUCUUCUAAAAGUCAGAUAGUUGUUUAUUUCCUUGACAUCUGGUGGGAGGGUGUUCCACAGGGAAGGCGCCACUACCGAGAAGGCCCUCUGCCUGGUUCCCUGUAACUUGGCUUCUCGUAGUGAGGGAACCGCCAGAAGGCCCUCGGUGCUGGACCUCAGUGUCCGGGUAGAAUGAUGGGGGUGGAGACGCUCCUUCAGAUAUACUGGACCAAGGCCGUUUAGGGCUUUAAAGGUCAGCACCAACACUUUGAAUUGUGCUCGGAAACAUACUGGGAGCCAAUGUAGGUCUUUCAAGACCGGUGUUAUGUGGUCUCUGCGGCCGCUCCCAGUCACCAGUCUAGCUGCCACGUUCUGGAUUAGUUGUAGUUUCCGGGUCACCUUCAAAGGUAGCCCCACGUAGAGCGCAUUGCAGUAAUCCAAGCGGGAGAUAACCAGAGCAUGCACCACUCUGGCGAGGCAGUCCGCAGGCAGAUAGGGUCUCAGCCUGCAUACCAGAUGGAGCUGGUAAACAGCUGCCCUGGACACAGAUCACUGGCUAAACAUUGAUUUUUCAUUAUUUAAUUUCUAUACCACGUAAUAUAUUAAAAAUAUAUCCAAGAAGUGCACCAAAAAAACCCAGAAGCAGCAGCAAACAAAUGAAAUAUUACAAAAACACACAAUUGCAUAUAAAAACCCUACAUUCAUACAAAGUUACUAAUAUAUAUAAAUCAAUAGCAAUUCAUUUUCCUUCCGACACACUCAACCUCUCAGCCUCUGGGCUCUCGCCCAGGGUCCAAACAAACUCUCAGCUCACCCACAAAAGUCUCACAAAGAGAAGAGUUCCUGGAAAAGGCAAACAUCACCCUAGUCCAGGGUUCCUCAAACUUGGGUCUCCAGCUGUUGUUGGACUCCAACUCCCAUCAUCCCUAGCUAGCAGGACUAGUGGUCAGGAAUGAUGGGAACUGUAGUCUAAAAACAACUGGAGACCCAAGUUUGGGAAACCCUGCCCUAGUCUUUUACACCAGACUUGCAUUUUAUGGUCAGGCCGAAGGCAGAUGGUCCUUCUUCUGGUUGCCCAUAGCUGUGUCCCGUUCAGUUGCACUCUGCAUACCCAGUUUUGGGUGCAACAGGUUUGUUGAGUUUCCCAUGGGGUCCAGAGGAUGGGAAGAGGGGGACCCUCCACUCACAGCUCUUCCUUCACCCUCUGUCCACUAUUCCUCCUCCAGUUGCUUUGUAACCCAGUAGAAGCCAGCUUCCUAUGUUCCUACAUUGGAGGUCCAGCUCCGAGAGUCUUCUGGCGGUUCCUUCACUGUGAGAAGUGAGGUUACGGGGAACCAGGCAGAGGGCUUUCUCGGUAGUGGCACCCGCCCUGUGGAACGCCCUGCCGCCAGAUGUCAAGGAAAUAAACAACUACAGUGGUACCUCGGGUUACAGACGCUUCAGGUUACAGACACUUCAGGUUAUAGACUCCGCUAACCCAGAAAUAGUACCUCGGGUUAAGAACUUUGCUUCAGCAUGAGAACAGAAAUCAUGUGGCGGUGGCGUGGCGGCAGCAGGAGGCCCCAUUAGCUAAAGUGGUACCUCAGGUUAAAAACAGUUUCAGGUUAAGAACGGACCUCCAGAACGAAUUAAGUUCUUAACCCGAGGUACCACUCUAUCUGACUUUUAGAAGACACCUGAAGGCAGCCCGGUUUAGGGAAGUUUUUAAUGUUUGAUGUUUUAUUGUGUUUUUAAUAUUCUGUUGGAAGUCGCCCAGAGUGGCUGGGGAGACCCAUACAGAUGGGUGGGGUAUGAGUAAUAAAUUAUUAUUGUUGUUGUUGACUUUAACUCAGUUGCAUGUAGGAGCAUCUCCAAUUAGGGUUUGGAAAAGCACCCUUCACCCCUGGAGGCAUACUCCAUUGUCUCUCGAGACAGAUGCUGACAACUGCAAGGCCUUUGGCCAUGCUGGCUGUGGUUGAUGUGACCUGGAGUCCAACCACAUGUGAAGGCUCACCAGUUCCCCAUUUGGGCAGUCAGGUUUAGAGAUUUCCUUAAAAAGUUACCUCAUCAAGGUGAGAAAACACACAUGUUUCAAAACAUGAACCAACAAGCAACUACCUUUUGUAUAUCACUUAAUAAUUUUUAGGAUGUUAAGCAGUCUAUAAUAAAAAAACUAAAAAUAAUAAAAUAAACAAGAACAGCCCAAACAACUUCACUUUUUUCUUCUUCAUCAACUGCCUACCUUUUUUGACUUAAAGUUCUACCUUCUGGAAAGGGCAUCUUUAGAUCCGAAAACCAAAACACGCAAAAGCUCAGCUGUAGGGGAGAUCAGGGGUGUGGGGUGUGGAGAAGUUUUAUUUCCCCCCUCAUGAAAUCUUCAAGGAAGAGACGGGAUUCAGUUUCCAUCUGUCUUGCUCACGCUUUACCUCUCCUGACAUCUGAAAGUCUGCAAACAGCAAACGCUCAGGCACUAUAACUGAUGUGCCCCUGACAACUACCAAUCUAUAUCUGAUAAGAGAAAUGCAACAAAACAAAAAGCAAGUCCUGAAAUACUCCUGGAGAAGCGAAGCUGAAUAAGAAUACAUAUUUUCAUUGGCAAAGAGACUCAGGUCUUCACCGGGAAGGAUGGGCUUUCGAGAGGUAAUAUAAGGGUUUGUUGUAGUAGUAUAUUUAUUGUGGUCCAUGACCUGAAGUAGAGAAGUUGAUGAGCCCCAUCUGCCCCAAAGACCUACUCUGAUGAGAGAGGGGGUUAUCGGUUUUUGGAGGGGGGAUUGCUGGUUUGUUGUUGUUCUUAUUUCUGCUAUGUAUUUUGUGGUUUUUAUAUUGCAAUUUUAUGUUGUGAACCAACCUGAGAGGUGCCGUAUACAAAGGGCGGUAUACAAAUUGAAAAAUAAUAAUAAUAAUAAGUACAGUCCCAUAGCAUUGAGGGCCACAGGUUUCCCCCCCCUCCCUGCUGUACAGGUAGAAAACAAUAUUUUCCAGCAGUAAACCGCCUCCCCCCCUGGUGAAACAUGUCUUUCCUUUUGGCGAAUUCUGUGAAGGACGGGCUGAAACGUCGUGCAAGUUGAAGGAUGUAAGGAGGAAGGGAGAGCACAGAAUCAUCUAGUCCCACCCUCUGCAAUGCAGGAAUCUCAGCUAAAGCAUCCAUGGCAAAUGGCCGUGGUCAAGGAAGCUGAACCUUGCCUUUGUCUGGUUGUGCUUAGCUUAUUUUGUUUAUUUUAUUAUCUUCCAAGGAGCUCAAGGUGCUGUGAGUGGUUCUCCUGCCUCCGCCCCCCCCCAUUUCAUCCUUGCAACAACCCUGCCAUGUAGUAAUAAUAAUAAUAAUUUAUUAUUUGUACCCCGCCCACUCUGGGUGGCUUCCAACAAAGAACAAAAAUACACUAAAAUGUCACACAUUAAAAGCUUCCCUAAACAGAGCUGCCUUCAGAUGUCUUCUAAAAGUUUGGUAGUUAUUUUUCUCUUUGACAUCUGUUGGGAGGGCGUUCCACAGGGCGGGUGCCACUACCGAGAAGGCCCUUCUGCCUGGUUCCCUGUAGCUUUGCUUCUCGCAGUGAGGGAACCGUCAGAAGGCCCUCAGAGCUGGACCUCAGUGUCAGGGCAGAACGAUGGGGGUGGAGACACUCCUUCAGGUAUACUGGGCCAAGGCCGUUUAGGGCUUUAAACACUUUGAAUUGUGCUCGGAAAUGUACUGGGAGCCAAUGUAGGUCUUUCAAGACCAGUGUUAUGUGGUCUCGGCUGAAACGGUGACUGGCCCAAGGUCACCCAGUGAGUGGGGAUUCGAACCCUGCUCUCCCAGGUCAUAGCCCAACCCAAUAACCAUUAUGCCACACACUGGCUUAAUUGACACCCUGGGGAGAUGGGGUGGGUGGGGACACUCAGUUUUUCACUCUUCCUCAUAAUGCUUAGGGCAUGGGUAGGCAAACUAAGGCCCGGGGGCCGGAUCCGGCCCAAUCGCCUUCUAAAUUCGGCCUGCGGACGGUCCAGGAAUCAGAGUGUUUUUACAUGAAUAGAAUGUGUCCUUUUAUUUAAAAUGCAUCUCUGAGUGAUUUUGGGGGCAUAGGAAUUCAUUGAUUUAUUUGUUUUUCAAAAUAUAGUCUGGCCCCCCACAAGGCCUGCGGGACAGUGGACCAGCCCCCUGCUGAAAAAGUUUUCUGACCCCUGGCUUAGGGCCAUUUAGUCCAGGAGAACAGUGGGAGAUUGAGUACAGUCAUACCUUGGGUUACAGCCGCUUCAGGUUGCAUUUUUUCAGGUUACGGACCGCUGAAACCCGGAAGUACUGGAAUGGGUUACUUCCGGGUUUUGGCAGUUGCACAGAAGCACUAAAUCACACUUUGUGCAUGCUCAGAAGCGCCAAAUCACAACCUGCAUGCAUCCCACAUGGAUCAUGUUCGCAACCCGAGCGUCCACUGUAUAGGAAAAUCUGACGUGCUUCAUCACACAGUGCCUGGUUAAACUAUGAAAUUAGAUUUCGCAAGAAGCAGUGAGUCAGCACAUCAUGCCAAGUUCUUUGGGGCACUAGAAUGUAUUAGUGUAUCAGCACUUUUCAUUAUUCCCCGCCCUUGUUAAAUUUAAGCAAUGCAAGGGAUGUAUUGCCUAUAAUAUUUUAUAAGUAUUCCAAUGAAAACGUUUGUGUAAUGCAAUAUUUAAAGCACAAAGAAGUGUAUGUGCUUUAGUUUUCCCCACACUUAGGUGUUUCCCAAGCAAUAACAGACUUCCUCAGGAGUUUGUGGGCUCUCCUUUGUUAGUGGCUUUCAAGCAGAGGUUGGAUGGCCAUCUGUCAUGGAUGCAUCAGCGGGUUGGUCUAGAUGACCCUCAGGGUCCCUUCUGACUCUAUAAAUCUGUGGUUCUAUGUGCUCCUUAUAGCACCUACAUAAGCUCCACAUAUCCCAUCUAGAACAAAACUGCCUCUCUCUGGAGAAAAAUAUUUGCGUAUGCAUUAUGUAAUGUCUCUGCUAAGCAACUUCUAUUACUUAUUACUGCUCGCUUUUCUACUGCUGACUUGCAAAAAUUGUUAGGCAGUGUGCUGGAACGGUACAAUCACCCAUCUAGCAAAAAGCAAAAUGCAGUAAACUACAGUUAAAUUGCCCUUUUUUUCUUUUCCUUUUUGCUUUUAACAGAAAGAAAGAAAGAAAAGCUCUCUAGUGCACAAAUAGCGUUUUAUACCUUGGAAAUUUCUCAGAAGGGUUAUGCAGAACUUUCCAAUCUGAGCUGGCUUAUUUGUUCAAACCUGUAGUUAAGGCCUCUUGCAUGGGAGAGGAACGAGAUGAUGCUGAUAGCAUCGUGCUUUAAGCAGGCACUGAAGGACUUUCCUCAAGACAGUAAAUUGCAAUUAAUUCCCCAAGAGUUGCUAGAGGUACCAGGGUGUGGGUGGCAAGGCUGCCAGGGUUGGAUUCACACAGCGAUUUCUUGGAUCUGCUCCAGGGCUCAGGGCAACAGGAAAGCUGAUCCAGCAACAUCGGCGUGGGCAGAUCCCAGCAUGGUUGUUGUUUAGUGGUGCACCAGCUCAGUCAGGCUGAGACACUGCCAAGAGAGCAGCAGCCGUCUCUAAAGUCAAAUGGAGAUCAGGAAUCAGGGACUUGGGCCAAGGCCAGGGGAAACUGGACAAUAAAAUAACAUGCAGGAUAAAAGAGGGGUGAGAAAUGUAGAAGGGCACCAUCUCACAGUCAUUCCACCUGCAGGCAGGUUCAGUAGGGGCAAGCCAGGGUGGGAACAGGGUAAGCGGGCACUCUAUGGGCAAGCGAUGCUCAGAUUACUGGGAAAGCCCAGCCAUCUCAGCGACUGUGUUUAGAACAUCAUAGAGCAGGGGUCCCCAAACUAAGGCACACGGGCCAGUUAAGGCCCGAGGGACUCGUUUAUCGGGCCCACAACGGUCUCUGCUGCCGCCGCCCACUCUUACCGGCACUGCACUGCUCUGCUGCCCGCUUCUGGGUCAGAGGAGCACCGGAAAUAGCGUGUGUGCAUGCGUAUGGGCACGCACUCCCCUGCCCUCCGGCCCACCGCACGAUCGGCGCUGGAGACACUGGACCAAGGCGUUGUAAGUUUGCCGACCCCUGCCAUAGAGGCUAUGAUUUGAUAGGAUGGGAGCUUUCAUUAAGGGGUGACAACCCUUUAAUUUAGGGACCCUCUUCCUCCCUGCCUCCAGCUCGGUAAUUCAAGCACUGAGUAGGGAACAGGCUAAUAGGCUAGGUGGGAUACGGAAGAUAUGCAGGUUCAGAGAUGGUAGAAGCAAAGCAAGUCAUGGAAUGCUCAUUCAUUCAUUCAUUCCAUUUGUAUUCCUUGUUUCCUCCAAGGAGCUCGAACUGGCAUACACGAUUUCUACCUUCCUUUUGUUAUCUUGACAACAACCCUGUAGCUCAGUUGGUAGAGCAUGAGACUCUUGAUCUCAGAGUCAUGGGUCCAAGCCCAAUGUUGGGUGAAAGAUUCCUGGAUUGCAGAGGGUGACCUGCAUGGUCCUUUCCAACUCUACAGUUCUAUGAUUCUAUGAACCCUGGUCUCCGAGAUCCUAGUCCAAAAUGCUCCUGCCAGCAGUCUCUUCCUCCUUGCUUUUAUAGGGGCUGCUGGGAGCAGGACCCACAGAGCAAACUCGGAAGCUGAAGAGGGCUCAAAUCAGUCUGCUUACGAUUUGAGCAGGGCAGUGCUCAAACAGAACAAUUCCUAGCUAGAGGCUGAGUUUACUGGUCAAACACCCCUAAACCCCAAUAGCAAAGUGACAGCAGCCUUACCUCUGUAUUUUCUGCCAUGAAAUAGUUAGUUGCUAAAGCGGUGUUUUAUUUUGUAUUUAUUGAGACCCAACAGUGUUUCUCUAUGAGUUUGAGUACGCAAAGCAUCUAUAGCUGUUGAUCUUAGAUUGGAUCAAAUUCCCAAAGGUCGGGUAUCUGAAGUUUCGCUGGAGGUAAAUUAAAUUCUGCCAAUGCAAUUUUCCUCUCUAGGAAGAUGUUUGUAGUGAUCGAAAACUACCCCAUGUUGCUAUACGGGUUGAAGAAUUGACUAAGCAAUAAAGUUGAGGUUAAUAAUCCAUCCCUUUCUGUUCAUCGCAUUUUCAUUCUUCCUGUAGAACCAAGUCUUAGCAGUUGAAAGUAAUAUUAAAGGAUGCUAAGGAGUUUGAGUUAAUGUACUGCAUGGCUCAACCUUUAAAUUCACUACAGUUUGCCAAGUUUGCAACCAUCUCUGCCCUGGUCAUGUCCAGGUUUGACUACUGCAAUGUUCUCUACUUGGGGCUGCCUUUAAAAGUAGCUUGGACUUGCUAGCUGGUCUAGAAUUUGGCCACUGGAGUUUUGAUAGGGGUGAGGGAAUCAGCUUCCAUAACACCACAACUAUACCAGUGGCACUGGCUCCUGGUCCAUUUCUGAGAUGAUUUUAACAUUUAAAGCCUUAAAUUGAUAUUCAGUAAACUUUUAGUGUUCAGACUGCCUUUAGUGGCUACUGCCCAGCAAUGUGGGCCCAGAAAUAGUUUAAAUAAAUAAAAGAACACUGUAAACGAAUGCGUUUUCCAAAGGGCACAAAGUAGGAUGUAAAAAUUGCGCUCCGGAAGUGGAUGCAUUUAUGAUUCCCAGUUCCCGUGUAAAAUACAGUGGUACCUCAGGUUACAUACGCUUCAGGUUACAGACUCUGCUAACCCAGAAAUAAUGGUUAAGAACUUUGCUUCAGGAUGAGAACAGAAAUCGUGCUCUGGCGGCGUGGCGGCAGCAGGAGGCCCCAUUAGCUAAAGUGGUGCUUCAGGUUAAGAACAGUUUCAGGUUAAGAACGGACCUCCGGAACGAAUUAAGUACUUCACCCGAGGUACCACUGUAUAGCCCUCUUCAUGCAUUGCUCAUAAGUGUGGUGUUAGGGGAUGUGGAGCUGCACAUUUAACCCUGUCCCCAAGUUCUGCAUUGGGCACAAAACAUCUGUAUGAAGUGUAGAAGUGAAGAUGAUCAUGGCAACAGGGCAAACAGUGGAUGUGGCAUCGGGGCGGAGCUAAACCACCCCCAUUGUUCUGCCCAGACACCGAGGUCUAGCGUUGAGGGUCUUCUGGCGGUUCCCGCACUGCAAGAAGAAGAAGAAGAAGAAGAGUUUGGAUUUGAUAUCCCACUUUAUCACUACCCGAAGGAGUCUCAAAGCGGCUAACAUUCUCCUUUCCCUUCCUCCCCCACAACAAGAAGCCAAGUUACAGGGAACCAAGCAGAGGGCCUUCUCGGUAAUGGCACCCGCCCUGUGGAACGCCCUCCCACCAGAUGUCAAAGAGAAAAACAACUACCAGACUUUUAGAAGGUAUCUGAAAGCAGCCCUCUUUAGGGAAGCUUUUAAUGUUUAACAGACUACUGUAUUUUAAUACUUUGUUGGAAACCGCCCAGAGUGGCUGGGGAAACCCAGCCAGAUGGGCGGGGUAUAAAUAAUAAAUUAUUAUUAUAUUUUAUUAUUAUAAACGCAUGACGCCACAGAGUCUGCCACCACCUUUGCCCUCAUCAUGCAAGUAACGUGUGAAGGGUUCUUAUGAGUUGGCGGUUUCUGGAAGCUCAUCAGUGCCUGUCCGUAAACCAAAAAGUGUGUAGAUUUUUCGGUUCAGCUUGACUGGCAUUUAUUUGAGAGUUUGAUUCUCCUUGAUCUUAGUUGCUAUCUCUGUAAUCAUCAUCUGAGGCCUUUUUCGUGUGCCUCCUCCUCCAGAGGUCCGGAGGGUGGCAACACGACAACGGGCCUUUUCUGCAGUGGCCCCCUGUUUUUGGAAUGCUCUCCCCAGGGUGGCUCACCUGGGGCCUUCAUUAUACACCUUUGGGAGCUAGGCAAAAGUAUUUCUCUUCAAACCAAUUUCCCACUAAGAAAAAAAGUUGCCACAUAUUGCAUUCUUCAGAAAUUUGUCCAGGGGAACAUCAGACUAGGUGGACCAGUGGCCUCAUCCAGCAGGACCCUUCCUCUUUGCUGUAUCCUAGUUUUUAAUGCCCAUGGGAUAUUUUAUACAUGGGAUAUCCAGUAUGCAACAGUUUUCCUCUACUGGUUGUCAUAAGUUAUUUCAAGAGGAGAAAUGAGGCUGCCUUCACCCCAGUACUCCCCUAUUUACUCCCUGAUUAAUAGAUCUCUCUCUUGGAUGUCCCCAUUUAAGAAUCGCUGGUUCCAUUACAAUGAAAUGCCUGAAUUUUCAUUAAGAAAGUAAAAAAAAAAACUCAACAAGAAAGUGAGAGAUCAUGAGUUGAUACCAGAAGGAUGAGACUGAUUAAUGUGCAUUAAGAAGAGAGGUGCGAUGACUGUCGACCUGUGUCUGGUACAAAGUGUACAAACACUCCUUAAAAUAACUUAAUUAAAAUCGUAAAUGUUCUUAAGCAGGUGUUUACGCAGCAAGACUGCAAUGUUUGAGAAUUCCAAGAUUUCACCUCAGAUGGUGAUUUGACCAGUAGGCACAUUCUUCUACCUUUCUACUCGUCACCAAGUUGUUGUGACACAUCAACAGUGAUCAUAUAUUUGGAGCUGCUGUUUUUUUGUUUUGAAAAACAUCCACUGACUUCUUUGGAAGGCAUAUGGCUGGCUUGAGACAGCAUAAAAAGAGACCCCUGUUUUCAAGAUCCCACUCUAAGGCAGGUUUUCUAUCUGACCCUGAAAAUCAAUGGGGCCACCAUCUUUCUUUGAAAUCUUUAUUGGCUGUUUUCAUUACAUGGUAAAACGAACAAAAGAUCCAUUUUUGCUUUGUACUAGAACUCAGUGUUGGGCCUCAGCUAUAUUCAUGCAAAUAAACUUUGUUAAAAACAACAACAGCGGCGACAGCACUGGGGUUGGGAUGAAAAAGCCCAAUUAGAACAGAAAAGCAACUCCCAGUUUUAGCCCUCUCAAUCUGACUUUUAUAUACAGUGAGGGGGGAAAGUAUUUGAUCCCCUGCUAAAUUUGCCCGUUUGCCCUCCGACGAAGAAUUGGCCAGUCCAUAAUUUUAAUGGUAGGUUUAUUGUAGCUGUGAGAGGCAGAAUAACAACAGGAAAACCCCCAGAAACCCCUCAGACCUUGUGGGGGGGCAGACUAUAAUUUGGGGGGGGGGGGAAUGAACGAAUCCCUAUGCCCCACAAAUAACCCAGAGAUGCAUUUUAAAUAAAAGAGCACAUUCUACUCAUGUAAACACACGCUGAUUCCCGGACCAUUCACGGGCCGGACUUAGAAGGCGAUUGGGCCAGAUCCGGCCCGCCGGCCUUAGUUUGCCUACCCAUGCUCUAGUUAGUUGUUUCUAAGCAGCCUUUUCUAGUCUGGAGUAAAAUAACUGCCCCACCCUUAUUCCUGUGCUUACAGUCAUUAGCGCAGAGCAGGAUCCUCACUUAACUUCACACACAGACUUGAACGGAAAAGAGCGUGGAGGAAGCUGAUAAUUCAUGAACUGUAUGUCCCCAAAGGCUGGAUAAAAUGGUGCUAAUGAGCAAUUAGUCAGUGCUAAGUGAUUUUGAAUAUGUGUCCUUAAAAAAGACACAUAUUUUCUAGACCUCCUGACCAGCGACUGGUUCUGCUUAAGGACCGUACUGAGGAGGAGGUAGAAGAAGAAGAGAUGGAGAGCAAUGAGGCAAAGUUCCAUCUCCCAGGUGAACUCUGCUCAGUCUGUCAUGCCCUCCUCUCCAAAUGAUCACAUGGUCCUCGGUUGGUAAUGAACAGGGGGUACUCGGAGAGGAAUGGAUUUGGCCCCCAGGCUGCCAAUUGUUGUUUAGUCAUUUAGUCGUGUCCGACUCUUUGUGACCCCAUGGACCAGAGCACGCCAGGCACUCCUGUCUUCCACUGCCUCCUGUAGUUUGGUCAAACUCAUGCUGGUAGCUUUGAGAACACUGUCCAACCAUCUCGUCCUCUGUCGUCCCCUUCUUCUUGUGCCUUCCAUAUUCCCCAACAUCAGGGACUUUUCCAGGGAGUCUUCUCUUCUCAUGAGGUGGCCAAAGUAUUGGAGCCUCAGCUUCAGGAUCUGUCCUUCCAGUGAGCACUCAGGGCUGAUUUCCUUCAGAAUGGAUAGGUUUGAUCUUCUUGCAGUCCAUGGGACUCUCAAGAGUCUCCUCCAGUACCAUAAUUCAAAAGCAUCCAUUCUUUGGCAAUCAGCCUUCUUUAUGGUCCAGCUCUCACUUCCAUACCUCACUAAUGGGAAAACCAUAGCUUUAACUAUACGGACUUUUGUCGGCAAGGUGAUGUCUCUGCUUUUUAAGAUGCCAAUUGUAGACUUCUAUUGUAGACCACCAGAGGACGAGAUGGUUGGACAGUGUUCUCGAAGCUACCAGCAUGAGUUUGACCAAACUGCGGGAGGCAGUGGAAGACAGGAGUGCCUGGUGUGCUCUGGUCCAUGGGGUCACGAAGAGUCGGACACGACUAAACGACUAAACAACAACAAUUGUAGACCACAGGGACAUUCAGUUAGUUUUGGUGUUACAGUGGUACCUCGGGUUACAGACGCUUAAGGUUACAGACGCUUCAGGUUACAGACUCCAUUAACCCAGAAAUAUUACAUCGGGUUAAGAACUUUGCUUCGGGAUGAGAACAGAAAUGGUGCGGCGGCGGUGGGAGGCCCCAUUAGCUAAAGUGGUACCUCAGGUUAAGAACAGUUUCAGGUUAAGAACGGACCUCCAGAACGAAUUACGUUCUUUAACCCGAGGUACCACUGUAUUCCCCAAGCUCGUGAGCAGAUGGGGCUCAUCAGCUUGGGAAGGUAGCCCAUCUAGGAGAAGGAAAACACUGAUUCUAAACCUCUGCUGCCUUGUGGGAUAUCUUCAGAAGAAGAAAAGGCUCAGGAGAAAAUCAUAUACAAAUGGAGUCCUUAAGGACAGUUGGAUGGCGCCUUGUACGCCUCCUUCUGGCAACUUCUGCAGCUAAGCUGGUGCCAAACAUAUUGCUCUGCUUUCCUUUGGACCACAUCAGUGAGGCCAAGAGAAGGGUGUCUGGGCAGCCUAGAUCCUGGAUCCAAGGCUUGUGCCUCAGGGAGGUAACUGAAUUUAACCCUGUAGUGUGUGUCAUAGACUCACCGAAUCAUAGAAUUGUACAGUUGGAAGGGACCCCAAGGGUCAUCUAGUCCAACCCCCUGCAAUGCAGGGAUCACAACAUUUUGAAUCUGAAGCAAAAGCCUUGAGUCGGGUCGGGGAGCUCAGAUGCUCUGCUGCUUCCUCAGAGAGCCCAUGAAGUGUUUAAAUCACAAUGGUUUUAGAUUUGUUCGAUCCUGCGGAGUGUUAAAAGGUACCCUCAUUGCAUUCCGUUAUUGACAAAUUUUAGCAAAUUAAGGUAUCAUAAAUAAUUGGUUUUUAUGAAAAAGAUGUCACUUUUGGUUUUCAGUUUUAUUGUAUGUACCAAAAUAGAGUAUUUCUGGCUCGGAAGACAUUGGGAUGAACUACCUUCUGCAUCAUAUUAUUAUUGGGUUUUUGCAUAUUUGUGGCUUGCCUCUCUUUUUUCUUCCUUUCAAAUUUUCACAAACCAUUUGGCAAGUUCACCAUACACAAAAAAAAGCCCAUUUAAUUAUUUUUCUAAUUUCAUUACCAUUGACAGGCUGCCUUAAAUUGUUUAUACAUAAUACGGGAUUAACAAUGUGCAAUUAAGAAUAUCUCUGAACACCCCUAAGAAUACCUAACUGCCUUAGGGUAGAUUAAUGUGUGUUUGUGAACAGAGACUAGGACAGGAAGCUGUUUUGUUGAUGCAGAGUCGAAACUUUACAGAAGGCUUCGUAAUUACAAUUGUGAAAACUUAAUAAGCCGUUUAUAUUUUUUAAUAAAAUUCACAGGCUGAUUGAAGCCCAAUUUACCAGCUGCGGCCUAGCAUCUUCCAUAUUUAUGCAAAUGAAGUAUGAACAGAUGAGUUAGCUUACUUACAUUUAACUAGCAUGUGGAAGUUUUUCUUGCUUGUUGACUCACAAUAGGCCUGCAGUGUGGUUGAUAGUGCUAAAUGGGGAUGACGGUCCUGUCUGAGGGGCCAUCAAGGAACCCCACUGUUAAGAUAAUGGCAGUGUGGCUUUCCAAGUCACCUGCGCUUGAGAAGGUGAAGGGAGUAAAUUUGAUGGGAUCAUAUGCGGUGGGGGCUGUUCCUCUGCAGAGCGGAUUUCAUUUCUUCUUAACCUAUAGUAAUGCUGCUUUUAAUUUUCCAUUUCUAUUAGUAUCAAUUAUUUAACCUCAUGAAUAUUAACAGGCAACCUCAAUUUAGUAUUUUUAAUUCUGUUUAGUAAAUUAAAAAAGAAAACGCAGGACCUGUGGAGAAAUUGCUUUCUGAGGUUCUGCUGCCUGACAGUGGUGUAGCCAGGUUAUUUUAGAUUCUGGAUGCAAUGGUCUUAACUCCACUCUGUCACACCUCCUAGAACUGUAGAGUUGGAAGGGACCCUAAGUGUCAAUCUAAUCCAACCCCCUUCGAUUCUGGAAUCCUGCCCGCUGCCGUCCCCGGGUGGGCUCAGACCACCAACCCUCUGGUUAACAGCCAAACACGCUGACCCAUUGUUCCUCCGGGGUCUUAUCUGCAUAAUGGGACGCAGGUGGUGCUGUGGUCUAAAUCAUUGAGCCUCUUGCACUUGCCGAUUGGAAGGUCGGCGGUUCAAAUCCCCACGACAGGGUGAGCUCCCAUUGCUCUGUCCCAGCUCCUGCCAACCUAGCAGUUCGAAAGCACACCACUGCAAGUAGAUAAAUAGGUACCACUGUGGUGGGAAGGUAAAGAGCAUUUCCGUGCACUCUGGUUUCUGUCACGGUGUCCGGUUGUGCCAGAAGCGGUUUAGUCAUGUUGGCCGCAUGACCUGGAAAGCUGUCUGUGGACAAACACCUGCUCCCUCGGCCUGAAGCAAGAUGAGCACUGCAACCCCAUAGUCACCUUUGACUGGACUUAACCAUCCAGGGGUCCUUUACCUUUACCUUUUUACCUAUCUGUAUAAUAGAAGCGUAGAAUCCUAUUCUUUAGAUGACAGUGGGUAUUGCUAUACAGAUUUCAAAAUGUAGUCCUCCAGCCCUGUUUGGGAGCCCUCGUGGUCAUUCUGCCAUGUGGGACCCUGGGCAUUUGUCCUGCUGGCCACACCGUUUCUUGAACACUAAAUUCUGCAAACGAGAGUGAGAAUUCUAGCUGAUGGAAGCGCUUCAAUCCCAGUAACAAAGUGUCAAGGUAACAAGUGAGGUUAGGCAGCUAUGUGAGUUCAGCAGUGGGGGGGGGAAGGGGCCGUGCCAGACUACGCUGCCUUCUUCUGAUGCAAUCAACCCCAAACUCCAAAGUAAAUUGCCACAAUAAGCAACAAUAACAGGUGUGUGAGUGGAAAGGCAGCAGCGGUGUGUGGGGACUAUCCAGAAUGUCACAUACACAACUGUAUUCUUGCUGACACCUGCGUGUUCUUGGUGGAACGAGCUCCUGGCACACAAGGAACAAGUUUGUUCCCUUGAGGCUAAGUUAGCUGUUGCAGAGAACCUGAGAGAGUCGGACACAUUUGGGGAUGCAAUAAUUGUGUCCCACUCUCAGCCUAACAGCUUUUCCACUGUCACUGUUACUGAGAGUCUUGAGGAAGGAGGUCGUCACUCUGAGGAAGAUGGAAAGCAUCCAUUAGAAGAAACCCGUUCCUCGGGGAACAAACAAAUGCCCUUUUGGGUUGACGAUACUCCCCUGUAGAACAGAAGCUUCUGUGUAGUGGAUAAUUUGAUCAUUAGGGACAUAGAUACCUGGCUUUGUAAUGAGGGUGCAGACUACCAGGUGACUUGACUGCCUGGCUCAAAGAUAGUCAUGCAUCAUCUAGCUAGACUGGUAGAUGGUGCUGAGGAGUGGUGCAUUUUAGCACCAGUGACGUGAGGAAAUAUCAUUGUGCGGUCUUGGAAGCAAAAUGUAGGUUGCUAAGUAGGAUGUUGAAAGCCAGGAGCUUCAAGGUACCAUUCUCUGAAAAGCUCCCCAUUCCAUUCAAAGCACUUUACAAGACAGGCAGGACGUGUGAUAAAUGCAAAGGCACAUUUUGGGACAGGUUGGCUCUGUACAAAAGGGCAUUGGCUUCACUUGAACCAGGAUGGAACCAGAGUAUUGAGAUUUAUUUUUUAUUUUUUUUAAAAGGGUGCCAGAGUCGCAUGAAAGCUAAUUUCAGGGGGAAACUGAGGAGCAUCUGGUUCACGAUAAAAGCAUCCCUAAGCGAUGAUAGCUAAAAUGGGAUGGAGCAGAAGAUAGCAAUGCAAAGAGGCCAAAGUGUUGUACCGAAAUAAUAAUUUCAAGAAAUCCACAGAGUGUUGUACCGUAAAAUACACAUGCCAAAGACAUUUGGAGAGAUCUUAUUUAGGCAUCUGGAUGCCAGUGCUGGAGGUCUCCAAGUCAAGAUGGGCAAGCUGGAGUACUUGGCCUUUGAAGAGAGCAUAAAUCUAAUGGAAAAUUAGAAAUUAGAAAAUUAGGAACCUCGUGGAAUGGAGAGAACCAGCGGGGGCACUGUUAUCUCUGGGUGCAAAUUCUACAGGAAGGACAGGGAAAUUCCAGGAAAGUACAACACAGUAACAUAUGAGAAGACUGGUUAUAAGGAACUUGAUAGGGGAAAUGAAGAUGGUCAGGUGUCUCUAGAAUCAUAGAAUCAUAGAGUUGGAAGAGACCACAAGGGCCAUCUAGUCCAACCCCCUGCCAAGCAGGAAACACCAUCAGAGCACUCCUGACAUAUGGUUGUCAAGCCUCUGCUUAAAGACCUCCAAAGAAGGAGACUCCACCACACUCCUUGGCAGCAAAUUCCACUGUCGAACAGCUCUUACUGUCAGGAAGUUCCUCCUAAUGUUUAGGUGGAAUCUUCUUUCUUGUAGUUUGGAUCCAUUGCUUGGCUAACAAUCAAAGCUCAGUUAGAAAUGUACCAUCAGGGUCAAGAGGGUACCAGCAUGGCUAAUGGGCAGAGCGGAAGACUCGAGCAAGUGAGACAAAGUUGAUAUGGCAGACAGAGGCAAAACAGAACCAACCAACUUCAGAACAAACAGCAGUGAAAAUCAAUGAGUGAAAGUGGACUUGUUAGCCAAUGUGACUUGAAUAAAAAUCCUUUCCCAAGGUACACUGGAAAUUGAUAGGCUGGGUGUGAUGGGAGUUGGGGUCCGAUAUCUCUGGAGAGCGCCAGGUUGGCAAAUACUGCCCCAGGCCUUAGAUGCUAUAAUUGCCACUUCAUUUGAGGGUUGUGUUAAAACAGCCCCUUCCCAUAUACACCAGAGAUACCUAGCAAUCUGGACCAGAUAACAUCAGAUGCUUUUCUCCUGGAGCGGGGGGAGUGGCACACCUCUUUUGGAGCGGCUCAGCAACCUGUUGCUCCUGACUCAUGCAACUGCAUAGGUCACAGAGGAGCAUGGUGGUGCUGAUUGCCCAUUCCUCCAGGUUAUAGAUAUUUCUGUGAUUUAGGAUGAUGAGGAGGAGGAGGAGGAGGAUAUAUUUAUACCCCACCCAUCUGGCUGGGUUUCCCCAACUACUCUGGUCAGCUUCCAACAAAAGAUUAAAACAGGGCUGCCUUCAGAUGUCUUCUAAAUGUCAGGUAGAUAGUCAGGAUCACAGUAAUUGAUCGUAGCCUUGCUACGAUAUGAGUUUGUACGAUAGAUUUUUUAAUGAAAACAGGACUGCUGGAACCUGUAGCCUUCUACAUGUGCUAGAGUAGAACUCCCUGUCAUUCCACAUGCUGGCUAGCAUUGAUGGAGAGUUCAUUCAUUCAUUCAUUGAAUUUAUAUACUGCCCUAUACCAGGACGUCUCAGGUUGAGUUGAGACCCAACAAUACUGGGAGGUAUGCAAGUUCCUAGAUCAGCCUUUCUCAACCUUGGGUCCCCAGGUGUUUUUGGCCUACAACUCCCAUCAUCCCUGACCACUGGUCCUGUGAGCUAGGGAUCAUGGGAGUUGUAGGCCAAAAACAUUUGGGGACUCAAGGUUGAGAACCACUGUCCUAGAUGCUUCCUCUACCUAAAAUACAUAAAUGGUUUCCCCUUCACUGGAGGUUUUUAAGCAGAGGUUGGAUGGCCGCCUGUUGUGGAUGCUUUAGUUGAGAUUUUUUGCAUUGCAGGGGGUUGGACUAGAUGAUGAUAACAACAACAACAACAACAACAACAACAACAACAACAACAAAUUUUAUUUAUACCCCACCCUCCCCAGCCAAGACCGGGCUCAGGCUGGCUGACACCCGAUAUAAAAACAAAUUGAUUGAAAUACAACUUUAAAACAAGAUUAAAAUACAACAUUAAGACAUUAAAAUACAGCCUCAUUUCAAUGGAAACUCAAAUCAAAACUUUUUUGGGUCAAGUCUUCACCAAGGCUAACUAUCUAGACUGGUCCUACAUGGGCCAGAAAAAAAGCCAGGGAGGUCCCCAAAUAGGAGUUUCAUCACAGGAGGAGAAAGGAAAAAAGAAGAGGGGGAGGGAAUCAAAUUGAUUCCAAGGCAAAGGCCAGGCAGAACAACUCUGUCUUACAGGCCCUGCGGAAAGAAAUCAGAUCCUGCAGGGCCCUGGUCUCAUGAGACAGAGCAUUCCACCAGGCCGGAGCCAGUGUUGAAAAGGCCCUGGCUCUGGUUGAGGCUAAUCUGACUUCCUUAGGGCCCGGGACCUCUAGGGUGAUGCUAUUUAUGGACCUUAAGGUCCUCGGUGCGGCAUACCGGGAGAUGCAGUCCCGUAGGUACGAGGGUCCUAGUCCCUUCCAACUCUACAAUUCUAUGAUUCCAUGAGAUAAAUGGGGUUAUCUGUAGCAUUGCUGUCUAGCUUUCUGCGUAACAUCACAUUAACAUGGACAGUGUAUCCAGCUGCUGCCAGAUACAAUCUAAUAUGCUGACAGCUCCACUCCAGCCAUUUCAAACAGAAGAGGUUUUGCAGGCUCUUUAUUUGACGAGCAUCCCAUAAAUGCACUAGCGCUGUUCAAUCAAGCUGUGUGUGAAACUUGAAGGAAGGAUCUGCCAGGAAAGGGGAAGGCUGGGGGAAGAGUAUAGAAAAGCACUUGAGAAUGAUCCUAACAUACACAUUACAUUCCAGAUUAUGUUAUAUUGCAUUGUUUAUUUCAUUUACGAAUUGCUUUCCUGCAAGGCAUCUCAAAGAUAUUUACGUAAUAACACAUAUAAAACAAUUACAUGAGUUUCAUGUACAGGCAGUGACUGAUUUAUGUGUGUCCAAUGGAUGCUUGACUGCGCAUGUGCGCAUCGCAGCAACCUGGAAGUGGCCGGAAAAGGGGAUGGAACAGGGGGCGUAUCAGGGCAGAGUGGGCUUAUGUGUGCUCUGUUGACAUGCCGGCGGGGGGGGGGUCAGGAGCGUAACCCCCGCUCAAAUCGGUUGCCGCCUGUAUAAAAACAGUUAAAAACAACGAUGCCCUAUUAAGAAAAAACCAUUUUAAAAAAACUAUGAAUAUAAAAACAGUUUUAAACAGCAACACAUGCAUAAAAUCAAUUCGGAUCCAGGACUGGGAUAAAGCUUUUCGAAGGCUUGUUGAGACACAAAUAGCAUAUGUGUGUGGAUGUAUUUAGGGAAGAGUUAGAGAGCAUCCGGGAAAUAACAUUUGUGAAUCUGCACAGAGCAAGUAAUGCAGAUUUAUGGGUCUGCUUGCUAAAGUUUUAGAUUUGUGCUUAAUUUGCUUUGCGGGUCUGCUCCGUCCUUCCUGAGAGCACUAAAAACGGUUGUCUCCCGUUCGGCAGUGCAUUUGCAAAACAGCCUAAUAUGAUUUGUGCCUGAAUUUAUACUUCAGUUGGGAAUUCAAGUUCUGACUAUUUCCUCGUAUUAAAAUCCUCAGGUCCUCCUGAAUAGGUUCAUCUGAAAAACAGGACUGUCUUAACAGUCUUUUAUACCCAAGACUUGUAAAGGAUCGAUACAUUUCCCAUCAGAACAGUAAAUUACUUACUGAACCGCUUCCAGUAAUCAUGAUGUACAAUUUCAUGUUAACGCUUCCCCUUCUCCACCCAGAAUUUUCUUGACAGUGUCAGAUGGCUUCCCUGCAACCUUGCCCACCCCCCGCAAAAGAAUAAUGGGUUUAAAAUGAAUAGUUAGCCCAUUACAUGCUUGGGUAGGGUUUAGCAUUGCAUUCAUCAUUAUGGUGGAGCCACAGCUCCAAGGAUGUAACUAUCUAAUGCCGGAAUGAGGAUGUUGUUAAGACGACAGCACUCACCAUCGCUGUACUGGCUGGGGCUUAUACAAACUGAAGUCCAACAACCACAAACUUGGCAGUCAUUUAUACCCAAGGCUUGUAAAGGACUAAUACAUUUUCCAUCAGGUCAGUAAAUUGCUUAAGCUUGUGGGCCACAAGCUUAACAUGAGUCAACAGAGCGAUGCAGCAGCAAAAAAAAAAGGCAAAUGCUAUUCCAGACUGCAUCAACAGAAGUAUAACGUCCAGGUCAAGAGAAGUAAUAGUACUUCUCUGUUCUGCUUUAGUGAAACCACACCUGAAGUACUGUGUCCAGUUCUGGGCAUCACAAUUUAAGAAGGAUAUUAGCAAGCUGGAGAAGAAGAAGAAGAGUUUGGAUUUGAUAUCCCUCUUUAUCACUCCCCUAAGGAGUCUCAGACUGUAGUCAGAAAUGUAAACUACUUGUUCCAUUGUCCUUCCGUGGCUUUUCUGUUGCUUUGAGUUGCAAACCACCUUGAGGGGUAAACCCUUGGUCGAAAGGAAAGGCAACAAAGGAAGUACAUAAAUAAAGCUGCCUUUCUACCAGGUCAUGCUCUUGGGCCCCUGUAGACAACCUGUUUGUUGGGCAGGGCUGGGGGGCUUUUAGCCCAUGCGAUGGGCUACUGGGCCUCUCUGCUUGGCCCACCAGGCCAUUUUGGAGAAGCCAUACCUACCCAUCCUACACUUGGUACCAUAGCUGAGGUGGGUGGGGGCCAGAUCCAAAUGUGAUGGGGGCCAUCCCCAAUUGUCUCUUGUCUGCCUUUCCUCUCUGUGUCUCUCCUUCUCCCUUCUCCCUCCACCUCCCUUUCUGGUGCCCCCUUCUCUGGGGACAGGGUAUAGGUCACUCUUGCCUGAAAUAUGACCCUAUCCACUUGCACUAUCCCUCCUGCUUCUCCCUCACUCGAUCCAUUUCAGCCUUCCCCGGCCCCACUUUUACCCCCUCACUCUCCCCCUCUGGACUCCCUCCUACUGCAAGAAAUUGGGCUUCAGGUCACAGGUUCCUCUCCCCUCCUUUAGCUGGAGAGGCCAGGGAACCUGAGACCUUCUGCAUUCAAAGCAUGUACUCCUCCACCCUUAAACUGCGGUCUUUUCCCUGUGGCUCCACUUUUACUUCCAUAGGCUAGCAAGUCUUCUACCAGUGUAUGCAUUGGAUUUAAGGCAAGCUUUCCCCCACCCCCACCCCAUUUCUGGUGACUGUACUAGUCCAGCUCUGAACCUGGAUCUCCGGAGUGGAAGCUAAUUAACUUGCUGAGCCAACACGCACCUUUUUUCCCCACCCCAGCGCCUGCCCUGUUGUGAAUCAGAUUGUUUCACAGGGGAGGGAUAUUAGCAAGGCAGGCGGGUUUUAUCUGCUAGAAUAAGGACAUUUACAGCAUGUAGAAAUUUUAUUCAUUAAAUGGAAAUCCUUGGGUAAUCUCUCUCUCUCUUCUUUUUUUGGAUACAGGCCGUGCGCUGCUCAGGCUGACAGACAAAAAGCUGGAGCGGAUGGGGAUUGCCCAGGAGAGCUUGCGGCAGCACAUUCUUCAGCAGGUCCUCCAGCUCAAGGUGCGCGAGGAAGUCCGAAACCUCCAGCUGCUCACGCAAGGUAGGAAACACAAAGGACCGCAGGAGGGAAACAGUUGCAUGAGAGCAUACUUGAGAUUGCUUUGAUGUUCUCCUGCACGAACUGUUGCGCGGAGAGGCGUCAUGGGGCCAGAGUGACCACCUAGAGGUAAACACGAAUAGAUCAACAUGCAUAUCCGUUAGGAUAAGAGCAAUUCCUUUCUUCCUGUUUUCAAAGCACGACCCGCACACAUUGUCCAUCAGCAUGCUAGUGGCUGUGUUGCUAAUCCCGCCACCAAUGUCUGAAAGCACAUUGGCCUUACUGGGAGGGUACACCUGCUUAUGUUCAUCAAUAUCACUUGUUUUCCCCACCUGAUUUCUGUAGCGUUGGCUGCCACUGGCAGAACCCAGGAAAUGUACCAUGCGAUGAUGGUUUCAGCAAUAGUGCUGUGUUAAGUGCGAUACUGAGUUCUGCCCUCUUUUCCCGUGAUAUGUCUAACUAUUCUGGGUCUUUGUGUGAGUAAGAGAGGAAGGAGAGAGAACUCGGGGUCUGCUGUUUCUAAUGGCUGUUUGGAGUGAAGUGUAGAGCUUAGACUACUGCAAUGCGCUCUACAUGGGGCUACCUUUGAAGGUAACCCAGAAACUACAACUAAUCCAGAAUGCGACAGCUAGACUGGUGACUGGGAGUGGCCACCAGGACCAUAUAACACUGGUAAUGAAAGACCUACAUUGGCUCCCAGUACAUUUCCGAGCACAAUUCAAAGUGUUAGUGCUGACCUUUAAAGCCCUAAACGGCCUCGGCCCUGUAUACCUGGAGGAGUGUCUCAUAGAAUCAUAGAAUCAUAGAGUUGGAAUAGACCACAAGGGCCAUCGAGUCCAACCCCCUGCCAAGCAGGAAACACCAUCCCCAUUGUUCAGCCCAGACACUGAGGUCCAGCUCCGAGGCUCUUCUGGCGGUUCCCUCACUGCGAGAAGUGAGGUUACAGGGGCCAUCUCAGUAGUGGUGCCCGCCCUGUGGAAUGCCCUGUGGAAUGCCCUCCCAUCAGAUGUCAAGGAAAUAAAUAACUCUCUGACUUUUAGAAGAAAUCUGAAGGCAGCCCUGUUAUGGAAGUUUUUAAUAUCGUGCUUUUAAUACAGUGAUACCUCGAGUUACAAACGCCUCAGGUUUCAAACACUUCAGGUUACAAACUCCGCUAACCUGGAAGAGUUACCUUGCGUUGAGAACUCUGCCCCAGGAUGAGAACAGAAAUCGUGUGCCAGCAGCGCAAGGGCAGCAAGAUGCCCCAUUAGUGAAAGCACGCCUCUAGUUGAGAACAGUUUCAGGUUAAGAAUGGACCUCUGGAAUGAAGUAAGUUCGUAAAUAGAGGCACCACUGUAUUCUGUUGGGAGCCGCUCAGAGUGGCUGGGGAAACCCAGCCAGAUGGGCAGGGCAUAAAUAAUACAUCAUCACCAUCUUCAUCUGAUCCCACUGUAAAUUAUUCUACGCUAACUGAGGCUCACCAAACAUGUCACAAAGAAAACUCUCCUAGCUGUAUGGCGAGGAGGUGUCUGACUAGUAAAUUAUCUUCAGUCACAGGGCUGAAGGAACUGGGAAGUUUGUGCCCAUGUAGCAUCUCAGUAUAGGGACGUGGGUGACGCUGUGGGUUAAACCACAGAGCCUAGGACUUGCCGAUCAGAAGGUCGGCGGUUCGAAUCCCCAUGACAGGGUGAGCUCCCGUUGCUCGGUCCCUGCUCCUGCCAACCUAGAAAUUCGAAAGCACAUGAAAGUACAAGUAGAUAAAUAGGUACCGCUCUGGCGGGAAGGUAAACGGCAUUUCCGUGCGCUGCUCUGGUUCACCAGAAGCAGCUUAGCCAUGCUGGCCACAUGACCCGGAAGCUGUACGCCGGCUCCAUUGGCCAAUAAAGCGAGAUGAGCGCAGCAACCCCAGAGUCGGCCACAACUGGACCUAAUGGUCAAGGGUCCCUUUACAUUUACCUAGCAUCUCGAUACCACAGCAGCUGGUAAAGAGAGAAGCAUGCACUUUGGACACUGAACAUGUUGCCUGACAUUUCUGGUUCCCUUUUUCAGUGAGAAUUAUUCAGGCAACUGGGACCUAAAGCAUACUAUGUACCGGCUAGAGAUGUAAUCAGUUGCUCCCAUUUUUGAAUGGCUAUUACAUAUCAUUACCAGCAGGUUUAAAAAAGAAAUGUCUGUGGAACACAUGCCGUUUGUAGUCCAUUAUUUUCAACUUGCAGUUUUUCAAAUGGGGAAGCGACGACAGCUGCUAUAGGAGGCACAAACGCAGCCAUAUGUCUCCCAGUCUCUCUCCUCCUGCGUCUCAACUGGACUAAGACUUUACACCUCCUCCUACUUGCUGGAACAUAUUGGCUUUCUAUUACCCAUGUUGUCUCGACUGCUGACUUUGCCCAUUCUCGAGAGUGUUCCCCUUUCUGCCUGGAAGACAGCAGAAUCCACAUUGCAGUGCCUCAAAACUCCUGGGUCUCGUUUGGAACUCUCAUGCAGGAUGCAAAUUCGAUUCAGGCUGCAUUUAAAGCCAAAUCUCAGAUUUGCACUUUUCGAACCCAAAACACAGCCAUCCUUUGAAAUUCACACUUCUCCAAAUUUCACCAUGCAGUUCUCUCACCAAAUGCAUACGUUAGGGGGAAGUGUGCAUGAAAACCAAUACAGUGGUACCUCGGGUUACAUACGCUUCAGGUUACAGACGCUUCAGGUUACAGACUCCACUAACCCAGAAAUAGUACCUCGGGUUAAGAACUUUGCUUCAGGAUGAGAACAGAAAUUGCGCGGCGGUGGCGUAACGGCAGCGGGAGGCCCCAUUAGCUAAAGGGGUGCUUCAGGUUAAGAAUAGUUUCAGGUUACGACCGGACCACCAGAACGAGUUAAGUGUGUAACCAGAGGGACCACUGUAUCUUAGUUAAAAUGACACAUUCCAAAUUUCAGUCCAUAUAUGCCAUACCAGGUUAAGCAAAACAUAUGUAACAAGUAACAGUUUCAUAUUCAUUCAUAACUUUCCAGACUCUAGGGUAAAGCUACCCUAUAACAUAACAUACAUGAGAUCGUCUUCUCCUUCUGUUGUUGUUGUUGUUGUCUGCAAGGCCAGUAAGUAUAUUUUGCAAGGCAGUACACCCUCUCUUUUUCCUAUCAACAACCAAGGAUGAAGUGGCAGGUUGUGGGCGGAAGGAGGGAGCAUUUUAAUGGAGAAAAGAAGAAAAACGGACCUUAAAUGGUUGGUGGAUUCAUUGAUGGAAACUCACUCUGACAAAUUAUGAGAAUCCCUUUCAGGUAGCUGGCCCUCGGGGAUCUAAUUCUUAAUGUAAGCCCGCUCAGAGAAGUUAAUGCUAUGCCAGCCAAGGCUAUGAAUCGCUCACAAGACUUAGAUUGGGGUCAGUAGUUCACGGUAGUGCUGCCAAUAGUUCUGGAUAUAACCCUGGGGGUGAGCACCCCAGAGGAUUGCUUGACUAAGAGGUAUGGUAGGCCUGUCAGGGGGAGGCCCCUCCAGUGCUCUUACUCUGAACUGUCCAAGUCAAUUUCAUUUGUGGUGUCGCUCCUCUGAAGUUGGUCGCUGCAAGACAUCCAUGUGUCAUUCCAAAGGGAUUCGAGGUGUCGCUCUUAAACACUCGAGCUUGUUGCAUUCCAUUCUCUGGGUGGUAUACAGGAAACCUUUGUGUGUGUGGCGGGGGAGAAAGCAACCAUAUUCUGUGUUAUUAUUAUUAUUAUUUUAAAAACUAUGUUUUACUGCGCACACACAAAUAUUAUGCAGAACAUAGUAUCCCAUUUGUAGAUUGGAUGACUAUAUUUGGCAGCCUGUUGAAGCAAUAUCAAGAGCAGCUCGCACAGUUAGGAGGCUGCCAUUGCAAACUGUAAUUAAUCCAGAAUGCCACAGCUAGACUGGUGACUGGGAGUGGCCGCCGGGACCACAUAACACCGGUCCUGAGAGAUCUGCAUUGGCUCCCAGUACGUUUCUGAGCACAAUUCAAAGUGUUGGUGCUGACCAGGGAUCCAGGAAGAGGGCCAUCUCGGUAGUGGUGCCCGCCCUGUGGAACGCCCUCCCUUCAGAUGUGAAGGAAAUAAGUAGCUAUCUUAUCUUUAAAAGACAUCUGAAGGCAAGUUUUGGGAAGUUUUAAAUAUUUAAUGCUGUAUUGUUUUUAACAUUUGAUUGGAAGCCGCCCAGGAGGAAACUCAGCCAGAUGGGCGGGGUAUAAAUAAUAAAUUUUUAUUAGUUUUAUUGUUGUUGUUGUUAUUAUUAUUAUUAUUAUUAUUAUUAUUAUUAUUAUUAAAAUAUUCCUACCCUUUCGUCAGACAAAAUCUUCCUGGUGACCCCUAGAUGUUUUGAACCACAGCUCCCAUUUGCCCCAACAAGUAUGGCCAGUGGUGAGGGAUGGUGGAAGUUGUAAGUCCCAGUUUUGGGAGGGGGGGUCCACAUCAGGAUGUACCUAACAGCACUCCUGGAGGUAACCCACAUCCCUUCAUUUGCUAAAUCUCAUUCUGGCCUUACUGAUUGCUGCCGUUGGGUCUUCUUCUUUCUGCCCACAAAAAGCCCUAAGCCAUAUUGGGAUUUUGUUCUGUUAGUUUUGCGUGAAUUAAUUCCUGUAAGCAAAGGUUCUAUGUGGGGCUACCUUUGAAGGUGAUCCGGAAACUACAACUAAUCCAAACUGGGAGCGGCUGCCGAGACCACAUAACACCGGUCUUGAAAGACCUACAUUGGCUCCCAGUACGUUUCUGAGCACAAUUCAAAGUGUUGGUCCUGACCUUUAAAGCCCUAAAUGGCCUCAGUCCAGUAUACCUGAAGGAGCGUCUCCACCCGCAUCAUUCUACCCAGACACUAAGGUCCAGCGCCGAGGGCCUUCUGGCGGUUCCCUCACUGCGAGAAGUGAGGUUACAGGGAACCAGGCAGAGGGCCUUUUCGGUAGUGGCACUCGCCCUGUGGAACGCCCUCCCACCAGAUGUCAAAGAAAACAACAACUACCAGACUUUUAGAAGACAUCUGAAGGCAGCCCUGUUUAGGGAAGCUUUUAAUGUUUGAUACAUUACUGUAUUUUAAUAUUUUGUUGGAAGCCACCCAGAGUAGCUGGGGAAGCCCAGCCAGAUGGGCGGGGUAUAAAUAAAUUAUGAUGAUGAUGAUGAUGAUGAUGAUGAUGAUGAUGAUUAUAUUCCAUUACUAGGCCAGAUUUCUUCAGGAUAAAUUAAUUCUAGUUCCCAACCUCCAGCUCCUUUCCUCCUCGCCACACUUGUAAGGGCGCAGGCCUGACCUGACUGCCUCACCUCUCUGAGCUUGUCUGCAAGAAAUUCUGAGAGUUUGUUGAACUAUUUCGAGAAAAAGAUCUGCAGAUUUGUCUCUCUGGAAGAGCUGUUGGAGGAGGGGGGCGGCGGGUGGUGAUGGAGGAAUCAUUAUCAUACUUCCCUAAUCCUGAUUCAUAGGAGGAAGAAGCCUGCUUUGUGCAUCGCCCCGAUGAUCACAUGAAACUAUUUUUGGAUAUUCAUUGCUAGCGGAGCUCUGGGCUAGAUUGGCUGGUGUGUCUCCCUUAGCUCAGGCACAUCAGCUUCAUGUGUGGGCUGGUGUGCGUUGCCGAAACAGAGCUCGCCUUGUUGUGGGGUCUGUUGCUGUUGCUCAGAGCCGGGGAAUAUUUGGGUUGCGUAUUUUUCAUGCAUUCCUUCCUUGUAUCCUCUUAAGGCGGCUUUGAGUGGCGCUUGCUGUGUUGAGUUUAUUCGCUUGAUAAUGCAAUUGCCAAGACGAAACGAAAGGCAGGCGCCAUUAGGUUGCAUUAACAGAACAUUUGGUAAGUUCCAUCAGAAGCUAAGCAGUUUAAAGAGCUUUAAAGCAUUGCUAGAUCCUGCCUGCAGCUUCAUUGUAAGUAAUGUUUGUGUAUUAGAAAGGCAGGGCAAAACAGCGAUAAUAACUAUGAAAAUAGUAAUAAUAAUAAUUAAUAUGCAAGUGAUGAAUGGUUUAAUAGUUGGCUAAAGACAUCAACGAACAGUUUUAGAUUUCCUCUCUAUUUUGUCAUCCUUGCUCUUGUAGCCGCUAUAUGUCAAGCUAGCUUAAUUCAUUAUAUGUAUUAUUACAAAAGUUGGGUGCCACCCACACUCUUUGCCAAGUGGUAGCAAAAUUCCUGGGCAUUUACCCCAGGUCUGUGCUGCUUUGGAGAAUCAAGAUGCUAUGGAGACUGCCAUAGCUUUAAGAACUAUGAUUUAUUCGCAUACUUCCAUCUGAAUUAAGAUGGAGGGAGUCUAGAUCUUACAGCUGGUUGUCUCAAGAGGAACUUGUUCCCCACAGUAGUGGAGCACUCAAGUCAAAGGCAUCCCUUUGUCGUUUCUUUUCUCCCUUCUUCUUCCCAUCAUACCUUGCUUUUAAAAAAAGGCUCUUUCUGUCCUGUCACCUCACACACCACAUUACCAUGGCAACCUCUGUCUGCCCAGGUCCAAUAUUCCUUUUACAUGGGCCACCAAGACCUUUUGUCGUUACUACCCUCCAUAAUCUUACAUUCAGACAUUAGCUGAUACAUUUCUCAUCAUCAUGAUGGAUGUGCUUUUUAUACCGUUAUUUAAGAACCUACCAUCAUGUGAAAUCAUCAAGACCCUAGUAUCAUGUCCAUAACUUGAGAAUGGACCACUAUCUCACUUUUUCCAAGGCCUCUCGUUGUUAGGUCGGGACUAUCCUACUCUCCAUUGUCACAAUCUCUCUUUCUCCAAGAUGUUAUAUGGUUGGGAGGAAAGAAGGCAACGCUGUGUCUCUCCCAUCACCACCACCAACAAAGGUAAAGGUAAAGGACCCCUGGAUGGUUAAGUCCAGUCAAAGGUGACUAUAGGGUUGGAGUGCUCAUCUCACUUUCAGGCCAAGGGAGCCAGCGUUUGUCCACAGACAGCUUUCCAGGUCAUGUGGCCAGCAUGACUAAACCGCUUCUGGCGCAACGGGACACCGUGACGGAAACCAGAGCGCACAGAAACACCGUUUACCUUCCUGCCGGAGCGAUACCUAUUUAUCUACUUGCACUGGUGUGCUUUUGAACUGCUAGGUUGGCAGGAGCUGGGGCAGAGCAACGGGAGCUCACUCCGUCGCGGGGAUUCGAACCGCCGACCUUCCGAUCGGCAAGCCCAAGAGGCUCAGUGGUUUAGACCGCCACCAUACUGUAGGGAACAGGAGAAUUGGAUUCUGCUGCAUGCUGCUCUGCCAGUGGCAUUCCACCCUUAGUGGGCAGCUCCUGCACUGCUGUGUGUGCUUUUCUGCCAUGCCAUGCCUGCUGUCUCUCCCCUCUAUGAUGUCCCCUCCACCACCAAUGCUGCUGCCUCUGCUGCUACAUUUGGAAAGAGGACACCUGAUCCAAACCCGCUGCACUUGCUGCCCACCCCGCAACUGAUCCCCAUCAUUGCUAUGGUGAGAGACGAACAUGAGAGAUGUAGCUGGUUCUUCUCACCUGCCCUUCCUCUUCCCUAGGUCUCCUCUUCCCACCUUGGGGCCUCUGUAGUCUCAGCCACACCAUUUUCAGUCCUCCUAGAGCAGCCUUUCUCAACCUGUGGGUCCCCAGAUGUUGUUGAACUACAAAUCCCAUCACCCCUAGCUAGCAAAGCCAGAGCUCAGGAAUGAUGGCAGUUGUAGUCCAACAACAUCUGGAGACCCACAGGUUGAGAACAGCUGUGCUAGGGUCUGCUUCCCCAGCGAUUUCACUGCAUAGACCACAACCCGCUCCUCCUCAAUAUUUGGAAAGGUCCCAUCAAGCUAAAAGUGUGAUUUGUCACUGACUUACCAAUGCAAAGUUCAGAGGGCGGAGAGUUGGAUGUUCCUAAGUGAGAGCUGGACCAUAAAGAAGGCUGAUCGUCGAAGAAUUGACGCUUUUGAAUUAUGGUGCUGGAGGAGACUCUUGAGAGUCCCAUGGACUGCAAGAAGAUCAAACCUCUCCAUUCUGAAGGAAAUCAGCCCUGAGUGCUCACUGGAAGGACAGAUCCUGAAGCUGAGGCUCCAAUACUUUGGCCACCUCAUGAGAAGAGAAGACUCCCUGGAAAAGACCCUGAUGUUGGGAAAGAUGGAGGGCACAAGGAGAAGGGGACAACAGAGGACGAGAUGGUUGGAGCAUGAGUUUGACCAAACUGCGGGAGGCAGUGGAAGACAGGAGUGCCUGGCGUGCUCUGGUCCAUGGGGUCACGGAGAGUCGGACACGACUAAACGACUAAACAACAACAACAUUCCUCAUUUGGGGGAAAAGCCAGAACACGGUUGCCGAUGUGUGCGUGCAUGAUUCAUGCAUGGGUGCGGGCUGACACAGGAGGAUUCUUCUUUUGUUAUGAGUCUUGGUCCACCUUCCACAACAUCAUGUGCUGGGAGCUGCUGCCCCUUGCUGCUGCUUGGUGUUUGCCUUCCUCAUAUCCCUGCCCAUUGGGAGUUCCUUAUCCCCUCUUUCAUGCUUCAUGCAUUCGUGACUGUAUAUGCUGCAAGUGCGUUAGCCUUGACACUUCUGAAGUCUGGAGACAGGCCAGGAGCUUUGUGAAAUGCAAGUCUCUGGCUCAGACCCAGUGGGGGGGAAAUGGAAUGAAGAGAUGAAAUAUCAAAAUGCUCUGAAGAACUAGCACAUAGGAAUCGGCUGUUGCUUAUUCAGAUAAUUAGUCCCUCAAACACUACACAACUGAUGCAGAAGAGGGUCUUCGUCUCAGUUGCUGCAACCCACUUUCCCCAGGAAAGCUCACCAGGUGCCGUGUCGGUGACAUGCACAUUUACUGCACUGUUAAAUGUUUUUUUGCUUCUCCCACCCCUUCAUCAGCUUUCUUGGUUUAAGUGAUUUUUCUGCAUUCAUUGUAUUAUUUUAAUGCACUGAGAGAGUUCUACUGAAGGGCAGCUAAAUGAAGAAAAAAAAUCAAUGAAAUAACCUGGUACUUUCUGCUCCAAUUGGUAAUGAUCAAGCAGAGACCCUUUGCAGCCCAUGACAUUCUUUUAACUGCAGGUGCUCAGGAUUGAACCAGGGAGCCUUCUGGAUCAUAGCUGUCAACAUUUCCCUUUUCAAAAGGGAAAUUCCCUUAUUCCGAAUACGAUCCCUCGCAAGAAAAGAGGAAAGUUGACAGCUAUGUUCUGGAUGCAAAAGCAUGUGGCUUAACACCAUGCUAUGACCUUGCUGGUUUUACCUGGCCUAACACCUCUCUGUCUACAUCAAUAUACUCGUACACUGGCAAAGCACCAAAUGCAGAAAUAAUAAGCGUUUGUUUUUUUUUGUUUUUUUAAAUAAUAUUUAUUGAUAAUUUCAGGAUUACAAGAAAAAUAAAAAAUAAAAAACAGCACUACAAUACAAAAAAAAGAAAAAAGUAAAAAAAAGAGAAAAGCACAAAAUAUAAAAACCAAUACAACAAUACAGCAAAAGAAAGUAAAAACGAAGAAAAAAGGGGGGGGGGAACACAAAUCCCAAAUUGCAUAUCCAUAAUUUCCAUUUGCUUGUUUCAUUGAUCUCCUCACACCUCCCUUUUUGUAUUCUAGUUUAGUAAUUAUUUCAGCAAAUUCUUUCCAUCUUUCUCAAUUUUUGUUAUGAAAUUUAUUUUAACAGUUUAACCUAAUAAUUAACUCAACAAGUCCUUUCCAUCUUUCCCCAUAUUCUGUUAUUCAAAUUACCUUAAUUUAUUUAACCUUAUCUUACCCCUAAGUACCUUAAGACUUAAAUCUUAGUUUUCAAAUAUACAUAGCUCCUGAUAUCAUUUCUGCUAGAGUCGUAUAGUUUCAUUCCCACAUUUUCCCUAAUAUUCAUUAAGCUGAUUCUAAAAUAAGAAAUUCCCAUUAUAAAUUCACUUCCAAUCAUCAUCCAGCGUCUCUUCUUCCUGGUCUCGGGUCGUGUCAGUCCUUACUGUCCAUUCCAUCUAGUCCAUCAACCUGGAAGCCUUAUGUCCGAGGCCCUUAAGUCUCUUCCAUGUCCCUUCUGCAAUUCUUCUUCAUCUUGUUUGUGCUUGCCCUUUUCCUUGUCUUUUGUUGGUCUCUGUCUUAGUUUCUUUCCUUUCUCAUUGAGGAGUAGGUCUCUGGGGGAUUCCAACCCAAAAUUGUCUCCAUCACCCUUCAUCCAGCUCGCCCAUUCCCCACAGUCCUACUCCCCACAGUCCUCGAUAUAAUCCAAAAUGUAUUUAAAAUCAAAUUUCAAGAUCUCUCCAAAGCUAGGAACCUCCUCAUCUCCAGACUCCCCUUGGCCCACUCCAACUUCAAUCUUCAAUAACAGCGGCUUAUGCUCCUGUAGGGCCUCGGGUCUCUCCAUUUGUACUAUUUGAGGUGCAGCCGCAUCCUCCUCCAUUGUCAUCUGUACUUGCCCAGUCAGUACAGAUUCAUAGGUUGGUUCCUGAAUAAUUUCUGUAUCAAUGUUCCCUGUUUGUCCACAGUUAUUAACCACAACAGUCAAAUCCAUUUUCUCAUUCAUCAAGUCCAUCUUCUCAUGCAUCUGUUCCAGCAAAGCAUUUGUCUUGUAUAAAGCAAGCACCCAGUCUUCCUCCCAGCUCAUCUUUGUUCAAGGUCAGAAAAGACUGUUCCCACGGUCUUAGUCUCACAGAUGUUGGGUCUCAAAUAUACUACAGCAACAAUUUAGCAAGCUCCCUCUAGAGGAGACAAUCUAUUUGUAUCCAUUUUUUUUUUUGAAGACAAAGGAAAGUUACUUUCAUUUUUCAGAUAUUUCAGAUGUUUUUCAGGUAUUUUGUUUCUUUAAAAUGCAAAAGGCAACAUUAGAAUCAACUUGUUUCUCUUCAUUAGCUAUCUGUCAAAGUAUUACGUUCACAGUCAAUGAACCUCUCCAACAGUUUCUGUCUCUGACACCCCGUUCCCAGGUUAGAGACGGUGGAAACUUAUCCUUCUUCACUUCCUGUCCUGCUAGGGUUAAACAGAGUCCCCCCCCCCUUUUCUCCUGCUUCCAAGGGGGGUUUCAGUGAUUCUGAAUGAAGGAAAUUUAGUCUUUUUUGACAGCUUCCCGGCUUUAGCUUGCAAAAUUUUUGCUUUAGUCUAUAUACAAAAAGCGGAAGGCAGACUUCCUGUUUGCACCUUCCCGCUUCGAUACCAAAUUAAACAAUUUCUUGAUCCAAUUUUCCGUUUCUACUCACGGGUACUUGUUUUAAGUCCAAUUGUCCACAGGAAAAAGUCAGCGCUCUCUGGCAAUGGCUGUGCGGCUUCACUCCGUGAAAGUAGCAGUCAGUUCGUAGCACCGCGCUUCUCACCCCACUUCGCUCCGGAGCCCCUAGAUGGGAUUCCCCGCGAGUAGGGGGGCGCUUCUGGUGCCCUGCCGAACCCCACGUUCCCAGGCUUCCUCCGCCUGGGAUUUCUAGCGGGUCCCCACCUUCGCCGCGGCGGGAAGACCCAGUUUCCACGGAGCCCGUUCCUCCGGUCGGAGGAACUCUGCCAUUCACCAAUGGCGCUGACCCGGAACUCCCAGAAAUAAUAAGCGUUUUGAAUGACAUUUCAUUGAGAAGGUUUUAACCAAAAGGGCAAAUUUUCAGAUCCAUUUUUGUUCUUAGGUAUGAGUGUAAAUAUUUUACAGCUGUUUUAUUAAACAGUAAACUUCAGAGAAGUGGGUUUCUCUCUUUCUUUCUUUCUUUCUUUCUUUCUUUCUCUCUCUCUCUCUCUCUCCCUCUCUCUCUUUCUCAGGGAACUAUUUUCUGUAUAAAUGAAGGCACUUUUUAACUUCAAAGCCCACAGUAAUAUAUUACCCUGAAGGUCACAGUUAAAAACCUGUCAAUAUAUGUAUUCAUAGUAAAUCAAUUUCAGUUAAAUCAAUGCAAAGUCUGACGGGAAAAAUACCUCACUAUUGAUCGGAAGGAGAAGCCGAUAUUGUUGAAAUUAUUAAUUAUUGCUGGAUCCAUAAUAAAAAGGCCAGUCUGGGUUCUGUGCUUUAUGAUCAUGUCAAAUUAAAAAAAAAGAACAACAAAUCUUUGCCUUCCACGAGAUGCUGUACAUCUUCACACAUCUUGGCAAUAAAAGGUGUUUCAUAACACUGUUGACUGCCGGCGUGUAAAUGAACAAAUGAAGGGUGUUCUGUCAGAUGAAGCAUAAAAGCCAUUAGCAAUGCACUUUUAUUUGAAUGGAGCAACAUUAAUUUUUAAAAGGACAUAACCUGAGACUUUUGCAGAAUGAGAGUAGAGAAGGAAAACACGGAAAAUACAAACAAACCUUUUUGGAGCAUGUUCGUGGCAGCUCCACAUGGACAUAGCAACAUGUAGCUUGGGCUGGCUUGAUUUUUAAGAGUGGCAGAGGAUGUGACUAGGGAUUGAGUGAUGUGGUUGGUGCCAAUAGCACUUCGGUUAUCAGGUAAGGUAUUCUGUUGAUGAUGAAAAAUUGGGAGCAAGGCUGACAAGAGGUGGGUACAGGAAGUACUGAUGUAUUGGGCGCACAGCCAGUAGCGGCCCCAGACUCAGAUUUCUUUCUUAAAGUAUGUUUCUAGCUUUCCUAGAAAUAAAGUUAUGAAACAAAAUGUGCAGGUACCCUGUAUGUGAUUUCUAUGAGAUGAGUCACACUGGCUUCUCCCACCUUUCCGUGCUUUUAUCCAAUGAGCGUAGUCAGUGCUGUGAUUGGCAGAUGAGUUGUUUUGACGCCACACAAUAGGAAUCCCUGUGGUCUUAAAGAGCUGGGGUUUUCUCCUUCUCUUUAGCGUACUUCCCCCCUGCUUCUGUCUCUUUCUCUAGUCCUAAGCUCUGGCUUAGGGAGAAUCCCAAGGGCCAGAUAGAAAGGCUAGGAGGGCCGUGUUGGCCAUGGAGAAAGAGAGACUGUGAAGUUGGUCAGAUGAAAGAGCAGCUCUGCCAUGAAAGAAUGUUAAACUAGGGUAUGUGGGGAAUAUGCAGGGAAUGGUGCGAAAUCCUUUUGAAUUGUAUGUGGGGAGGGCAAUUGUAGGGGGUUGUGCGCCUUGUACAUUCAGCUGUGUGGGUGCAGUUUUGGAGUUUGGUCUCCAGGGCCUAUCUUCAGAGUUCCAGUCCCUUAUUUGUACCCAAAUUAGAAUGCUUGCUCAUUCAUUUAGGAUAAUAAUAUCCCGCUUUAUGGUCCGAUAGGCUCUCAAAAGUGGCCUCGUUACGCGAAAAAUCAUAUUCAGUUGCGGUAUCAGGAAACAACAAGUUGUCCCGUUGGUAUCUGAACCACACAGGUCGAAUUUCCUGCCCUUGACCUUGACCUUCUCUGGUGUCGGUCAUCAGCCUCCGACUUCUAUGCCGCAGAGCCUGAGACUCUCAGCCCAUGAAGCAGACAAGUCUUCCCUUGCUGGUAGUCGCUGGGCAACAGCUCCCACACUGAGGCAAAGGUAUGGGGCUGAGUGGCUGGAACUAGCCAGCCCAUAAUGGGGGCAGGUUUUUUCUUGCUCUGUGAUAUAUAUUAGGUUUGUAGAAUCAUAGGAAGCUGCCUUAUACUGAAUCAGACUCUUAGUUGAUCUUGGUCCUCAUCGUCUAAACUUUCUGGCAGUGGCUCUUCAGGGUUUCAGGCAGGAAUUGCUCACAGUCCUACUCAGAGGUGCCAGGAAUAAUAAUAAUAAUAAUUUAUUAUUUGUACCCCUCCCAUCUGGCUGGGUUUCCCCAGCCACUCUGGGCGGCUUCCACAGAAACCAAAAAUACACUAAAAUGUCACACAUUAAAAACUUCCCUGAACAGGGCUGCCUUAAGAUGUCUUCUGAAUGUAAGGUAGUUGUUUAUCGCUUUGACAUCUGAUGGGAGGGAGUUCCACAGGGCGGGCGCCACUACCGAGAAAGCCUCUGCCUGGUUCCCUGUAGCUUUGCUUCUCGCAAUGAGGGAACCGCCAGAAGGCCCUCGGCGCUGGACCUCAGCGUCCGGGCAGAACGAUGGGGCUGGAGACGCUCCUUCGGGAAUUGAACCUGCAUAUGAAGCACAUGCUCUCCUACAGAGCUACUGUAUUUUGCGCUCCAUAAGACACACUUUUUUCCUCCUAUAAAGUAAGGGGAAAUGUGUGUGCAUAUUAUGGAGCGAAUGGCGCUGCGCAGAGAGGGCCACCUUAACCUCACUGGGUUGUUGUGAGGUUGUUGUGUGAUAGCCCUUGUUUAGCCACCUGAGCAACUUGACAAACAGACAGGAGAACAUUAUUCUUGUUUUCCCUCUUCAGUCAGUCUUGGAUUCCAUCACUGCCCAAACCAUGUGCCUCUGUCUCUCCAAACGGCCAGAUGAUCACAUUUUUUUUUCCUGGGGCUUUCUGUGAGAGAAUGAAAUUCAAGCACUAAUGCCUGUUAAAAUGCUUCUCCUGUUCACUUGCAAAAUCAAGCUUUUGAAAAGAGGCUCUACAGAAAUAAAAGAUUGAGAAUAUUUUUUUUCUUGUUUUCCUCCUCUAAAAACUAGGUGCGUCUUAUAGAGUGAAAAAUACGGUAUAUCCCUUCCCCACAUUCCUGCAUUAUCUUUCUCUCUUCCUCUCUGAGGAAAUUUCAGGGGAGCUGGCAACUUUAACUUGCAGCCAAUUAUCUUCCUGAAAUAAAACAGUGGCAAAAAAGAAGUGGGAAAACGCUUUUGCAUAACUGUUUAUCUCUUAAAAUAUUCUCCCCCCCCACACACAAAUAUCCUCCACAGCUUCAGUAACUAACAGUUCCUUAGUUUUACACAGAGGGCUUGAGAAGUUCAAGAAAAUAGCAAAAUGAAGGGGGGGUGUAUGUCUGUGCUCUAUAAGGAGGGGUUUAAAAAUAACCCUGGAAGUGUUUCUCUCACCUUCUACCUCCAAAAUCCCUCCCUUGAGAACCACUUCAAUAUUGGGAACAACUUCCCAAGCUUAGGAACAUACAGUAUUCUCUCGCUUCCUUCUCUUCUCUGGGCUCACAUAUGCAAAGUCAGUCUGAGUGUGUGUUUAAACAACAACAACAAUAACAAAACCCUAGACGUUUCUCAUAUGGAGCAUUGCCCAGAACUGCCAUAUAGAGAUAACACAUUUAAAAGAGAGAGAAAGUUGCAGAAGUCGUCGUUGAAAUCCUUCAUUAACANNNNNNNNNNNNNNNNNNNNNNNNNNNNNNNNNNNNNNNNNNNNNNNNNNNNNNNNNNNNNNNNNNNNNNNNNNNNNNNNNNNNNNNNNNNNNNNNNNNNCGGCGCGAAACGGCAAUGGCGGUCCUCUUCGGUCUCUGAAGAGGGGCUCCGCAGGAAAGGGUCGUCCGCUGCGGCACAGCGGUGACCCAUUAAGAAAACCACGGGCAGAGUGAGCCCGUGGCCGUGGGACUCGGCGGGCACCAGGAGCGACCCCAGAAGCGAAGAAGGAACCCCGUAAGGGGCUCCGGAAACGUGGAAGGGGAGCGGUGCUGUGAGUUCAUCGCUCUUUCUGCGGGAGCGAAGCCGCGCAGCUGCUGCUGAUGAGCGCCGACCUUUCUUCUUGGAACAUCAGGCACUAAACUACCUACUCGUGAGUAAGGAUCAAUCAUUUUGGAACCAAAAGGGUUAAAUUUGGCUGAAAGCGGGAGACGAUAAACAGGAAGUCCGUCUUCCGGCAGUGCUUUAAAGAUCAAAGGCAAAGAUUUUAACAAGCGGGAAGCAGCUUUAAAAGAUUUUAAAUUUGGGACUAUCGUGUUGACAGAAUUGGCUUUUAAAAAGAAGGAGAAGGGACUUUUAUUUCAAAGUGUUUUGGAUUUCAAAUGGGACUUUCCUCCCCUUUAUGGAUUAUAAAGAAUUAAGAACCAAACCUCGGACUGACAGGAGAAAAAGAGAGCUGUCAUUGCGGAAACUGUAUUCAAAAUAGAGACUGUUACAGUUGAGUGAUACUGGCAAGAUACAAUUAAAUAAACUGUUAUUGGCACCUUUUAUUUGAGACUUUGUAGCAGCUUGGGAAGUGCUCUGCAAGCCAAAAAAGUUUAUGAAGGACUUUUGGUAAAGUAGACUGUUUUGGGGCUGCAGGGACUUUAAUGGCGGAUAAAUUUCUUUCCUUUCUAUGAACUACAGUAAUACUCCCCCUAGUGGAGUUCUGGAAUUACAAGUGCCUGGGAACAAAUUUUAUUUGGACUAUCUGCUGCUUUGUUAUUUACACUUUGGAACUGUCCUUCCCAUGGGACAAUAUAUAAUUUGACCUUGACUCAUAGACAGGUGUGGAAUGAGUGGCCAACCGAAAACAAGAUCUGCUAAAACGAAAGCAAGACAAGCCCAACUUGUGCAAACAACUUUGACUACUCAGUCACGUAGAUCAUCUGUCCCAGCUGUUUUGGGAGUACAAGAAAAGGAAACUGCACGGCCUGCAUCAGAGGAUAUGGCGGAGGGAGGAUCGGAUACCUUCUUAAAACAAAUGCUAGAACAAUUUGCAAUAUUGAACAAGAAGGUGGAUGACCAAUCGGCAAAAAUAGACCAAGCCACAUCCUCUAUUACUAAAUUAUCUGACCAAGUUGCACAACAUACACAAGUUAUUGGGAAUCUCAAGGAAGCAACUGUGGAAAAUCGGAGACUGGCUGAAGCAGCCAAUGAAAAAGCAGAACAAGCAAAUCAAAAAGCUGAGGCUAUAAAAGAAGAGGUAAGGCCACUACACAAGCACGUUAGCGACCAGCAGGCCUACCUGUCUAUGGUGGAAUUGAGAAACCGGGAAAAUAAUCUGAGAUUAAGAGCUAUCCCAGAGCUUGAACAGGAAGAUUUAAUUGGUUAUCUGACAGCAGAAUUUUCUAAGUUCUGGGGUAUAGAAGAGGACAAAGAUUUUAAGAUUACAACUGCGUUCAGAUUAGGAAGAGUCGUGAGGAGGGACAAGCCCAGAGACUGUUUGAUUAUUUUGAGAUCCAAGCAGGAGAGAGAUAAAAUACUAGGCCUCCACUUUAAGAAAUCACUUGAUAUCCAAGGCAAAAGAGCAGAACUUUAUAGAGAUAUUCCUAAACAACUUUUGGAUCUCAGAGCUACAUAUACAGACUUAGCAAGACUACUGAGAGGAAACGCGAUUCCAUAUAGGUGGGAGUUUCCCAAGGUUUAUCUUUUAAUUUUAAAGGAAAGAAAAUUAAGAUUAAAACAUCAGAAGAUAACCAGAAGUUCCUGCACGAUCACGGAGAAGACCUUCAGAAGGGAGCAGCAGCCUCCUGGCCACCGCCACUGCCUGGAAUAGCACCGACACCUACACCCUCGGGGCCAGAAGAAAAGGAAGACACCCCACUAUAGGAACAACAGAUUGAUUCAGAAUGUCUCUGCAGCUGUACAGUUGGAAUAUAAAUGGCGGGGAAUUCCCGGAAAAAGACGAAGGAUUUUUCAUAUUUUGAAAAAGAACAAUUGGAUAUUGUUUGCUUGCAGGAAACGCAUGUGACUAGGCUCCAUAGGAAAGUGUUAAUCAAUAAAAGACUAGGCCAAGAAUUUAUUUCAUCAGACAAAGUCAAGAAAAGAGGCGUAGUGAUUUAUGCAAAGGAGAACCUGUCACCGAAACUUCUGUUUAAAGAUGAGCAAGGAAGAAUUUUGGCAAUUGAGAUACAAACACAAGGAGAAAAGUUUUUGAUUUUAGGAAUAUAUGCACCAAAUGAGGGGAAAUCGGAAUUUUACAAGAAGCUGCAUGAGAUAAUGCUGGACUAUCUGGACUAUACUAACAUCAUAAUGAUGGGUGAUAUGAAUGGGGUGGUUUCUACUCACAUGGAUAAGUCACAAAAUCAAAAUUUAACUAAAGACGGCAGACUACCUAAAACCUUCUUUGAACUAACUGACAACAUGGACUUGAUUGAUAUUUGGAGGACAAGGAACCCCUUAGGUAAAGAAGGAACAUUCUUUUCUGAGGCCCACCUAUCAUGGACAAGAAUCGACCAAAUAUGGACAACUAGAGGACUGGCACCUAAGAUCAGAAAAGUGGAAAUCUGUCCAAAGACUUGCUCCGACCAUAAUGCUUUGAAAGUGGAAUUGAGACUUACUCCAACCGGUUCUUUCAGAUGGAAAAUGAAUGACACCCUACUAAGAGAUCAGGAGAUUGUGAAGAAGGCCCAAAAACUUUAAAGGACUAUUUUGAAAUCAAUUUGAACACUUCGGUGGAAAAGAGAACAAUUUGGGAUGCAAGUAAAGCUGUAAUGAGGGGGUUUCUGAUACAACAGAACACAAUCAAGAAAAAACUUUGGAAUGGAAAAAAGACAGGAUAUUAGAGAAGAUAAGAGAAGGAGAGAAAAAUUGAGACUAAAACCAAAAUCAAAAGAGGUUUUAAGAGAAAUCAAAUUCCACCAAGCUCAAUAUGCGAAAUUGAUAAAUCAAGAAGUGGAAUGGAAAAUUAAACAAAUGAAACAAAGAUCAUUUGAAUCGGCAAAUAAAUGUGGAAAACUGCUAGCAUGGCAGUUGAAAAAGAGACAAAAAUUGAACUUUGUCACUAAUCUAGAGGUGGAAGGGAGAAACAUUCAGAAACCAGAAGAAAUUAGAAAGUGUUUUCAGAAAUAUUUCAAAAACUUUAUACACAAGGGCCUCAGGAAAUGUCUGAGAUAGAUCAAUUUUUAAAAGUUAACGGUUUAUCAAAACUAUCUCAGGAGAAGAGGACAAUCUUAAAUAAUAGAAUAACACAACAGGAAAUAGAGGGUGCCAUUCAGAAUAUGCAACUAGGCAAAUCUCCAGGCCCAGAUGGACUUACCUCCAAGUAUUAUAAGACACUAAAAGACUAUUUGAUACAACCACUAAUGGAGGUCUGUAACCAGAUUAUGGAGGGGAGGAGGGCACCGGAAACGUGGAAAGAAGCUUUCAUCACAUUGAUUCCUAAAUUGGAAUCUGAAAAGACUCAGCUUAAGAACUACCGUCCCAUCUCACUCCUAAAUGUGGAUUACAAAAUUUUUGCUGAUAUUUUGGCGAGCAGACUUAAAAAAUACUUAAUGAAGUAAUUCAUAAGGACCAGGCAGGCUUUCUCCCAGGGAGACAUCUCUUUGAUAAUACUAGGAACAUUAUUGAUAUUUUGGAACUUUUACAAACUAAUAUCAAUACGAAAGCUGUUUUAAUUUUCAUCGAUGCGGAGAAGGCCUUUGAUAAUAUUUCUUGGAUGUUUAUGAAGAGAAAUUUGGAAGGGAUGGGAGUGGGACGGUGUUUGAAAAUGGAAUAGAAGCAAUUUAUUCUGAGCAAAAAGCUAAACUGAUAGUGAACAAUGUGGUGACAGAUGAGUUCAAAAUUGAAAAAGGGACACGACAAGGGUGCCCCCUAUCCCCUCUUUUAUUUAUUUCAGUCCUGGAGGUGUUAUUGAACAUGAUUAGGAAGGACCGGUUGAUACAAGGAAUACAGGUCGGAGCGAAACAAUAUAAAUUGAAAGCUUUUGCAGAUGAUUUGGUUUUAACAUUACAGGAGCCAGAAUCUAGUACAAAAAGAGUAUUAGAACUGAUUCAUGAGUUUGGUCGGGUGGCGGGAUUUAAGUUGAAUAAGCAAAAACCAAGGUUUUGGGGAAAAACUUGACACCUUCAGAAAUAGAUGGGUUUCAGAAGGAAACAGAACUAAGUGUGGUAAAAAAGUGAAAUACCUAGGGGUUCACCUGUCAGCGAAAAAUUUGAAUUUAUUUAAAGACAACUAUGAAAAAUGUUGGCUGGAAAUCAAAAAAGAUUUGGAAAUCUGGUCAAGAUUGAAACUUUCCUUGUUGGGUCGAAUUGCAGCUAUAAAAAUGAAUGUAUUGCCGAAAAUGUUAUUUUUGUUCCAAACCCUACAGAUUGUGGACAGAGUGGAAUGUUUUGGAAAGUGGCAGAAGGAUAUAUCCAAGUUUGUUUGGCAGGGCAAAAAGCCCCGGAUAAAGUUUAAAAUACUAACUGAUUCGAAAGAAAGAGGGGGGUUUGCCCUGCCGGACCUGAGAUUAUAUUAUGAAGCUGCGGCCUUCUGCUGGAUGAAAGAUUGGUUACUUCUUGAGAACACUGAUGUCCUAGAUCUGGAAGGGUUCGAUAACGCUUUUGGUUGGCAUGCAUAUUUGUGGUACGACAAGGUAAAGGUUCAUAAAAUGUUCAAAAAUCAUAUUGUUAGAAAAUCAAUAUUUAUGGUCUGGACAAAAUACAAGGACUUAUUAGAAGGUAAGACUCCGAGGUGGCUUUCACCAGCAGAGGCCAAGGCCCGGAAAAACCUAAUAUGGAGGUUGGUUGGCCGAAAUAUGGGGAAAUUAUAGAAAAAGUAGGAGAAACUUGGAGGCUGCAGAGUUAUGAAAAAUUAAAGAAUAAGGUGCAAAAUUGGCUUCACUAUGCUCAAAUUCAAGAGGUUUUUAAGUUGGACAAAAGAACAGGCUUCCAGGUGGAAAAAUCGAAACUAGAGACAGAAUUGUUGGAACCAAAAACCAAGGUACUUUCGAGAAUGUAUACCUUGCUGCUUAAAUGGAACACUCAGGAUGAGACAGUCAAAUCAGCCAUGAUAAAAUGGGCUCAGGACAUUGGGUACAACAUUAUGUUUGAAGACUGGGAAAGGUUAUGGACCACUGGUAUGAAAUUCACGGCAUGUAAUGCCUUGAAAGAGAAUAUUAUGAAAAUGAUAUACAGGUGGUACAUGACCCCAGUCAAGCUUGCUAAGAUAUAUCAUUUGUCUGAUAAUAAAUGUUGGAAAUGUAAGGAGGCUGAAGGGACAUUCUUUCACCUCUGGUGGACUUGCCCAAAAGUGAAGGCCUUCUGGGAAAGGAUCUAUAAUGAGUUAAAAAGGUGUUUAAGUACACCUUUCCCAAGAAACCAGAGGCCUUCCUACUGGGCAUUGUCGGCCAGAAGGUGUUAAAGAAGGAUAGAACCUUUUUAUGUAUGCAACUACAGCAGCAAGAAUUCUUAUCGCAAAAUACUGGAAGACUCAAGAUUUACCCACACUGGAAGAGUGGCAGACGCAAUUGAUGGGCUACAUGGAAUUGGCCGAGAUGACUGCCAGGAUCCGAGAUUUGGGAGAAGAAGCAAUGGAGGAGGAUUGGAAAAAAUUUAAAGAUUAUUUACAAAGAUUUUAUAAGUUAUAUGAAUGUUAAGAAUUCGCAUGAUUAGGGAAAUUCAGCUCCAGCAAUAAGAUUAAGGUAUGGGAAACUAAGCUAUAUUAAUGAAAGGACUAAUGUUUAAAAGAACAUUAUAUAAGUUAUUAGUGUAAAUUGACAAUAAGCAUUUUAAACGUAAACCAUAAGUAUUUGAAAGAACAAAAGAAUGCACAAAAUAAGGUUAUAAUUUGCUGAAAAAUUUUAUUGUAAAGAACGCAAGGUGAGGGAGACGUGGGAAGUCCGGUUGGUUAUGGAAAAAUGCUUUGGAAAGAUGAUUUUUUUCUUUUUCUUUUCCUUUUCUGUUAUUUCUUUGUAUAUCCGACUUUGUAUUUCUAUGUGGAAAAAAUGCAAUAAAAAUAUUUAAAAAAAAAAAAAGAAAUCCUUCAUUAACAGCAGUGCUAUCACUGAAAAGGGCCGGGCAAGCUUUCGUGAACUUUCUGCUGAUUAGCUCAUCCUCCAUUAAAAUACCAAUAUUCUGUCCUCAGUUGCCUACAUUUGGGGAAUAAAACUCAUUGUGAAACAGCUAAGUGUAAAUGGCACAAGUCUUUCCUUUUUUUUUCCUUUUUUUUAUUUUGAAGAAGGUUUGAAACUCCUUUAAGAGAAUAUCAACCACUUGCACCUACAUUUCUGAAGGACUAAGGUUUAACACGGCCGCUUUCUCCUCCGGUGAGAGAACCAUAGGAGGCAGCUAAUUAGAUUUUUAUGAACCUGCUCAGUGCAAAUUGUUGCCGAACCUCCAGUGGCACUUUACAAAGCUGCGGAUGGUUAUGAGAUCGGAUUGCCGCCUCAGUCCUGGGAGUGCAAGGCUCCGCAGGAAUCCUUCGAUACAUUAAGCAGAGCGAGGUGGUGGGAUUCUGAACUGCAUCAAUAAAUACUGCAGGGUGGGAGGGUGUGUGCGACAUUAUCGAAUGCUCACUUUUGUAAAGUACAGUGGUACCUCAGGUUACAUACUCUUCAGGUUACAGACUCCGCUAACCCAGAAAUAGUACCUCGGGUUAAGAACUUUACCUCAGGAUGAGAACAGAAAUCGCGCGGUGGUGGCAGCGGGAGGCCCCAUUAGCUAAAGUGGUACCUCAGGUUAAGAACAGUUUCUGGUUAAGAACGGACCUCCGGAACAAAUUACGUUCUUAACCCGAGGUACCACUGUAUUCCUUGCAAGUAAACUAGCACGUGAAGGAGAGGGAUUUGCCAAGAAGGGCUGCUUCUCAAGUGCUAGAGCACAAUCUUGGCAUGUAGAAGGGGCCCAAAUUUAAUCACCAGCCACAUCUAGGUUGGGCUGGCAAAGACCCCUGUAUGAAAUCUUGGAGAGCCACUGCCAUCCAGAGUAGAUAGCGCUGAGCUAGGUGGGCCAGUGGGUCUGCACAGGGCAGCUUUUGUUCUUUCCUACUUCGCUAGUGCUCUUCAGUAAUAUCCAGGACGAUGGAAGUGCUGUGAAGUUCAUGCUUCAUGGGUAAAUGGUCGCAGGUUCAAUAUCUGACAUCUCCAGGUAUGUCUGGGAGAGACUCCUGCCUGCAGUGGCGUAGCAUGGGGGCCAAAGGGGCGGUUGCCCAGGGCGCAAAAUGGUCAGCGGUGCAAAAUUCCAACACCCGUUGCUGCCACAGUACAGCUUCACGCUUCCGUUGCUGGGCUCUGUUGAAAAUGAACCAGGAAGUGACCUCUCCAGACAAUGGAGCAACUCUUCUUUUCUUAUCUCUGUGGCUGCAAUCUUCUGGGUGACGCAGACACCACUAGGCAGUUAAAUGUGCAUGCAUACUCUGUCCAUUUCCCUUCUCUCCCAACCUUCCCUGUGGCCCCGGACACUGGCAACCCACACUAUGUCACUGCCUGCCUGAUGCCUGAAAGAGCCCCUGGCAGUCAGAGGAAGCAACAUUGAGGUACAUGAGCCACGUAUAAGGUAGAUGUAUAAGGGGGAGGGCACUUCUAACGUUCCCCCGAUGCAAGUUUUGUGUGUCUGUUUCAAUCAGGGGAAACAUUUCAAAACUACGCCGCCGUUGCUACUUGCCGUUUGAACUGGUACAGCUGGAAAAGCUCCCACCAGAGUCUGCCACCUCAGCUUUUGUGACUAGCUCUUAGACGUGAAGGGAAGAUUAAUUGGGAAAUAAGGCUUGUGAACUUUUGUUUUUGCCCCAGAGCCAGCAUGUAAUAUACAAGAAAGCAAUGCCUCCCUGAUUUUGCUUAAUACCUUUCUGAAAGCCAGUUAUAAUCCUGUCCUUUUUAAGGUCUGGUCAAGUAUAACCUUCCGUACGGGGUUUUUUUGUUUUUUUUAAGGUGGGGGGAGGAAUGCAUCCCUUUCCUUUCCUUUCCUUUUGUCCCCCUCCCCUAAGAGCUUAUGAGUUGUUGAUUUUCUUCUUGUGUCGCUUGGCUCUUGUAGCACGAGAGAGAUUAAAUGACAGCUCUUUAUGUGCUGUCUCCCCACCAUAUGGGAUUGUACAUACAGUGCUAGAUGCUUAAAUUGGAUUCAUCUGUGUACUUGGCAGAAAUCCAGUUUAUAUGGCCGUGGGAUAAAACCUGUAAUGCUGAGCCUUGGUUGGCGUUGCGUUUGGGGUUUUCUUUUUAAUGGGGUUGGAGAGAAAUCUGGCAGGCACUCCCAUCUUCAAAACUGGGGCCACAUUACACAUUUUAAUGUUCUCUCACAGGAGAAACUCCCUGGAAAGAGCUCCCAGCGUCUGCAAACCUGGCAAAAUAGGUAUAUGUGUGUUGGCUGAUUGGUUAUUUAUUUGUGAAUAUAUAGAUAUAUAGCGAGAGAUAUAUAUAGAUAUAAAUAUAUAGAUAUAGAUAUAUAUCUCCCUGCAGAUUUACAGCCAAGAUUGGCUCCCAAAGUUGCUUGCAAUUAAUGCCUACAUAAAUUGUUGUUGCUGUAUAUUUAUUUAUACCCCACUUUCCCCCCUGACCUCAAGGAGGCUUACAGAUAAAAACAGUGUUUUGUUUUUCUUUUAAAAAAUUGUUUAAAGGUAAAGGGACCCCUGACCAUUAGGUCCAGUCGUGACCAACUCUGGGGUUGCGGCGCUCAUCUCGCUUUGUUGGCUGAGGGAGCCGGCGUACAGCUUCCGGGUCAUGUGGCCAGCAUGACUAAGCCGCUUCUGGCGAACCAGAGCAGCGCACGGAAACGCCGUUUACCUUCCCGCCAGAGUGGUACCUAUUUAUCUACUUGCACUUUGAUGUGCUUUCGAACUGCUAGGUUGGCAGGAGCAGGAACUGAGCAACGGGAGCUCACCCCGUCGUGGGGAUUUGAACCGCUGACCUUCUGAUGGGCAAGUCCUAGGCUCUGUGGUUUAACCCACAGCGCCACCCGCAUUUAGGAGUACUCUAAUUCCCACUCAAAGAAAAUCACCAUUUUAUAGUUCAAAUCGGGAAAAAUACAUACAGUAAAUGGACAAAAGUACAAAGAACAUGCAUUACCUCAUAUUACACAGCUGACAGCUCACAGUAACUUCCACAUGGGCAUGAGGUGGUGUGCACUAACAUCUUCCCGACUUUCAUCAGUAAAACACCACGCAUCCACAUUCCACACUGCUUCACACAUUAAACGCUCGCUUCCAUCUGAGACUCAGGAAACACCGGGAAAGGAAAUGAAGCCGCCAUUGGAGGUGGUAACAUCGAAACUGACCAAUCUCUGAGCUAGAUUCCAACUCCCUACUUCACACAUUAAACACUGGCUUCCGUCUGAGACUUAGGAAGCACCGUGAUAGAAAAUGAGGCUGCCAUUGGGGGUAGCAACGGAACUGAUGAUUCACUGUGCUAUUCAACAGAACUGAUGAUUCAUCGUGCUAGAGAAGAAACUAACAAUUUAAAUUUUUUUAGUUUCUUUUCCCGUUAUAUUCACAAAAUGUGUCCCGUCCCUCCCAGAAAAAAAGCACUGGAUAAAAAUAAAAACCACUAAAAACAUAGAAAACUUUCCCCUCCUGUAUUCAAAUUGUCAUCCCUCACUUCCGUUUUCUGUGUUACCCACAAUGAAGCGUUGCCUUUUCACUGAAGUCACUGCUAAGCACGGUUAAAAAAGAAGCUGCAAACUUGGUGUGAGCUACCAGUGAGCUACUCUAGAUGGUCAGGUGUACGGCUCAGACUACACACAUGCGUGGAAGAAUGCAUGCAGGGGGCUGUUCUGGCCAGCCCUGCCCUCCGUCGAACACCUCCCAGCCACUCGAGUUCCACAUGCCUACACCAAGACGUGUCUGUUGAAUGGUUUCUUUAAAUGUAAAGGUUCAUCACUGUUCCACCCGAUGUGUAUGUCUUUAAGGGGCCAGAGCAAGAUAACGAGACCCAGCUUUACAGCUGUGAAACAUAGCAGGUGCUGCUGAGUUGUAUUGAUUAAGCUGUGUUGGCAAUUGGGUGUAGUAUAUAAGGAGCAGCACCUAGCUCUCCCAUUACCCUGGGGGAUGGGUUGGUGGUUGGGUCUGGUUUGUUGUUGAUGUAUUUAGUGUAUAAGGAGUUUUGUUUUUGUUAUUAAAACCUUGUUUAAGUUAUUUUUGAGUCCCUUUUUAAUGCAUGGUCUCCCUAGCAAGCUCUCUGCAGCGCUACCAUAUUGCAAAUAACCAACAGUGUCGAGCUCCUUCACAUGUCAGUCAAAAGCACAGUCACUGCAGGCCAUGGUUGCUACCAUGGUCAGACUUAGGUUUGAUGAGGCCCUAACCUACUGAAGGUAUUGGGGCCCUUUAUAUAUCCAGCUGUCCUUUGUCAACAACAAAUUUGUCGCUGUUUUCUGUGUUGAAUAUAUGCUAUAUGGUAAUUUACGGACCUAAUAGGUAUCUAAAGCCAUAACACAAUUUGUAUUUUAUGAAAGUAUUUGUUGAACUGAAAUACAAUUAAGAAGUAUAGUAAUAGUGAACUAAUUAUUAAGUGAUAUUUUAGGGAGCAGGUGGGCCCAUUACUUACAUCUUUUAGAAGACAUCUGAAGGCAGUCCUGUUUAGGGAAGCUUUUAAUGUUUGAUGCAUUACUGUAUUUUAUUAUUUUGUUGGAAGCCACCCAGUGUGGCUGGGAAAGCCCAGCCAGAUGGGCGGGGUAUAAAUAAAUUAUUAUUAUUAUUAUUAUUAUUAUUAUUAUAUUAUUAUUAUUAUUAUGAGGCUACACAUCACAAAACACUGUUGCUGUAUGUAGGUUUUGGAAAUGUACACCCAGGUUUUUUUCCCUUUAAAUUUUUUGGGGGCCCCAAGAGAGUGGGGCCCUAAGCUAUAGCUUGUUUAGCUUAUACGUAAAUCGGGCACUGGUUGCUACACACAUUGGGGGUGGAGAUGCCUCCUUCACUCCCCCCACCAGAUACAUGAUCAGUGGGGGAGUCUUGGCUGCGCCCCCUCCCCUAGCUCUUCACAGGGGAAUCCAGGCACCAAACAUCUGCAGACCAGGAGACAGAAAAAAAAAUGCCCAUGUGGAUUCAUGGACUAGGCUGUCUGUGAUUGCAUAGUGGCUGGAUUUUAGCAGCCACUUUUGCAGGUAAAAAGUGGAAGGAAACUGCACCCCUCUCUGCAGUGGGACCCACGGCUGUGAUCUUCAGUAAAUGCCUGGGUUUUCCUUUCAGCUGAUAAAUCGCACAUAUCCUGCACCGGAAAACCUUUUUAAGAAAACAAUGAGAGCAACAACAACACUUUUAUUUCCUUUGCAUCUCGCCUUAACGAGCAGCAGUAGAAAUUUAGUGAUUUAGAUCCUUACUUAUAUUGAAAGCUUGUGUGCAAUUACUUGCACCUGCUUCUUUGCCCCAGGCAUCAACGUGAACUUAAUUCAUAGAGCCAAGCUCUGUGGCGAUGCCGUUUUUAUUCUGUGGACUUGCCUUAAUGUAGCUUUUUCCUUACUUCCGCUAUGCCUCGAUUAAAUCAAUCUGUGGCGUAGGAAUUCUGAGCUUAAAUGUUGCCGUCAUCACUUUAGAAUAGGCAGGGGCAUCGGUUAACCCACCUGUGCAAUGUGAGCAAGGAACCGUGUGUGAUCAGGGAUGAAGCUCUACCUCUCUUUUAAAUCAGAACCAGUGAAGGCGGUGAAGGUCCUAUGUGAGUGCCUGGAGGCGGUUGGAGGAUGGAUGGCAGCUAACGGAUUGAGGUUGAAUCCUGGCAAGACAGAAGUACUGUUUUGGGGGGACAGGGGGCGGGCGGGUGUGGGGCACUCCCUGGUCCUGAAUGGGAUAACUGUGCCCCUGAAGGACCAGGUGUGCAGCCUGGGAGUCAUUUUGGACUCACAGCUGUCCAUGGAGGCGCAGGUUAAUUCUGUGUCCAGGGCGGCUGUCUACCAGCUCCACCUGGUAUGCAGGCUAAGACCCUACCUGCCCACAGACUGUCUCGCCAGAGUGGGGCAUGCUCUAGUUAUCUCCCGCUUGGACUACUGCAAUGCUUUCUACGUGGGGCUACCUUUGAAGGUGACCCAGAAACUGCAAUUAAUCCAGAAUGCGGCAGCUAGACUGGUGACUGGGAGUGGCCGCUGGGACCACAUAACACCGGUCCUGAGAGAUCUGCAUUGGCUCCCAGUAUGUUUCUAAACACCAUUCAAGUUGUUGGUGCUGACCUUUAAACGGCCUCAGUCCUGUAUACCUGAAGAAGCGUCUCCACCCCAUCGUUCAGCCCGGACACUGAGAUCCAGCACUGAGGGCCUUCUGGCAGUUCCCUCAUUGCGAGAAAUGAGGUUACAGGGAACCAGACAGAGGGCCUUCUUGGUAGUGGCGCCCGCCCUGUGGAACGCCCUCCCUUCAGAUGUGAAGGAAAUAAGCAGCUAUCCUAUCCAAAGGCAGCCCUGUUUAGGGAAGUUUUUAAUAUUUAAUGCUGUAUUGUUUCAACACUCGAUUGGAAGCCGCCCAGAGUGGCUGGGGAAACUCAGCCAGAUGGGCAGGGUAUAAAUAAUAAAUUAUUAUAACAUUAUUAUUAUGCUGUACCUUGUGACCUUCCUGCUGUUGCUAGAACUACAGUUCCCACCAUCCCUGGCCAUUGCCCGUGCUGGCUGGGGUUGAUGGGAGUUUGAGUCAAGUCACUUCCUGUGGAUCACAGGUUCCCCAAGCCUGCUAUACCUGUUUAGUCAGAAGCCGAAUCCCAGGGACUCUUUAGAAAAGAGAUUUAGGAUUGCAGCCCUGUACCCCCCACCCAAUUAAGAUAACAAACUCCUGCUGUUGCUGAAAUAUUUAUUCUUUCGCAGUAGGUCUCUUCCACGUUGAUUUCCUUUUUCCUUUCCUUUCUCCUUACUUACUAUUGUAAUUUUUUUGCUAACAUUUGCGUUUAGUAUUCCUCGAGUAUUCUUCAUUGUCUGCUGGUAUUCCUCCUCUCAAUUGAAUUGUCACUAUACUACUCAAGGUAUGUGUUCUGCAGCAGCUUUUGGUCUCUAUUAAUAAUACAGUGGUACCUCGGGUUAAAUACUUAAUUCGUUCCGGAGGUCCGUUCUUAACUCCACGAUUUCUGUUCUCAUCCUGAAGCAAAGUUCUUAACCCGAGGUACUAUUUCUGGGUUAGCAGAGUCUGCAACCUGAAGCAUAUGUAACCUGAAGCGUAUGUAACCCGAGGUACCACUGUAGUGGCUAAGACUGAUCUGUACGUGGGCAGGUAUGUUCAGUGUACUUUCUACCAUGUUGGCCUUGGAUGGGAUUGCCAAAUGGGGCCAAAUUUUCAGCAAUCCUUUGUUUUUGUUUUUCUGAUAGUGUACGGAUUCCCCCCAUCCUUUUAUAAAAAUAAGGGCUUGCCUACGAUUAUUAAAACUGUAAACACAGUGAUACCUCGGGUUACAUACGCUUCAGGUUACAGACUCCGCUACCCCAGAAAUAGUACCUCAGGUUAAGAACUUUGCUUCAGGAUGAGAACAAAAAUCGUGCUCCGGCGGCGUGGCAGCAGCGGGAGGCCCCAUUAGCUAAAGUGGUGCUUCAGGUUAAGAACAGUUUCAGGUUAAGAAUGGACCUCUGGAACGAAUUAAGUACUUAACCCAAGGUACCACUGUAUCUUUUAUGAAUAAGACCAGAGCUUCCCCGUCCCCAGUGGGAACUCAUCAGAACUGAGUUCCAGCACCUCUCAGGUGGGUGCCAUUGCCAUUAUAAGAGAACAAGGGAGGCAUUUGUGGUGAGUUCCGGCACCUCUUUUUCUAGAAAAAUAGCACUGAAUUAAGAUGACACCGACUGCUUGGUUUCAUGCAGAGAGGUCAUCUGAGGUUGCAUAGCCCAGUUCAGACUGUGGAUAAGCUUGGUGCAAACAUGAAGCAAAAUAGCCUACAGGCUGGGCGAUCGCAUUUUUGAAUGCUAAUGUCAGCCUCCCCCAGCCUAUUGGCCAAAAGUUACUAAAACGAAUAUUGACGCAACUAUUCAGGAAAGCGAAAGCGAAUUCUUGACAUCAACAAAUAGAUCAGCCAGAUUAGAACCCUCUUUGAAUACCAAUGUGUGCUCGGGCAUCACACCAUCAAUUACUGCAUCGAAAGUCAGGUAUUCUACAUAGAGCUUCAGGGAAAACUCAAAGUUUUAAACCCAAACAGUAAUUAAACCUGAGGGUCUGACUACUGAAACCCAGAUAUUAUCUCUUUAGAAAGCCUGUUCAGCAGCCGGUUUGAGGUUCCCAUGCCAGCACACUGUAAUAUGUAAGUUAAUAAGCACUUGCCAUUGAUGCUUUCUGCAGGAACCAUUUAAUUUUUUAAUCAUAUCUUUAAUUUACUGUUUACGCUUUUAUCCAGCUUUUUGUGUAUGCACACUCACAGUCAAGUGGGAGUUAGGGUAAGUCUGAGCUCCCUAGAGAAUAAACAGUGACCAAUCUGGAGGGUAUUGCUCUUGCUAAAAUCGAUUGGGCUUUUUUUUUACCUAUAAUUAUCCUUCAAUAACUGGCAUAUCAUCAUAUAUAUACAUAUAUAGAAAGUGCUUUUCCAAGCAGCAAGCAACAUCAUGUUAUUCCUCCUCCCCCCCCCAAAAAAGUGGGUGUCUUAUUCUUAAGAACUGGUGCAGAUGUUCUUGCACCUGCUCUCCCGCACGCAAAAAGAACUGCUCAUAUGAGUAGUGUCCUUGCAUGAGCGGGUAUAGCAUGGGAGAUAUUUAUUUUCCCGAUCCUAGGACAGAGAAGGGCGAUCUGCAUCCAAUAAUAUCACUUUUGAGCUAAUUUGAAAUGUGUCAGAGCAGCCACGUGUAUUACACUCUUAUGUGGGGCUGCCUUUGUAGGUGACCCAGAAACUACAACUCUCCACCCCCAUCGUUCAGCCCGGACACUGAGGUCCAGCUCCGAGGGUCUUCUGGCAGUUCCCUCCCUGCGAGAAGUGAGGUUACAGGGAACCAGGCAGAGGACCUUCUCGGUAGUGGCGCCCAACCUGUGGAACGCCCUCCCAUCAGAUGUCAAAUAAAUUAACAACUAUCUGACUUUUAGAAGACAUCUGAAGGCAGCCUUGUUUAGGGAAGUUUUUAAUGUCUGAUGUUUUAUUCUGUUUUUAAUAUUCUGUUGGGAGCCGCCAGAGUGGCUGGGGAAACCCAGUCAGAUGGGCGGGGUAUGAAUUAUUAUUAUUAUUAUUAUACAAAAUUUACUUUUGAACACCUCUUAAGAACCUAUAUGUUUACCCAAGUUUUCUUGGACACAGACAACAUCAUCACCACCAUCAUAAUUAUUUGCUUUGCUCACUGAGCUGCGGUUGUACUUCAUUUGGCUUUUGCAACAUUAUUAUUAUUAUUAUUACUUCCUUGUUUUCAAGUAAAGCAAGUGUGGAGGGAAGCAAAUCUGAGCUUUGCCUAAGGGUGUUCUGCUGCUUUUGAGCAGUCACUGCCUUCCCCCAGCCGCCUGGCUCACUUCCAAUACUGGGUGUUAUUUAUUUAAAUUUUUAACACUGCUAGAUUGUUUGAAAAUACCUCAAAGCGGUUUACAAAGAGUUGCCAGGGAUCGAGCCUUUGGCCUUCUGUAUGAAAAACCUGUGCUGUUCCACUGAGCUAUAUGGCCUGUCCCCAUCUCAAGACUCUUUUUAUAGCAUCAUUAUAUUUCACUAGUGUCCAGGUUUCCUUGUGGAGAAACUCUGACCCUAUCCUCCUCCCGAAAAAUACAAAGGACGUCCGAAGAAGAAAUACCGCAGUUUAGAGUAGGCCAAUUUCAUUUCGGAAAACAACCCCCCUAAAAUGCAUAAUCACAUGUUUUUGACCCAUCGUAUGCCUCCGACAGGCAGAAAAGCCAAGAUUCAGUGCAAGUGGACUCCAGGUAGUGAGUAGCACAGCAACUGGAGUCAAAACAAGAUCUUUACAUGCUGCAACCAAUAAAAGGCUAGUGGCCGUGAAGUGUUGGAAACUGUUUAAAAUUACAAAGCCGUGAAAUGGUAGGUUUGCGAAAGGGGUAAAAUAUCUCUUUUCUGAUGAUGUUCCAUGGCUAGCUGCAGAGUCUUCUGAGCAUCCACAGGUGGGUUAUCUGCAUAGAUUUCUGUGAAAUUGAUCCAGUAUCGUUGGUUGUUUCUUUCUUUGUUUGACAGGUGUUAUCCACCGCUUCAUCCAUAACCUCCAACCAUUUACAUAGAAUAGUAAAUGUUCUUGGGGGCUUUUCCCGCCUGCCUCCGCCUGCAUUCGCUCCUUAAGACGCACACACAUUUCCCCUUACUUUUAGGAGGGAAAAAGUGUGUCUUAUGGAGCAAAAAAUACGGUAUCUUGCUUGGCCCUGACUAAACAUGGUUUUGCAGGUUGGACUAGAAAAGGUUGGCCAGGCGGCAAUUCUGCUUGCAACAUAGGCAAGACACGAAAGUCGCGAGAAUUUUUUCCCCAAAUUUCAAUGCAUCUCCGCAGUUGCGCUGGGCAGCCCCUGGGAUUAGCUGCAGUUAUUGGACUGAUGUAAAAUGCAGCAUGCAAAUGUGACCUUCAAAUCACAUCGUCUUCCGUAUGGUGACCUUUCCGGUUUCUGAAUGCAGUUCUUUCUCUUCUGUUUCUUUCCUUUUGAUUAAACAUACCCAAUUCCUUCCCCUUUCCCCUUCGUAUGCCUUGCGUGGCGAAGCCUUAUUAUCUAAUUGGCUUGCCUGCGUAGCAGUGACCAGCUGUUAAGUGUGGAAAUUGCUCAUAUGUAUGGAGCGUCACGUUUUUGUUUGGUUUAGUCACUUCUCAGGCAAAUUCCUGAAGUUCUUUACAGUAAAAAUAAAAUACUGUAAUAGAAAAAUUCAGAAGUGCACUAUAAAACAUCAUUCAAACAGUCCAACAGCAGUGAGACCCCCCCUCAAAAAAAAAUCACAGUGAGAUCCCAAGCCAAUGUCAUGCUGAUGACAAGUGUAGGAGGCAGGUGCAUAGCUGAGAAGAAUAAGAAGAGUUUGGAUUUGAUAUCCCGCUUUAUCACUACCCAAAGGAGUCUCGAAGCAGCUAACAAUCUCCUUUGCCUUCCUCCCCCACAACGAACACUCUGUGAGGUGAGUGGGGUUGAGAGACUUCAAAGAAGUGUGACUAGCCCAAGGUCACCCAGCAGCUGCAUGUGGAGGAGCGGAGACGCGAACUCGGUUCACCAGAUUACGAGUCUACCGCUCUUAACCACUACACCACACUGGAGGGGCAACAGGACAUCUCCAGAGCAUCAGUUUCCCUUAACACAUUGCUUGGAUGGAAGAAGCACCUCCAAGACAAGUUAUCUAUGGUCAUCCUAGACUCCAGAUUACCUGAUCUAGCUGAUCUGAGGUGCUGUUAAUAUUCGGGAGGGAGGCAUUGCAGAGCAGCAAUGAUCAGGAGAGAAUAAUCAGUGCAGAGGGUGAGGCAGCGGAGCCCUAAUCCAAAACCUCAAAGCAAAGGUUGCUAGUUUCCUUGCUAAUUCAGAGGCUUUGUGUAUCCUGGUCCUUGCAAAUCUCUAUUCCCUUUCGUAUUUGAAGAAGGAUCUUAUAACGGAGCACAAAUACUCCCUUUGGCUCCUUUGGUCCCAGCAACAGUUCUGUGAGGUUUUCUGUUCAAGUCCCAGAGUCUCUAAGAGAAGAAAAAUUGUUUCUGCUGGUUUUGUGUUCUAUUGCCAUUAUGAUGGUGAGGGGGGAAAGUACAGACCCUAUCAGGUUUCUCCCUCCCCUCAGUCUUCGGCUUUCCUUUCUGUUUCUUUUAUACAAAGAUGAGUUAACGUUAAUUUAAUUACCUUACAGCUUCUUAAACAGUACCACACAUAAGAGCUGAAAACCAUACAUUUCCCUCCUCCUCUUUCUCUGGAGAAAAAAACAUAUAUGAAUCAUUUGACCACAAUUACCAUUUUCCCCCGUUAGAGAAAGCACCUUGCUGUCUAUUACAUAAAGUGAUUUAUUAGUAUGUGGGGCAGACCGUUUGAGAUACAGUGUCUGCCUAACCAAUGAGACAUGGGUAAUUGCACAGCACGAGGCCUCCAGAAACAAAUUAUAUUUGGCAUUUAAUAUAAACCCAAACACCUAAGAAGUAAAAACACAAUGUCUGUAAAAACAAAACGAAAAACCACCAAGUCACAACACAGGGGGGCUGUAUUGAAUGAUCUACUCAGAGUAAACUCAUUGAAAUCAAUGGACAUGGUGUAACUUGUGUCCAUCAAAUUCAGUAGGUCUUCCCUAUAUUUUUAAGACUAGUCUUACUCAAAGUGACCUAUUGAAGCUAAUGGACAUUACUUACUGAAGCCAAUGAAUUUCAGUGGAUCGACAGUGCGUAGGACUUGGCUGAACGCAACUUACUAUCAUCAUCAGUAUUGUGGCAUGUUUUCCUUCCUUCAUCUCUGCAUUUUUGCAAACCGCUGCCCCAUGGGUAUUGGGGAAAACGGGCCAGUCUUUGUGACAACUUCCUAAGCAUGGGUUGUAAUCCAGAUCUACGUCUUCUUUUUAAGCAAACCUUUUCUCCCAAUUAUGGUUCUACCAGAACCAUAAGUAACACAGAACUAAUAAUAGUAGUUACAGGGAACCCGGCAGAGGGCUUUCUCGGCAGUGAUGCCCUCCCUGUGGGCGAUAACCUGCGGCUCUCCGUUAUGAGAACAAGCCCUUCACAGCAGUCAGAUCUUUGAAAUGUUGCAAGGCCUGGCUAGCCUAGCGCAAGCCUGAAGUCAGAAGCAGUCCUUUCUGCACCAAGCUGUUGCUUUGCAUUUGUUCGCCAUCAAUGUUGAGGACGGCGAAACAGUUAAUUCAUUUUGCCAUCAAUUCCCACACACACACCCUUUGCAAAAGUGAUUUGACACAGUCUAGCAGGGUGCUGUUAUUGAAAAAUUGAAGCACCAGGUGUGAUUAAAUAAGAUCACACAUUUCAUUCCCUCUUUAAUUUCACAUCAGUCUUCAGCAGCUGUAUCCUCGUGCUUCCCUACAGCCAGAGAGCCACGCCGCAUUAAUAGCAGACGUCUCAUUGUACAGCACGUUCCAUCAGCUGACGGUCGAUCGAAGCUGUCCAUGAACGCAGUUAUUUGUUUUGAUGGGCCAGGCCUGCAAACCUUCCUGCGCUCUUCCCCCUUUUUUUGCUGGAGUUAAGGGAUGGGCUGCUUCAUUGUCAUCGUCAGAGGUGGGCAUUGGGGACAUCCUUGAGGCUGUGUCUGGCUGGACCAGAGCCAAGGGCCUGGAGUGUGCCCUCCAGUUUGGGGUCCCUCAAGCUUGAGGUCAGUGAAGUUGAAGCCUGAAGUGUAGCAAAACAGGUACUGCUCUGUUGGCAUAAGUGUCCCAUAGGUAGGCCCAGGAUUUAUAGAACUCCAAACCCUUCAUUUGCUUAGCUUAGUGGCAGAGAACAUCAUUUGCUUUGCAUGUCCUAGAGCAGCGGUUCUCAACCUGUGGGUCCCCAGAUGUUGUUGGACUACAACUCCCAUCAUCCCUGAGCUCUGGCCCUGCUAGCUAGGGGUGAUGGGAGUUGUAGUUCAACAACAUCUGAGGACCCACAGGUUGAGAAAGGCUGUCCUAGAGGAAGUCCAUGACAUCUCCAGUUGACAAGGAUCAGGUAGCAAGCGAUUGGGGGGGCAGGAACCUUCUGGCUGAGACCCUGAGGAACAUUACCAAUCAGACUAGGCAUUUCUGGGCCAGAGGGACCAAUAGCCAGCCCUGGCUUAUGUCAGCUUGCUACAUUCCUAAGCUGUCUGCCAAUCCUAGAAACGGGUAUGCAGUUGGCAGAAAGGAUUAAGACUCUGGAUUGGCCAGAUGAUAAUCCUUUUGAGAGAGGGCUAUCUAUCUUUCUUCUGAGGACCAGCAUUCCCUCAGGGGUCACCUGUAAGAGGCCACACGUUGACAGCAGACAGAGCCAAAAAUGUUCUGAAUUCAGUAAUGCAGAAUAGCCCUCCCUCAAUUUUUACCCUAACCACUCCUGAGCAAAUCUAACCAGUAAGUUCCCCUAGGCUUGAUGGAGUUGUUGUUUAGUCAUUUAGUCGUGUCUGACUCUACGUGACCCCAUGGACCAGAGCAUGCCAGGCACUCCUGUCUUCCACUGCCUCCCGCAGUUUGGUCAAACUCAUGCUGGUAGCUUCGAGAACACUGUCCAACCAUCUCGUCCUCUGUCGUCCCCUUCUCCUUGUGCCCUCCAUCUUUCCCAACACCAGGGUCUUUUCCAGGGAGUCUUCUCUUCUCAUGAGGUGGCCAAAGUAUUGGAGUCUCAGCUUCAGGAUCUGUCCUUCCAGUGAGCACUCAGGGCUGAUUUCCUUCAGAAUGGAGAGGUUUGAUCUUCUUGCAGUCCAUGGGACUCUCAAGAGUCUCCUCCAGCACCAUAAUUCAAAAGCAUCAAUUCUUCGGCGAUCAGCCUGCUACUAAAGCCCAACACAGCUUGAGACCAGGAUACCUGAAAGAUGGUCUUACCUCUUACAAUAGCUAGUUGAUCGCUGUGUUCCGCAGAUGCCGUCCUAUUAGGUGGUCCAUGCCACACAGUGUAGGAAUUGGGCCUUUAGCACCGUAGCACCUAUCUUUGGAAUUCCCACCCCUUGAAGAUUAAAUAGGUGCUGCCUCUCUUGUCUUUUUGGCACCUACUGAAGGCCUUCCUCUUCCGAGAAGCCUUUUAAGUUUAGCUCUUUCCCAGUCUGCACCUAUAUUGUAAUUGAUCUUAAGGUGUUCCAUUAUUUUAUCUCUUGUUGUCUGCCACCCUGGGCUCCUUUGGGUGUAAGGGUAGGGAUAUAUAUUGAGUAAAUAAAUAAGUAUAUGGAGGAUUUGGGGGUUGGGGCUGAUUGUUUUGCUACUCAUUAGGGAGGAGGGAAUUUCUUUGUCCACCUUCUCCACACGCUUCUCUAUCAUGUCCCCUCUCUUUUUCUUUUUUGAUGAAUAAGCCAUGGUUUUAUGCUGCUGCCGUAAUUCACCCAAUAAUAGCUCUUUUUUUCUUUUUUCUUUUUUGCUGUCAUCUUUUUUUUCUUUAACAAAGUAAGAAUCUUAAAUAUUUUGACAAAGUAAUAAUCAUAAAUAAAUAAGAAUAAAAAUGUUCACCCCACCACUGAGACCAUUCCAUUGUAACUAUCCAACCUCUCAAAAUUUCAACACCUCUUGUGAUGGUUUGACCCUUUUCCAUUUUAACAGUACAGAUUCUACAAACACCCUCCAUAUCUCCUCAAAACCAUUUCUCCUGCAUGUUCCCCGUCUUACCUUAGUGACACAUGUUAAUUUAUCAUUAAUAGAUAUACCCCACGCCACUUUAUACCAUUUUAUAUUCAGCUUGCUGCUUCCACUUCCUAGCUAUAAUAAUGCGUGCAGCUGUCAGUAAAUUUGUGAGCAAGUCCUUCCCAGCCUGCGAACCUUCCACCCCAUUGUAAAUUAAUAAUAGUGCUACCUCUGGACUUUCAGUCAGCUUUAACCCAGUGAUUUCCAUUAUCUCCUUAAACACAUAUUUACACAUGUGAACCACCACCACAUGUGAACAUAAUUCCCUGUUUCCUGGCAUCCCCUCCAACAUAACACCGAAUAUUCCUUGUUUAUUUGAUUUAAUCCGAUUGGUGUUAAUUACCAUUUCCGAACCAAUUUAUAAUAAUUUUCUUUUAUUCUUAUAGACAGCAUUUUCAACGGACGUUUAUCCCAUAAUUUCCCCCAGCUGUGACUGACUAUUUGCCCUGUUAUAUCCUUUUCCCACACCUCUCCUAAUUGAUCUUCUUGAGCCUCCAUUUCUAUUAAUAUUUUAUGUCUCCUCUUACUGGUUUUUUUCCUCUGAAAUAAGAAUCCUCAAAUGUUUAAAUGAACAUAGGAGGAAACCAGGAGAGUGGAGGAGCAAGCUAGAAGCCCCGCCCAGAGAAAGCAGGAAUGCAGCAGAGCACACCAAGUCCUUCCUGCCUAGAAGGACUCCCAUGGUCAGCCACUUGGGCGGAGUCAUCCAGAAGGUUCUUCACGGAGAAGGCUGCUACCUGCAGUUCAGCGAUUGACCACCUGGGGGGCCACACAUUGGUUCCAGCAGGACCUCCCUCACAUGUGCUUACGGUGGAGUACUUGGAAGCAUUUGAAGCUGAGCUAUACUCAUAGAGUGUUACUUGCUCAAGCCUGCAGAUUUGGACCAGUGAGUCCACAAAGAUUUAGACCAGUAAAUCCACUGAAAAUAAGGUGGAAAUAGGAAGCUGAAGAGAUUCUUUGCUGGUGGAAGUGGGUGCUGUUCAAUUCUUCAUUCUCAAAUCUGCCCUGAGUGUUCUUAGUUUAUUGUAAUUUGUCUACCCCCCAUCUUAAAGCAAACUUGCUCCCAAGGUGAGAUUCUCGAGAAGGCAAGAAGCACAUGUUAUUAAAUUAAUGGGAAAGUUUCCUUCUCGGUUGGGGAGAGCAGGACAAAUAAAACCACUUUGACCUUUCUUUCCCUGCAUGAGACAAAUUAAGCUCCACAGUUCCAUCAUAAAUGGAAUCUUGUAGCAAGCAUGUAAUUUGACUUGCAUGAAAUGCACAUUUUCUUAAUGUCUGCACCCUACGUAACUGGAACGAUGUUCUCUGGGAUUUUCCCCCCCGCAAUGAAUAUCAAAUUAGCACAUGCUUUUUACUGAGCUUUUGCUAAGUAAACAGGCAGCUGCUUCCACUCAGAGCUCUCCUUCUCUGUCACCGUUUUACAUAGCAGUGUAGCUUUUGGUUGACUGGAUGGAGUUACCAAAUAAGGACAAUGGUGUGCAGUGUAAGAAGUAUUGAUAACUUUGAGAGUAUCUGGUGAAGAAACUUGUUUCUGAAAAUUAAUAUUGAAAAUGGACAGACUUCUAGUCCUUUCGAAGUUCGUCAUCUCUCAGGACUUGCGAUAAAGCUGGUGUCCUCUAGAUGUUGUUGGACUUCAGGUCCUUCACCCCUGGCCUUGGGCCAGAACUUCUGGGAGUUGGAGUCUGACAACAUCUCAAGAGCCAACGGUUCCUUCAGGGAUGUCAGAGCUAAAUGCAGUAACAGCCCCACUAGUCAAAAGAAGGAAUUGAGAUAGACCAGCCAUAUUGAUACCCUUGCCUCUUCCAGUUCAGGUUUUAUUACUUGGUCUGAGAAACUUGGAGGCUCUGUUCUUGGUGACAGUGGACUGCCUCUCCCUGUCUCCUCCUCCAUUCUUGCCUUGCACCCAACAGGAGCCAGGUAUGACACCAUAAUGCAUCUUGUUGGCAUCAAAGGAGGGUGACAGCAAAGUUUCCGAGAGGGGAAAAGUGUGUUUUCAAGUCAAGUACCUAUACAGAAGAAUUAUUGUAUAGUUAACCUUGUAUCAAUGAUUCUGGCAGAUUGCUUGGAUAGCUAUGAAUCUGGGAAAUAGCUUAAGCUCUCCCCGCACCCCGCUUGCUGCAAUGAUAGAUGAUCCCUACUGUCACAAGGCUGCUGGGAGGGUUCAGGUUCCCUAAUGUUGUGAGACACGCCGAGCUAAAAGCUAUUCGAGCAGUGCAGAGCUGCUUGUACUAAUGUUUUAAACAUUGCAUCUGUAUUAGAUUGGAUUUUAUUGACCUUAUUAUCUGGAGAUGGUGUUUAAAGGUGUAUGCAUUACAUGGGUCUUGGGGAAACCUCUGCAGCAUCCAUGCUGUGGCUGGAGUUGUUCUCCUGGGUCUCUGCCUAGCAUGCUGCUGUGCGGAGCAUCUAUUGGACAGCAAUAGAUGCUAGCUAUUAGAGAGGGAUUAAAUGCAAUGAGAUGGAACGCUACAGUGAGCCUUCCCCAAACUGCGAAACAAAUGAUUUGGAGAUUUGAGCUUCCCUAAGCAUAACUAUGACCAAACAACGGUUGACAUAGUGUCUGGGAAGUAGGGCGGCUCUUUGGUCCUGGGUGUCAAGACUGCAAACUGACUGUCAAGAUCUUUUAACCAUAGCUAUCCUUUAGGACAGCAUCUUAAAAAGCAGAGACAUCACCUUGCCAACAAAGGUCCGUAUAGUUAAAGCUAUGGUUUUCCCAGUAGUGAUGUAUGGAAGUGAGAGCUGGACCAUAAAGAAGGCUGAUCGCCGAAGAAUUGAUGCUUUUGAAUUCUGGUGCUGGAGGAGACUCUGGAGAGUCCCAUGGACUGCAAGAAGAUCAAACCUCUCCAUUCUGAAGGAAAUCAGCCCUGAGUGCUCACUGGAAGGACAGAUCCUGAAGCCGAGGCUCCGAUACUUUGGCCACCUCAUGAGAAGAGAAGACUCCCUGGAAAAGACCCUGAUGUUGGGAAAGAUGGAGGGCACAAGAAGAAGGGGGCGACAGAGGACGAGAUGGUUGGACAGUGUUCUCGAAGCUACCAGCAUGAGUUUGACCAAACUGCGGGAGGCAGUGGAAGACAGGAGUGCCUGGCGUGCUCUGGUCCAUGGGGUCACGAAGAGUCGGACACGACUAAAUGACUAAACAACAACAACAUCCUUUAGGAACUAAGCUGUUCUUAUUUGCCUUGGCAAUCCCAGCUGAGUUGUUUGACCAUAUUUAGAAAUGAUUCCAGUUUUGGCCCAAGGCUUAUAUCCAAAGAAGUCAUCCCAUUUGUGCAAACACUUCCACCUGUGCAACAGGACCACCUCACCCUCUCUUCUCCCCACACCCUCAGCUCUCCAGAUCUGCUCUGGAGGACAGGGGGAAGUCUUAGAGCAGAUGGGAGGGUGCAUGGGGCACUUAGGAAAAGAAGAGGGAGUCCUUGCGCCAACAGGGUCAUGCUGCAACACUAUUGUUGGUUUUGAUGUUGCGAUCUUCCUUGAAGACUAGACUGGACAGCUGGAAAGGCAUGCUGGGCAUGUUUAAAAUGAAUCUAUAAAUAUUUAAAGUUGUUGUUGUUGUUUAGUUGUUUAGUCAUGUCCGACUCUUCGUGACCCCAUGGACCAGAGCACGCCAGGCACUCCUGUCUUCCACUGCCUCCGCAGUUUGGUCAAACUCAUGCUGGUAGCUUCGAGAACACUGUCCAACCAUCUUGUCCUCUGUCGUCCCCUUCUCCUUGUGCCCUCCAUCUUUCCCAACAUCAGGGUCUUUUUCAGGGAGUCUUCUCUUCUCAUGAGGUGGCCAAAAUAUUGGAGCCUCAGCUUCACGAUCAGCCACUUCACUUCCUUGGAUAUAGAAUAAGCUCAACCGGCAAUUGUCAGUGGAGCUUUAGUUAGGGAUAUUUCUUCUCAUGAGGUGGCCAAAGUCUUUCUUGCAGGGCAGGAGGUGUGUCUUCACAGUGCAACAGAUUUCUGUUGGAACUCUUUAUAUCGGAGCAGACAGAAAGAAAACAAGCUGUUCUGCAAUAGAAAACGAGUCCCACCAGGUGGUAAGCAAAUGGAAGCGACUACAGCAGCCCCGGCCACCAUUUGCGACAGUUGCUACCUGUGCCCCCUGCCAGAGUGAGGCUUCCCAAAGCUGCCACUCAGCAGGGUGCCUUAAAUGACUCCCAGAUGAGCGUUGGCUUUGUGGUGGAGUGCCUUUCGCCUGAUCUUCCGCUGGGGAGGGUGGCAGGGUGCGCAGUUGCCCUGCCCCACAGACUCCUCCAAAGCUGAGAGCCAGUUGAGGUGCUCACACCCCACUGUAAAUGAAAAAUAUAGACGGGGGGUGGUGAGGAAUCAGCCCUUAACACUAGCUGAGUUGCAGCAGACAUAAUGAAGUGUGAAACAUGUUGUUCCCAGUCGGCAUGCCAUGCUGCUUUAAUUUGCAGAAUAUAUAAUUAUGCAGCAUUAAAAUUUCAGGACCUUAGUCUUUGACAGAAAUUGAAAUGAAAACAGACAAAUGCAUGAGUCAGAAAGACAAUUGCUGCGAUCGGAAUAGCUCAGAGUAUGGCGUCGUCGCCGCUUUCUCUCUUGCGAGGCUCUCGCGGCCUGAUCUCUGCCCUGGUAAAUACUUGCUUGCUUAUUGCACCACCGGUGGGUGGGCAGCUUGUCUAAAGUGGGAAAACAUCAUGAAAGGGAAAGGCUGCCAUCUCGUUUCCACAGUGUCGCUACAUUUAAUUAGCCAAUGUGCGCACUGCCAGCAUGAGCAUAGGGGACAGUAACCACAGGUGUGGGAUUUGUGCAGAGAAAGACAUGCACCAGUCCCUCAUGCUAUUGUGGGCUGCAUCAACAGAAGUAUCGUGCCCCGAUCAAGGGACUUCAUACUCCCAUUCUAUUCUGUCUUCAUCAGAUGGCACCUGGAAUACUGUGUCCAGUUCUGGCACCACAAUUUAAGAAGGAUGUUGACAAGCUGGAAAGUGUGCAGAGGAGGGCAACCAAGAUGAUCAGGGGUCUGAAAACCAAGCCUUGUAAGGAACAGUUGAGGGAGUUGAGUGCAGUCUGGAAAAGAGGAGACUGAGAAGAGCUAGGAUAGCCACCUUCAAAUAUCUUAAGGGCUGUUAUACGGAAGACAGAGCAAGCUUCUUUUCUCCUGCUCCAGAUAGGACCCGAAGCAAUGGCUUCAAGUUACAAGAAAGGAGAUUCUGACUAAGCUUUAGGAAGAACUUUCUGACAGUAAGAGCUGUUUGAAAGUGGAAGUGUCUCCCUCAGGAGGCUGUGGACUCUCCUUCCUUGGAGGUUUUUAAGCAGAGGUUGGAUGGCCAUCUGUCAUGGAUGCUUUAGUUGAGAUUCCUGCAUUGCAGAGGGUUGGACAAGUUGACCCUUGGGUUCCCUAUGAUUCUGUAUUCUAUGUGUCAGCCUUACAAAAACAUAGUUGGGGGUCUCUAAACAUGUACUAGAUUGCCAAGAUGGCUGAAGCAUCUAGUUCCCUGGUCAGCAACAGGGUUUUGUGGUCAAGCCGCUUUGCUGGGGGAAUUGUUUGCCAGUGCCCUGACCCUUUAAGGCAGAGCUUUGCAAACUCCUCAUGUUGUUGACACACUUUUUAGACGUGCAUUAUUUCACGACACAGUAAUUGAUAGCCAACCGGCGGUUAAACGAACCACUUUCCAUCGCUGGGAGGAGCGCGGGGAGUGUUCGCGGGAUACACCUACGCACUGCAGCCAACACACUAAUGUGUCACAACACACAGUUUAGAAAGCUCUGCUUUAAGGGGCCUGCAGGAUCCUGGGUUGCCUCAGGCAGCAAACUGAGGAGUGGCAAGCAGAGGACAACCCAUGCACCCUUCUCACUGCCAGCUGCAUCUCAACACCUCACAGUGCCUUUGUCAAUCAAAUGCAAGGCUAUAGCCAAGUGCCUGCUAUAGCCAUUGAAUUAUUUGAAUGUGAGGUUUAUGUGUCCUGCUAUUCCAUGGGAGUGCAGGAAAGGCACCAGAUAUGGCAGUGGGCGAAGAGUUGAGCUUCCUGUGAUUGGGGUGGGUCCAAAGGGGCCUUUCUAGGUGCAGAAAGUGCCUCCGGCUUUCGGAAGAGCUGUUUUGCACCUUGCAGUAAAGGUAAAGGGACCCCUGACCAUUAGGUCCAGUCGUGACCGACUCUGGGGUUGCGGCGCUCAUCUCGCUUUACUGGCCGAGGGAGCCGACGUACAGCUUCCGGGUCAUGUGGCCAGCAUGACUAAGCCGCUUCUGGCAAACCAGAGCAGCGCACAGAAACACCGUUUACCUUCCCACCGGAGCAGUACCUAUUUAUCUACUUGCACUUUGACGUGCUUUCGAACUGCUAGGUUGGCAGGAGCAGGGACUGAGCAACGGGAGCUCACCCCGUCGCGGGGAUUCGAACCGCCGACCUUCUGAUUGGCAAGUCCUAGGCUCUGUGGUUUAACCCACAGCGCCACCCGCGUCCGUCUUUCUUGUCUUGCAGUACAGAAAGCAAAAAAAUCUCCAUCUAGUUGCACCCCCCCCCUUUACGUGAGCAGGGCAAAAUAACGUCUACGUUUUAGCAUUGUGUGAAUUUCUUUCCAAGCUCAUUUGUGGAACAGUGCUAGCGGCUAGUUUUCUUUAACUAACAGUUCUUUGGAUUCCGCCCAAGUUUUGCUUUUGAAAAGGUAAGUCUCUCACCUUUAUAGCCGAAAACAUAUGCUUGGAAGUGUGGGGGAAUGCCUGCUGAAAUUCCUAAAGCCGGAUGAUGUCUCAAAAUGAUUUCCAGGCUUGGGGAUACGGGGCUUCAUUGUCCUGGGUAGCUCUUCACCCCAUGCCAUGAUUGAUGAGCAAAUGAACAAAUAUGGCCAGAUACACGGUGCAAAUUCAGAUAUGCUGCAAAUUUUCGUAAGUUACGCAGCAUGCAAAAUUCAAGUUUUAUUGAUGCUGAAUUGAGAUUGGGUGCUGAAUUUGAUGGGAGGGGAGGCUAGUAGAAAGUGUACAUAAUUCUAGAUGCAGUUAGAUAAUCCUCAUAGGAGGCCUCUUGCGGCACCGUAAUUCCUCAAAGACUGGCUAAGUUCCUAGGUUUACUGAGAAAGGGAGGCUGCAAGGGAAUGCCAGAGGUCAAUUAUACUUGUAGGCAUAGCACAGCCAGCUAAGCAAGUUGAUCAAUGAUGCCUGAUAAACACAUUAGUGAGCAUCCUCCGGUCAAAUAGCUGCACCGCAGUGGCAAUGCAUCGUUGUUUGUUACCCAGGAAGUUCUCAUCAGAACAAUUAAUGGUUGAUCAACUAUCUUUUUCAACACAGUGCCUCAGGUAGAGGCUAGCAGAGUGUGGGAUCGUACUGCAUGUUGUCAGCUAUACUGCAUUUCCUGAACCUUCAGUUAAAAUGGAAAUUCGAGUUUACCAUUCACAGAAUCCUCAUUAGAAUGGACCAAGGGGUCCUAAACGGCCUCGGCCCAGUAUACCUGAAGGAGCGUCUCCAUCCCCAUCAUUCUGCCCGGACGCUGAGGUCCAGUUCCGAGGGCCUUCUGGUGAUUCCCUCACUGCGAGAAGCAAAGCUGCAGGGAACCAGGCAGAGGGCCUUCUCGGUAGUGGUGCCCACCCUGUGGAACGCCCCCCCCCCAGCUGCUCACACAGUUUGCAAAUCCAUUCAGCCAAUGCCACCAUUCGCACAUAGGUGCAAUGGUGCAAUCAAGGCAGGAGAUUCCGACUCAGCAUCAGAAAGAACCUAAAAGCUGUUUGACAGUGGAAUGGUCCCCCUUGGGAGGUUGUGGACUUUCCUUCUAUGGAGGUUUUUAAGCAGAGGUUGGGUGGCCAUCUGUCAUGGAUGCUUUAGUUGAGAUUCCUGCAUUGCAGGGGGUUGGACUGGAUGACCCUCAGGGUCCCUUCCAACUCUACAUUUUUAUGAUUCUGUGAUUCUAGGUGCUUAUGGGAUCUGAGAUCAUUCACAGAAAGGAACUAAGCCAUGCAAGUUUCUUAUCACUUGACAGUGUGGUGUAGUGGUUGAGAGCGGUAGACUCGUAAUCUGGUGAACCGGGUUCGCGUCUCCGCUCCUGCACAUGCAGCUGCUGGGUGACCUUGGCCUACUCACACUUCUCUGAAGUCUCUCAGCCUCACUCACCUCACAGAGUGUUUGUUGUGGGGGAGGAAGGGAAAGGAGAAUGUGAGCCGCUUUGAGACUCCUUCGGGUAGUGAUAAAGCGGGAUAUCAAAUCCAAACUCCUCCUCUUCUCUUCUUUUCUCAAGCACAGUAUGUAUCAAUGAAGGCUGUUCACACAUUGGAGUGUGAGCCAUGGAGUGCAGGCUGGUUUGCGUGAUGACGUAUCUAAUAACUGGCAUGCAUGUGAAGACCAUCUAACACCAUAUGCUUUUCUGUCCUCCUGCUGCUGGUAGUAAACAAGCGUUCUUUGCAGCUCUCCACUGACAACAUCAAUGCUGUUGGUGCACAAAUUAGGAGCUAAACAGAAAGCCAUGUUAAUUUCAAGCUCCAUUAGGAACACCGGCAGAAGAAAAGGGGGGAGGGCAGUCAAUGUUUCCUGAAAAGGGCGCAAAAGAUGGUCAGGGUGCAAUCCUUGAUUUUCUGAUAAAGAACAGAGGAGGGUUGGCUAAAACAAUCGACGCAAAUGGGAAAUAUACUGGUGGACUUAAUGGAGGAUGCAUGAAAAACCGAUAAACAUUAAAGGAAGGAAGGAAGGAAGGAAGGAAGGAAGGAAGGAAGGAGAGAAAGAAAGAAAGAAAGAAAGAAAGAAAGAAAGAAAGAAAGAAAGAAAGAAAGACAAAGAAAUAUACCUAGGUGUCUGGCAGGAUGGAGCUAUUGCCAGCUUGCUAGCACUUCAAUUCUUCCAAAUAGAUUUUAUGGACAAUCCGGUAAUGUUUAUAGUCUCGCGGCUGCAUACGUGGAGAAUUGUUCCUUUGAAGAACGCUGUGGUCAGAUUUCACUCUGACGUUUCAUUGGCAUAGCCCAUCUAUGUGUGAGAGUCCUUUGAGCCAUUUUUUAAACAUUUGUCAUCCUUCCAGGACAAAAUCUGCAAAAAUGCAUUGUGCCAUUUGAUUAUUCAGACACAUGGCGUGGCGGGAGGAGCAGGAGAGUCAGGUUUCAGCAAUCAAUAGUUUUCUCUUAAGUUUGCAGCAAAAUGGAUUUAUUUUGUAUCCAGAGCAAUGUCUUAAUAGGGGCUUCCAGGCUUACAUACUAAAUGCACAGACUGCACAGAUGUAGAAUAUUCUGCCCUGGAAAAAGCUAGUUAAAGAUAGGGGCGUUUUACACAAAAAUAUCCUGACUCAGGAUCUAGGGUACCACAUUCCAUUCUCGGCAACCUUCCAGCACCACAAGGCAAUGUUGGGUGGUGCCAGAGGCAAAAAUGGGCAGGGCAGCAGGUGUAGCUUCUACCUUUAUACAGCGGACUCGUUUCUACACUUACUCUAGCCUCCACCCAGGGAAGCAAGAACCAUGAUCAGAGUUCAAGGGCACAUUCCAGUCAGGCAAAACACAUAUGGGAGGUGUUAAGCAGAGCCUGGAGAGGGUGUGGCUGGGAAUGGAAUGUGGACUCUGGAGAGGCUUGGGGGACUACAUUUAGGGCCAAACCUUCCCCACACCUGAACCUAUUUGCGUAGCAUGGGUUGCCAGUGCCCGGGGCCAUCCAUAGUCCUGGAUGGAUGGAAGCAAAAUGGGCGAAGUACGCAUGCACAUUCAACUGCUUGACAAUGUCCACAUCCCUCAGGAGAUCACAGCCACAGAUAUAAGAAGAGUUAUUCCAUUGUCUGAAGAGGUCACUUCGUGGUUCACAUGGAGAAUCCGUUUUCAGUGGAACCCACCGACAGAAUUGCGCAGCUGUAUUUCAACACCGGGUGUUGAUAUUUUGUGCCCCUAACAAUUUUGCGCCUGGGGCAAUUGCCCCUGUGCUAUGCCACUGACUGAGCCAGAUGCUUCUUGGAGUGUGUAAGUAUGGCCCUGAUCCAGAGCAGGCUCAUCACCUGCAAUUCCCUUUGAAAUCAGUUGGCCUUAAGUUAGUCUUGAUUUACUAAAGUCCCAUUGUUCUUGGUGGGUCUUAGUAACCAUAGCUUUUGGGUGAAAUUUAUGAGUGUCCAAACAACACAGUUAGUUCUUAGAAGGAGCUCCAAAAUGCCAGUCACCAAUAAAUUCCUUCCAAAUCAAAUCCAGCAGUUGCCCAUUGUGUUUUCAUCUCCUCUUUGGGAGGCUACAUUUGCAUCAACUUGAUCAGGUAGCAGGUUUGCCAUUUGGUUUAUUUGUGAGUGGCUGUCGAAACAUUUGCUUUUGAUGUUCAAGCCAGAAUACGUAAUUACAAACUGAACUACCCUCUGGGUAAAUGUUGUGAGUAUUAUUGCAGAAGGUUAGCAUUCUCUUGGACCCAGAACACAUAAUGUUUAUUACCUGUUUAACCAUUAUCCAUUCGUAGACUUGUUGUUGUUAUUAUUACUCAGUUUACAUGGCCCUUUACAGAAUAACAUUGGAAAAAUCAAUUCCUAGGCUAGAAGAACAGACAGCAACAUUUGUUGGUAUGGGGCAUGUGAUGAUACCUAAAUGUUCCAUGGGUGAAGACAGAAGGUAGAAGUAGCUAACCUGUAACUGUCCAGAUGUUUUUGGACUCCAACUUCCAUUAGCCCCAGCCAGCAGGGGCAAUGGUCAGGAAUCAUGGGAGUUGUAGUCCAGCAACAUUGGAAAGCCACAGAUUCACCACACAAGGCAUCAAAGGAAGCUACUCUGAAGAUGCAGCAGGUAACUGACACCAACGGUAGAGUCAAUUAAGGUCAAUAGUUGAGAUCAUUGUGGCAGCAUGUUGUAAUGUUGAAAUACAUUUAACUGUGCUUCACCUUGUACAAUAUGUUUGACACAACAUGGGCUUUAUUUUAGAUACUUCUGCAGCUGGAGCCCAUGACUAAGGAAUAUUUAAAGGGUCCCCUAAACCUACUAUUGAUCCCAAUGGCCUUUCUAGUACAGUGGUAUCUCAGGUUACAGACGCUUCAGGUUACAGACUCCGCUAACCCAUAAAUAUUACCUCAGGUUAAGAACUUUACUUCAGGAUGAGAACAGAAAUCGUGCGGCGGCAGCGGGAGGCCCCAUUAGCUAAAGUAGUACCUCAGGUUAAGAACCGUUUCAGGUUAAGAACGGACCUCAAGAACGAAUUUAAGUUCUUAACCCGAGGUACCACUGUAGUAGGUGAAUGGAAGGUUUAGAUUGACGUUGCCCCUUGUGGUACCAAACAUACCACUAGAUGGUGGUGUUUGUCCUUGACAUGCUAAUCUGCAUCCUUCGACCACACCUGAUCUCUCUCCCUCAACCCAAGCACGCAGCUCAGCCAAUAUUUGAAAUUAAAUUAUGAAUGGUCCAUUGAAAUAAUAACUUUACAAACCUCACUCCGAGCACAGACGUGAUUGGUCGAAACAAGCAGAACACUUAACCUCUUUCGAUUUCCUCUGGUCUUUUUGUUGUUGAUGAUGAUGACAAUUGUUCAUCCCAAACCAAGUCAGAACGCUUAACCCAUUUUUAAUUACUUAAAAGUUCCGGGCAAAUCGCAGCUAUAUCACAACCAUCCCACUGUUUCAUUCCUUGUAACUCAUUGUAAUAAGACUAUCCAUUUCAACCCAAGCUGUCUCCCAAUAUUUUGAAAGGGAUAAAAUUUAAAUCAUGUAAACCCUGAUCAUUUGGGACAGGAGGUAUUCAAAUUAGGGUUAGUCUGAAAGUUCUUAAUUUUUUAAAUUUAGAAAUAGCAGCUGUUUCAUGGGAAAGGAGGUGGGAUGAAAGUGGUUUACCUGCUUUUUGAAGGUAGGGGUGAAUUUUGGAGGUGGGAAGAAAAUAUCGCCAUUCCUUCUCCUGGCUCAUGCCUGCCAUUUUGGUUUCUCCAGAGCACUCUACAUCAUGGCGUGGAGUCAUUCUAUAGAGCCCCAGUCUCCCCCCUUUCAUGACCUGGAAAAUUGCAUUGGGGCAGGGAGAAAGGAAAGCCAUUUUGGCUAAGCAUUUAAAAUCCUCUUUCUCCUUUUUUAAUAUGAUUUGACCUGUACUGGAAAGCAGCUGCAUGCCCUCGCCAUUUCACCCUCAUAAUGCAGAUAUCCAAAGUAUACUAUACACCCAGGUCAGAGCCUUAGGACCUGACAUUUUCCAGCCAGUCUCAGACAGACAGACAAACAGACACAUAGACACAUCUCCAGAGUCCAGCAUCUUCCCUUGGAACUCAAACCAGAUGUCUUCCUAAUUCUUUUCAUAAGAGAGCAUAGCGUAGUGGAAGAAACAUCGGUUUGGCCUACUUAGGUUUUGCGUCCCAUUUCCUGUGACUCUGACCACCCCAAGGCACUAAUUUUAGCAGCCUCGUCUCACCCAGUCUGUGCCACAAGCUUUGUUACAAAUCAGUUAGGCAGUUGUCCAUGUUUACCUACAAAGCACAGGAAAUGCAGUGGCGGUAUGUUGCUGUUUUGUUUUUAAAAAGGCAUAAAGGCUAGGCAGGGAGAAGAAGAAGAAGAAACGAGAAGAUUUGCUUCCUGGUGUGUGGUCACAUCCAGCUGACAGCUUAAGAGCUGAGCCAGGAUCAUGCAUACGGGUGUUUAUUGUUCCAAGGUUGGAAGGAUGUUCUGUGGCUGUAAUAGGCACAAGCGCCGUUCUAGAACACCCAUUCCAAGAACCACGUCUUGUUUAUUGUCCUUUCUUUAAGCAGGAAGUCUUAUAUCUUCCUUUGGCCAGUAAAGGAAAUACAUAAAAUUUCAGGAUGCACAUUGUUGACCAGAAUGACAUUCUCUCCCAUUUAAGUCCACAGGACAAGAGCUCCACACACACACACACACACACACACACACACAAAAUUUUCUUUGUAGGAUAAAUUCACAGGGCAGAGCUCAGCGUUUGGGACCUUCCAUCAAGCUGAAAGAGGCUGCUUGGCCUUUCCUUUGACUAGGAGGGAUCUGCAAUAUGUGUGACAAGCAGGGCAUGUGCCAUCUCGCCCAUAUCCCCUCUGUCGUGAAGGAAGUUCUGUGCGUGGCUCAACUGCCGGGGAAUUUGUUUUGGCUCACUUCUUCGCUAGUUAGCCAUUAAGAGUCAAUUUCAACAUGAUUACAAAUCUACCUUGGGCUUGCCUGAGCAUGCAACUGUCAUAUCUGCAGGCUGGACACAGGGGUCUUUGUGCAAUUUCUGCCCCCUUGUCUGCUGUGUCACUGACCUUCCAUGGGUCGAGCAGGGAAUAAUUGCAGGGAGCUUUUACUUGCAGUUGAUUGUAUCUUAUGUGAUCAAGGACCCUGCUUCCUCAAGAUCCUCGAGUGCUCAGAAAUUUUGACUUCUUUUAUGAGAUGGCCUCUUUUUUUGGGUCACCUUUAAUGUAAGAAAUACCCUUGGCCCUUGGGAGUGAAUUGGGGGGGGGCUGUGAGGGACGCAGGAAACAGUUGUUGGGUGAGCAGAGUUCUAUUCCUCUAUCACUGAAUCCAACCUAUUAUGCUUCUUUAAAUGUCUAUUAAAAAAAUGUAAGCACGAAUGUAGCAAGCUAAUGUUUGCCUGCCCAGGUAUACUGUUUGGGCACAUUUGGGCUUGGGAUUGGAAUGAAACUUAUCUGUCUAGCCAAAUUCCUAAAAUCCAUUUGUGCAUCCCUUCCUUCCUUUCUUCCUUCCUUCCUUCCUUCCACCCAUGGGUUUUUUCUUUGAAUCUGAUCACCUUGAUCCAACUCCACGUCCUCCCUUUAAAAUAUCAUAAAAUAGUAGAGUUUUAAGGGAGCCUGGGGAUCAUCUAGUCCACCCCCGUACAGUGCAGGAAUCUUUUGCUCAACGUGGGGCUCGAACCCACAACCCCAAGAUUAAGUGUCUCAUACUCUGCCAACUUGAGCUAUCCCUCAGGGAUGUUUAUAUACAACAAGUACACAGCUUGUUGCACCAGGAUGCAGACACACGUUCACAUGCGCAUUUCAUUGAAUAAGAGUUUGGAUUUGGAUUUGAUAUCCUGCUUUAUCACUACCCUAAGGAGUCUCAAAGCGGUGAAUAAUCACCUUUCCCUUCCUCCCCCACAACAAACACUCUGUGAGGUGAGUGAGGCUGAAAGACUUCAGAGAAGUGUGACUAGCCCAAGGUCACCCAGCAGCUGCAUGUGGAAGAGCGGAGACGCGAACCCGGUUCACCAGAUUACGAGUCCACCACCCUUAACCACUACACCACGCUGGCUCUCAAUGCACUGCGGACAAAUGGCGCCCAAAGCUGCAUUAUGUGUCUACUUAGUUCCGGGUGGGAAACCUUUGGUCCUCCGGAUGUUUCUGAACUACUACCCCCAGCAUCCCUGGCCAUUGCCCAUGCUUGCUGGGGCUUGCUGGGAGCUGUGGUCCAGUAACAUCUGGAAGGACGAAGCUUCCCUGUCUCUGCUUGAGCGGGAUCAGGGUGAACAAAUUUAGCACUUGGCACAGUUUGUUGCAUUCGUAAAGCAAGCAUCAUUUGGCAGGCAGUGGUUUGAUGUUGCUGUUUAGUUCUUCUUCGGGGGGGUUUUGGGGGGAGCGUUUGUAAUAGUCUCUUAAUGAAUUAUGAAUGUGAUAAUGUGAACGUUUCCCCUCACAAGCCAGCCUUCACAGCUUCUGGAGUAAUAAUGUUUUCCGUGGUGCUUUAGGGCAUGCAGAGUCCUCACGGCUUGGAGCCCCACUCGGUUCCUUAACAGAGUCCUUUCCUCUCAUUGCAAGACAAUUAAUUUUUAUGAUUCGUUUACCAAUACUGGCACAGGCUUUGUUUUUGUAAUGUUUAGUUGAAAAUUGGUUUACAGCAGUUUCUUUUUUUUAAAAAAAUAUUAUUAUUAUUUUAGUGCAGUGAACGCGACCGAGGCAGGGGAGAAAUCAAGCCAAUGUGGUAAUGUGCAGCUUCGGGUAGAAUUUGGAGGAAUUCACAAAAAGGGACAGCCAGCCUCGAGGGAAUGGCUUCUCUUCCUAACGUUUCGCUGUAAUCCUUCUGAUAAUACCUCAGACUUGUCAGCUUUGGGGCGAAAGAGCCAGAGCUGAUUUCUCACUGGCUCAAAAAAUAACUUCAUGAUGAACAGUUUUUUUAAAAACAACACACAAAUAAAUACAUUUUUCUUCUGUAAUAUUCUGAUUGCGCAAUCCAUUACAAACAUAACUGCAAAAUGUAACUCUUAAGAACUUUGGUAUCUCUCUCGUUCCCUGUCACCUCUGUUGAUUUCAUGUAUCAUUCCUUAAAUGUCAUCAGUGAUGCUAUGAAAUGUCACACUUGGUUAAUAUUGCCCGUUCUUCAGUAUGAGCACAUUAUAGCCGUGCUCUCCUGGAAUAAUGGGAGUUGGAGGGGACCUGUCGAGUCACUUAGCCCGUACCCCAUACCCUGCAAUUGUCCCGCUUUUCCUGGGACAUCCCAGAAUUACAGAAGCCGUACUGGCUUCUGAUUGGAUACCGGAAUGUCCCGUUUCUCCAUCACUGCCACUACUGAGCUUGGGGAGGAGGUUGAGCUUGCAGCCAGCACUGGGGCUUGCAGUGGUGCCACAAUCUCGUGUGAGUCAGCCAUGUCUUUCAAUGCUACAUUCUCACAAGAGCCACCUGUCCUACAUAGGAGCACCAGAUGACACUCGUCCUGAUUUUCACCAGCAGAAUAUUUUAUUACUUGUUACAUUCCUAUACCACCUUUAUCUUCCAAGGAUCUCAAGGUGGUGUACAUGGACCUCCUCCUCCCCAUUUUAUCCCCAUGGCAACCCUGUGAGGCAGGUUAGGGCUAAGGGAUGGUGACUGGCUCAAGGUCACCCCAUGAGCUGUAGAGUAUGAUACCCCCUGCUCAAUACAGCUGUAAGUUGAGCCUCCUCAACUGAUAGCUUUCCAGCCUCUGCUCAAAGUCCUUCAACGUGGGAGAGACCGCCACCUACCUGAUUAUUAUUUUUUCUACUGUUGAACUGCUCUCACUUUCAAGAAGCUCCCCUAAUGGUUGCCAGCUGGUUUUACAGGCUCGAUUCAGACCCCAAAUGUUUGAGAGACUGCCUCCUUCCCUGGAGAACUUCUUGGGUAUUAAGAUCGGCAGAAGGAUACCUCUUGGAGGUAUCUUCACCCUCGGAAGCUUGGGAUGGUGGUUGCCUUGAAGAGAGGUCAUUCUCUAUGGCAGUUUCUAGGUUGCAGAAUUCCUUUCCCUCAGAGGUGCAUCUGGCAAGUUGAUAAUACAGUUUCCACCACAUGCUGAAGAUCUAGGUUUUUUCCAUGGCCUUUGACGCCUGAGAUAUUUGUUCUCAGAACCUGUUGCUGUAAAUUAACUGUUUUUUAAUAUUUAGUUUUAAAUUGUGGUAACCUACCUGGGGAUCAGCUUCAUUAAGUCUUUUUGCAGCGAAAACUCUGUGUUUUGCAGCACUCGCCCAAACUGAGUAAUUGAUACUCAAUCCCAAGGGUCAUAGAUAUCACCCCAAAGCCCAACAUGGUCUGAUUCGUUCCAAAGCCGUGGCAAAGUUUGUCAACACUUUUGCAGCAUUUUGCAGUGAAACAGAGUUCUGGUGGUGUGACCUGAGCACUCCGUUCAGAAUUCCCUACCCUGGUUUAAUGAGAAGCGUUUUGAGCUCGGGUUUCCAACCAGCUUUGAACACUCUUGAACACAUUAUAAUCUAAGACAAAGUUAACCAUUUCCCAAACAAAAUGCAAUGGAGAAUUUUAUUAACCGUUUUGCUCAACUCAAGAUAAAUUAUUCCUGCAAUCCACUAAACCAGUAACUUGAUAAAAGAGUGAGAGAGAGAAAGAUAAGGUUAGUCUGGCAGGCUUUAUUCUUAACAAACCAAUGCUUGCUCCUGCUAAUCACCGCAUUGUUUUCGAGAUACUUACAAAUUAAUUCCUGGCGGAUACGUUCUAGUAUCUUCCUUGGUAUCGGAAUCAGACUAAUCAAUCUGCAGCUUUCCAGAUCUUCCCCUCCCUCCCCUUUGAAGAUUGGGACAACAUUUGUCUGCCUCCUGUCCUGUGGGACCUCACCAGUUCUCCAGGAUUUCUCAGAGACGAUAAGAUUGUGGUUCUGAGAGUGCUUUAGCAAAUCUCUUUAGUGUACCCUAGGAUGCAAUUUAUUGAGCCCUGAAGAACUAAACUCAUCUAAGGUAGCUCAUGUACAUUACUGCAAAAUCAUCCCAAAAAGUCAUAGAAUCAAACCCAGCACCAGACAUACAGAAUCAUACACAAAACUGGGUUUUCUUGCUCUUCCUCCUCACCCAGCAAUAAUUCCUAAAAUAUAAGUAUAUUAGCGUGGCCCCUUGCACCGUUUUGACAAUGGUACCUCUGGGAGGCUGUCUUACUACAAUGCCAUCAGCACUCACCACCGGAGUUGCAUGCCCUCCAAGUCUUCCCAUUUUUCAGAAUGGCUUCUGAUUUGAUCCUGGAAUGUUCCUAUUUCCCCUGCCAGUGCUGCUGCUGUUGAGAUCAGGGAGAAGGGUGAGCUGGUGCUUAUCCUGAGUGGCGGUGGCAAGGGAGCACCCCAUUGCUUCUCCAUGGUCUUUGCUGGGCAGAGCAGGCAAAGAGGAGGAGAGGUUGCUGCUAUGGAGGCCCAGCUCUGCAUGAUGCGGCCGCUCUGAGGGGCAGGCGGAGAGCUGGAAAGGAGUUGCACAGUGGAGUGGAGCACAAGGAGUCUUGCUUUUUUAUACAGUCAUACCUCAUGUUACAUUUGCUUCAUGAUACGUUUUUUCAGGUUGCGUCCUGCGGCGACCUGAAAGUACCAAAAAAGGUUACUUCCGGGUUUCACCGCGUGCACAGACGCACAAAAUCACGUCGUGCACAGAAGCGGCAACCCGCGCGUGCGCAGACGCGCCGCUGCGGAUUGCGUUCUAUUCAUGUUGCGAACAGGCCUCUGGAAUGGAUCCCGUUCGCAACCAGAGGUACCACUAUAUAUUAAAAAAAUGCUUCGUGCAUCCACAUCUAAUUUUGUCCCUUUGUAAAAUUUAUUUAUUGGUGUAUGUUUUUCUUGUUUUGUAAAUCUACCAAUGUCAAGGACUGUGUGAGGAGGGCUGCACUGAGGAGGAAUGAUGGGGGUCACCUCCUCCCCCUGAUCCCAAGUCUUCCCAGGAACAGGAGGACAGCAUAGAUUUGGAACAGUGGUUUGCAGAGGGGCAUAGUUCAGAAGGCAGAAGCUGGGAAAGACUGGAUGGGGGACUGCUAGAAGACGAAACACUGGGAGAGAGAGGGUUAACAGAUUCACAGUCCUUGGACAGCAUUCCCCAAGGUCGAGAAGAGCUCAGAAAGUCUCAGAACAAAAAGCACAGAGGGUACAAACUCAGAUUACAAGACGUAGGAGUGGCGUAGAUUAAUAGGGACAGAGGAGGGUGAGCCUUAAUUGGAAGCACCACCAUUUCUAGCAAGACGCAAUCUCACUGUGAUUAUUAAAGAAUCCAACGUUCCUUUUGUUUGAUCUUAUUAUUUACUGCCACAGGGGAGGAAGCCACUUCCCCGAAGCCUGACAACCAAAGAAUAAAAUAAAAUCAGGAUUAAGGGGUUUUCUCAAGACACUGGAGGGCGUGUGUGCUGUGUCCCAUUGUUGUUGUUUGAACUUGCCCUUCUUCUGUGAGCGUGGGGUGGGGGUCUGAAGAGGGUCAAUUGGAGGGGAGCGAGAAAUGUCCUUAUUUUCAUCCAAGGAAUGUUGGAGGGUAUGGAGAUCACUGCGAAAGGGAGUGAUUAAGGUAUGUGGCAGGAUCCCCUUGAGGUGUCUUCACUAAGUCAACAAUUCAUACAGGAAAUGAACCCAAGGCAGCAUUGGGAGGGCAGAGAACUUCAUUUGCUGCUGUGGAAGUGCUACCCCCUUCAGAGAAGCACCUCUAGGUGGUUGGCUUAAGCCCGUAGGGGCCUGCCCCACUCCCCUUUGCAGUUACGGGUUGACUGCAAUGUGUAUGGAAUCAGCACCGGCAAGGAAGGGGCACAUUCAUAAGUCUUUCUCAUGCCCAGUCACAAGAAAGGCUGGCGGGGAGUGUUGUGAUUCAUCCCCAUCUGAUUGGAACCCUUGUAUAUCUUUCCUUCCGUAUAAAUAAAGGUAAAUAUAUUCUGAGAUCUCUGGGGUAAUUCUUUCCUCGGCGCUCGAGAGAUAUUUCUCUGCUGGGAAACAAUUAGUCUGUGGAUUUACUUCUGCCUUGUUUUCUAUUUCCUGUUUCCUUUACCCCCUCUGUGCGAUACGCCGGCUGCCUUAUGAAGGGCUGGGGAUUAGCUGUGCAGCAGCACACAAUGCACACAGGCAAGGUAGCAAUAAUGUGAGUCAUUCCUGCUGCUUGCGGCAGCCCACCUAGCAUUUGCCUUGGAGUAAUCUCACCUUUCCUGUGAUGAAAAAGUAGGUGAUUUGCCACAGAGCCCUUGCGAACACUCGCUAUGUAGCGUAAUUUUCUCUGUCUGUGCUGGUUGCUAUAAAACCAAUCUAUUUUUAUGGCUGUCUCUAUCUGAGAUAUUUCUGGCUAAUGAAACAGUUCAAUUUGUUUUGGGUAUAUGUGUGUGUGUGUGUGUAUCUGCCAAGUGUAAAUAUAUAUAUAUAUCUGCUAAGAGUAUAUAAAAAAAUCCACAAUGGUGUUUGUUCUCUAACCAAAAGAUUUUGCAUGAUAGAAGCAAUGCCAGGUCAAAGCAAACUGCUCCUGUUAUGGUUCUCUGCAAGAAGAGAAUGUUAAAUUAUAUUAAGAAGUGACCAGCAUCUACCUGAUAAGGUAAAGGUAAAGGGACCCCUGACCAUUAGGUCCAGUCGUGGACGACUCUGGGGUUGCGGCGCUCAUCUCGCUUUAUUGGCCAAGGGAGCUGGCGUACAGCUUCCGGGUCAUGUGGCCAGCAUGACUAAGCCGCUUCUGGCGAAAACCAGAGCAGCACACGGAAACGCCGUUUACCUUCCUGCCAGAGCGGUACCUAUUUAUCUACUUGCACUUUGACGUGCUUUCGCUCAAGGAUAAUUAACUAUGAACCCCAAAAUUUGGGAUCCCCUCCAAACCUGUGCCAAAGUUUUGCAUUUGUUUUGCAACACCCCACAAACUGAGUAAUUGACAUAUCAAACAUGGGGUUCAUAGUUAACACCCAAAAGGUUUGGAGGGGAUCCCAAAAUUGGGGGUUCAUGGUUAACAGGGCCUGAUUCUCGCACAGACUAGCCAGAAGUUCUUCUGCUCUUGCUUUUUUCUUUUAUCCGGUGUUGUACCUUGGUUUCUUUUUAUUGGUCAACGUAGUAGGAGAUUGGGGGUCUCUGGUUUUUAAACAUUAGUCAGGGUCCACAUCUCUAAGGGGUGUUCGAUGCCUUGCAAAAUUCCUGUGUGCAAGGUAUAUACACAGAACCUCCCUACUAUCAAACUAUCAUUUUCCCCCCUGCUGUAUUUCCCUUCUUCCUUCCCACUUUUAUUUUCUUCAUGUUAAAACUAUGCUGCUUUGAAACUGUGAAGCUCCCUUGCUAUUUUCGCCAGUGAAUGAUGCAUGAAGUAAUUUGUUAUAUUUAUAGUAUUGAAAUGUGGGUUUUCUGUCUGUUGUUGUAUUUGCUGUUGUUUUGCUAUGUUGCUGUGAAAUUGCUUUUGCAGUGUUUGUUUGAAACGCAACCCUGUUUCAUUGUAGUUCAUAGAAGUUCACAGACUCGUGGAGUUAUACGGGACCACAAGGUUCAUCUAAUUCAACCCCCUGCAAUGCAGGAAUCUUUUUUGCCCAAGGUGGGGCUCAAACCCACAGCCCUGAGAUUAAGAGUCUUGUGCUCUACUAGCUGAGCUAUUGAGUUUGUUGUGAGCCACUUGGAGCAUGUUACUUUUUUGCGUGGGAAAGCAGCAUACAAAUAAAAACAAAUGAAUGUUGUUGGAAGGUAUCUGAGCACUGAAAAUAAGAAACACUUCAAUGGCUUUCUCUGUGCUCACCUAUAUUAAAGAGCAGGAGCAACUCAGGUGGAAGAGAGGGAGAGCCCUUGCCAUCGGAAACAGAUACACUUUUGAUGUACAGUGGACGCUCAGGUUGCAGGUGUGAUCCGUGCGGGAGGCACGUUCGCAACCCGCAGUGCCGCGUCUGCGCAUGCGUGGGUUGCGAUUUGGCGCUUCUGCGCAUGCGCAAAGAGCGAUUUAGUGUUUAUGCGCGAGUGCCGAAACCCGGAAGUAACCCGUUACGGUACUUCCGCGUUUCGGUGCGUCCAUAUUCCGAAAACGCGCAACCUGAAGCAUCUGUAACCCGAGGUUUGACUGUACUUUUUUUUUUUUUUGCGCUCUUGGCCCCAGAUUUCAGAAAGGCUCUCAGCGAAAACACGUUAAUGAGUUUGUAAUUGCUGGUCAGAGCCCCAUGGCUAUUUCUGAGAUCUUGCUUAAAUUCUUGACCAAAUCCUGGACAGAUUUUUUUAGGGUGCUCUGGGAGGUGCAGAAAUGAAGAGAAUCACUCUCCUUUGUAGAUGUCUCCCACAGAAUUAAAAGCCACAAGCUUGUGCAAAGUGCACCCAGUGGAUGCAACACCUGGUGUGCUUGUUUUAAUUGCUGUAGCUGUUACAUACACCGUAUGAAAAUGACUCUCGUGUACUGGCCAUGAUAAUUUCUUAAGAGUCCUGUGCAUCAAUUUCAGUGCCCUGCCACAGCCGUUGUCCUAGGUUCCUGACAACAUGGCUCUUUCUUUUUUCUGCAUCCAACCUCUCUUCUUACUUUCUUUCCUCCUCCUUCUUCAGCCUGCCAUCUGGAGAGAUGCCACUUUUUAAAAUAUAAAAAUCUCCCUGCAAGUAGAAAGUUAGCACACCAGGACAGGGUGCUUCUCUCCAGCUGCAUGUUGGAAAAUUUGCCGACUAGGGAUACAGAUUCUGGCUUUGCAGGGAGUUUCUUAUGGAGGCGGCAGUGGCAGUAUUUAAAAUUGUAUUUCCUGGCUGCAGGUGCUAUAGUUUGCUGUGCCUCUGUAGAUCUGGAAUCGGUGCGUUAGAUGGUACAUUAGAUUCUUGGUACAUUAGAUUCUUGAGGCUUCAGAAAAUAUGAGCUUUAGAAUUUGUGCAAUAAACGUGCUUUGUGUCCCAGCGUUUAAAAGUGGUUAGUUGAAGUUCACUUUGGACAUUCUUUUCAGUGCUAUUUUAAUCUGAUCUAAGGGAGAUGUGUUUAGAAGAUAAAUAACUGAAUUAGUUUCCCAGCAAAAGAGAGCAAAGGCAGUGGGGUGGGGUUUCUCCUUUGUAGAAAAAAGCCAACAACAAUGACAUCCUCUCUUGGGGCAAAUCUAAUGUGCUCUGUUCUUAACUGUUCAGGCCUUUGUGUGCUGUAGGGAAAGAACACAGAUUAAAAACAUAAACAGCUGAACAUGCUGUCAGGAUCCGAAAGAUCGGGCUUGGCUCUUUAUUUUGUGUCCCAUGCAAUUGUUUCCUAUUAAUGUCAAUCGGAGCUCUUGACAGCGAGAUUGUAACUUGCAAUUAAUACCAAUAAACUAUGUCCCAGUGUGCUGACUAACACUAUGCAAAGCUGGAGACAAACCCAACACAUAAUUAUGCUACCCAACAUGUAAAAGCUUGACUUGGCAAGGGCAAGGGGGUUUUUAUUUGCCAGAGGUCCUUGCAACGCUUAGGAAUAACCAUCUGAAAGUACAGGUGUCGUUCUCUACCCAUCUAUUUGUUUUAACAUAUCUUCAUUCGUUUAGUAUGCGGGUUUUGUCUCUUCCAGAGAAGGCACCUGCGUCAAGGCAGAGGUACUCCAGUCUGUGGAUGUUCCUGUGCAUAGGAACUGAAGGGGUUUUCCCACCCACCCACCUUUUUCGUUAACCGAUUAUCGCUUCCCCAGAUUUGGCACCAUUAGAAUGUGCAUGGGAUAGAAUGUGCAAGCCAGACUUGGAAGGAAACUUAAGCAUUGACUAGAAAUGCAAAUAGAAGGGGAAGAAAUGGAGGCAGUGAGAGAUUUUACUUUCUUGGGCUCCAUGAUCAUUGCAGAUGGUGACAGCAGUCACGAAAUUAAAAGACUCCUGCUUCUUGGGAGAAGAGUAAUGACAAACCUAGACUGCAUCUUAAAAAGCAGAGACAUCACCUUGCUGACAAAGGUCCAUAUAAUUAAAGCUAUGGUCUUCCCAGUAGUGAUGUAUGGAAGUGAGAGCUGGACCAUAAAAGAAGGCUGAUCGCCGAAGAAUUGAUGCUUUUGAAUUAUGGUGCUGGAGGAGACUCUUGAAAGUCCCAUGGACUGCAAGAAGAUCAAACCUAUCCAUUCUGAAGGAAAUGGAGAGCUCACUGGAAGGACAGAUCCUGAAGCUGAGGCUCCAGUACUUUGGCCACCUCAUGAGAAGAGAAGACUCCCUGGAAAAGACCUUGAUGUUGGGAAAGAUGGAAGGCACAAGGAGAAGGGGACAACAGAGGAUGAGAUGGUUGGACAGUGUUCUUGAAGCUACCAGCAUGAGUUUGACCAAACUGCGGGAGGCAGUGGAAGACAGGAGUGCCUGGCGUGCUCUGGUCCAUGGGGUCACAAAGAGUCGGACACGACUAAACGGCUAAACAACAACCACAACAGAAAUGUAUUGUUAUAGGUUGUGGGUGCUAGGGCUUGUGGGUGCGAGUCACCCAUAUUUUUUAGAAUUAGUCAGAGUUAGAAUUAGUCAAGGUUUAAUCAGUGAGCCACCCAUUGGGUGGGGCAAGCCAGGGGAGGCAGAGGGCAGUCGCAAGCUGCCCAUUGCCCUUUUGGUCAUCCUGGAGCCUGCAGGCAUCCAAGCCACCAUGUCAGUCCUGCUCCCCUUGGUGUGGCACCCAGUGCCCCCCACCGCCCCCCCAGCUACGCCUCUGGUUUUAGUUACACUGUGCCGAACAUGGAAAUGCCUGGAUUUAGCUUAUGUUAAUGAACCUGGCCAGACUGGCAGGGCUAGCUGAGUGUCAGCCAUUAACAAACAAAGACCAGUGAUAGCCCAUCAAGGGAGCUGUCAAAAGAGACUGCCAGACAAGGAGAGGCGGGGCCCUUCCUCCAGCUGUGUGUUGAAGGGCCAGAGACAAAAGGGCCUUUGGGAUUUCAGGGUGGAUGGCAUAAGAACACAGGGGAGUUUUCAGAAGAGGAAGUGGGCUAGCUGUAAGAGAGAGGCACAGAGGAUGGCUUUUUGCUGUUCUUUGAAUCAAAAAGGAGGAAGAGGAAGCCGCUUGGGGAUGUGAAUGCUGUGUAAUCUCUUCAGGUUGUGUGUGUGUGUAUAUAUCUGUAAAUAAACCAUAUAUCAUAAGGAGUGUGAGUGUGAAUGUGUGCCUCAUUGUCCAAAAGGAAACACAAGUGCCUGAACCCCUGGAAUCUUGCACCGCUCGUGGAGAUAGGGGUGGCGGGUAACCCUAUUGGGAGCCAGAGUCAGUCUGAGUCAGGUGCAUGCUGGGAGCUGGGCUGAGAAGCCCAUUUGAGAAGAAAGGCUGAGAAACUGACAGUGGUAUGUACCUCCGUGAAUGCAUGAGCAUUCCAAACUGUCACCUGAACCCAGGCUCUAGGUUUGCAUCCUCAAGGCAAACCAACAGCUACAAACCAAGGCUGGUUACCGCACUUGGUUUAUCUCUGGUGAGACAAACCACAAACAUGAGUUUGAACGACAUAGUAAUAGAAACCUCAGCUUAGUCCUGAACAUCAGGGCAGCAGCAGAACUGGGGAAGGAUUCUUCCCCAGAACUUCAGGCUCCUAUUGAGGAAUCCACACAUUUGCACUAAGCUAUGGUCUGAGCUUAAAGGCGUCAGGCCUUUGGCCAAACAAUAUCAGUUACAAGCAAUAAACCAUAAUAAUAAUAAUAAUAAUAAUAAUAAUAAUAAUAAUUUAUACCCCGCCCAUCUGGCUGGGUUUCCCCAGCCACUCUGGGCGGCUUCCAACACAAUAUUAAAAUACAAUAAUGCCUCAAACAUUAAAAGCUUCCCUAAACAGGACUGCCUUCAGAUGUCGUCUAAAAGUCUGGUAGCUGUUGUUCUCUUUGACAUCUGGUGGGAGGGCGUUCCACAGGACGCGUGCCACUACCGAGAAGGCCCCCUGCCUGGUUCCCUGUAACUUGGCUUCUCACAGUGAGGGAACUGUCAGAAGGCCCUCGGCGCUGGACCUAAGUGUCCGGGUAGAACGAUGGGGGUGGAGAUGCUCCUUCAGAUAUACUUACAACAAAGCUAUGGGACAUGUACUCAAGCUGCCUCUGGAGAGCUUCUAGACUAGAGUCAUAGAAUCACAGAACUGUAGAGUUGGGAGGGACUCCAAGGGUCAUCUAGUCCAACUCUCUGCAGUGCCGGAAUCCUGCCCACUGCCAUCCCUGGGUGGACUCAAACCACCAGCCAGGCACAGAUGGUGCACAGGCCAGAAGAUGCCUUAGUGCACACUUUGGAGUGUGAGUCAUGCCGUGAAGAGCUAACAGCUGAUUUGCACGGCCUGACCCUGACAAUCAGCUGGGGCCUCUCCAGCUUUGCAACUCAGACAAGCAUUUCUGCUUUCAUAAGGGAGUGGAUUUUCCAAAGACGUGAUAAUUGUGGUAAUUGACUUUCUGCCAUUUGGUGGGAGGUGCUGUGGGCAUUCUGGAAAGGUGUAAAUACAAAUUGCCUUGGCCUUUAUUUAAACAAAGUUUUACUGCCAUUUAAUUUUUUUUACUGCCGUUUCCAUGAACCUGACCUGGCUCCAGGCUUGUAAGGUUCAGUUGCCAGAUUCCUGACAAGUUCAAUCAAUUCAGGAAACUGCUCAGUAGUGCCUAAAGUAGUAUUAGCCUUGUCAUUUUAGUUUCCUGGCCAUUAGAUCAUCUUUGUUAUAGCUGCACUAUAUUAAACUCAACGGCUCAUGCAGUUAAGGUUAUAAGAAGAUGCCAAAUACUGUGUCAGACUAAUGAUCCUUUUAGCCUGGACUCCGAAUAAUGUUUAAUGGCUAUCAAUUAAGGGGAUGACCUUUUGUCUAGUCUUUGGAUUACCUAAUAGCUGGAAAUGUUUCCUCAAUGCCCAUUAAUGGCUAGGAGACCUCUCUUUUUUAUUAUUAAAAAUGGCUUUUUAUGGCUGGUGGCUACUAGCUAUGACACAUCAUGGCUGUCUGGCUGGGGAAACAGUCAGACAUUUCAAAUGCAGCUGAUAAAGGAGAUGGAAGAAUGAGAUUUUGUAGAAAGCUAGAGGGAGAAGGACUCUGAGGAUAUCAUUUUUCAUUGGGGUGGAGGUUAUGUUGCUGUAAAGACAGGCAUUGUCUGUCAUAGUACUUUUUCAGGAAAACAAAUUGCUUGCAUCUGCUCCAACCUAGAUGCCAUAGCUGUAACUGAAUCCAUUCUGGUGGUCAGAAGGGCUCUGCCUAGUCAGACUUUUGUGGAUGUUGUUUAGUUUCUGCAACCUGAGGAUGUGGACAGGGUUCUUGGAAAGGAGAACCCUAUUUUAGAAUAGAGCAUUCAAAAUGGAAAGCAGAUACCAAAAAAAUGCAGUUGAGAUUCCCUUAUAAAGCACCGUAAAUUAGCAGCGAAGCAAAAUACCCUGAAUCUCUUUCAUCACAUCCAAAAAAUGCAAUAAAAACUCCACACGUCAGUUGAAAUAUCACUAGCAGGUUUACAAAAUCACUGAAUCAGAAGCUGUGCCUCAAUGUCUCACAAAAAAAGAACCAACCUUUGCAUUUUCCCAUGUAAUCAAUUUAGCCUCAGCCAUUUUCCACCAGGACAAGGGUGGUGCUGUGGGUUAAACCACAGAGCCUAGGGUGUGCCGAUUAGAAGGUCGGCGGUUCGAAUCCCCGCAACGGGAUGAGCUCCCUGCUCCUGCCAACCUAGCAGUCAAAGUGCAAGUAGAUAAAUAGGUCACGUCAACAGGUCGCGUCACGUCAAAGUGCAAGUAGAUAAAUAGGUACCACUCCGGUGGGAAGGUAAAUGGUGUUUCUGUGCACUGCUCUGGUUUGCCAUAAGCAGCUUAGUCAUGCUGGCCACAUGACCCAGAAGCUGUACGCCGGCUCCCUCGGCCAGUAAAGCGAGAUGAGUGCCGCAACCCCAGAGUUGUUCGCGAGUGGACCUAAUGGUCAGGGGUCUCUUUACCUUUAUCUUCCACCAACCAGAGCAGUAACACAGUUAAUCCCUAGACAACUUUUUCUCAUGAAGCAGAUGUCCCAUCUGCAAAGGAUCCAUAAUAGCAUAGCACAUAAUUUACAACCAGCUCAUCCAUCUAAGGCAGGGGUAGGAAAUCUCAGCCCAGGGGGCAAACACAGCCCCCCAGGAAUCAUAGAAUCAUAGAGUUAGAAGGGACACUGAGGUUCAUCUAGUCCAUCACCCUGCAAUGCAGGAAUCUCAGAUGAGCAUCCAUGACAGAUGACCAUCCAACCUCUGCUUAAAAACCUACAAGGAAAGAGAGUCCACCACCUUCUGAGGGAGUACAUCCUACUGAUGGAACAGCUCUUACCAUCAGAAAGCUCUUCCUGAUGUUUAGUCGGAAUCUCAUUUCUUGUAUCUCGAAGCCCUUGGCUUGCUCCGUCUUCCAUGCGACAGCCCUUGAGAUAUUUGAAGGUUGUUUGACCACACCUCCUCCCACCCUCUCCUUGAGUGCUGUCCUGUGUGCUUGAAUUGUGAUCAUGCCUUUGGCUUCCCUGGGUGAAGAAAUGCGUGUUGUAGGGAUGGGGAAACCUCUGGUGUUUUCACAACUGGAAUGUGACCUACUUACUAUGCACUUUCAUUGCUCUGCCUAUUUUUGCACUGGGCCAUGUCAUGGCCCCUUGAAGGUUGGUCAUGUGGGAAUCUGGCCUUGAGUCUGGAAUGGGUUUCACCAUUCCUGAUCUAAAGAAAUCUAGCACCAUACAGAUAGCAGCAGUACCGCUCCUUCCCUGUCCCAAUGAGACUGCAGUGAGAGACCCACUACUGAAGAAACCAUCACUUAAUCAUUCUAUAACAACUAUUAAGUAUCAGUCUCACAUUUGGAGGGGGGGUUGGGGGGAAGGCUCUUGAGAAGCCAUGGGUCUGCCCAUGAGUCUGACCAGCAGGGGCUCAUACAGACCUGUUGCACUUGAUAAGAAAAAGAUGCACACAUCUGCUUUUAAACCUUUGAAAAUGCUAGGUGGAAUUAUUACAGGGUAACUGUUUGUCCUCUGAACUGUGCACCAAGCAUUAAAUAUGAUAGGCAAGUAGUUAAAUAUGUCCGUUCACAACUUUUCAAAAUUCUGAUCAGAAUGUUCCUAAUUGGGGAGCUGAUUUGGUAGCAGUGGUGCCCAAAGUAACAUUAUGUAUAUUCUGCUUUGUUGCCAUUUUAGGAUUUACAGUGUGUGUUAUUAGCACUAUUAAGUACCCAUCAAAAGCAGAAGUGGGUCCCAUGUUGAAGGUUGGGUCUCAGGUCUGGACCCAUUGACCUGCUAACUGGACCAGCUAUCUAAACCAACCAUAUGCAUUUCGUGUUUUUCAUAUUGUGGUUUUAUGUUGUGAACCGCCCUGAGAUCUAUGGGUAUAGGACGGUAUACAAAUAAAAUAAAAUUCCACCUACUCUCUAAAGUUAAGAAAUGCCUUCCUAAAAACACACACACACACAACCUGUACUCAAGAGGCUAGGACGGUGCAGGGAUGUAAUCUUUCCAGCAUCAAACUCCUGGUCCUAAUGCUUUGUUCUUAGUGGGUCUUCUGCUUCUCUUGCUAUUUCUUUCCUAGUAUGGAAGAUCCUGUUCAAAAUUGCACGGCUGUUCAGUUGAAUGGCUAGGUACAAUAGCUGGAAAAGUCAAGUUGCACCUGACCAAAGUUAUAUUCACUUCUAGCCUUCAGGAGGACGGAGGUUGCAGUUUCUGAAGAAGCCAAGUGUUGGCAAGGGUCUAUUUGAAAAAGAAGCAGACCAGAACUAAAUUAUCGCAGUCCUCUUAUAUAUUGUCUUCUUUCCCCGGUAGUUGCUUUCUGAAGCCUCUGCUUCCACUUUUCAAGGUUCGUUAGCACUUGAGAGUUCAGUAGGAGAUCACGGAACAGGAGGCAGGAAGUUCACGGUCACCUCCUAGCAGAGAUUGCGAAGAUGGGAGAGCCAAGAAGACACGGCAAACCUGUGGUCCUCUAGAAGUUGGGAUCCAACUCUCAUCAGCCCUGACCAUUGGCACUGCUGGUGGAAAUUGACAACAUCUGGAGGGCCACAGGUUCCCCAUCUCCAGUGGGUCCAUACAGAUGUGGAAUUACUGACAGGGUGACCUUUGUCUUCAUUCUGGAUACCAAUCCUAUAAAGAGCACUUAACAGUUCAACCCAAAGGAUGUCUGCUCACAAUUAAGCUCUGUUUUGUCCCAUGUGGCUUAGUUCUAAAUGUGCAUGCAGUUGCAGGCUAUACGAACUUCUGGAUCUACUCAAGGGUUGUGUGUUUGGCUACUGCAGUUGGCAUCAUAGUGGAAUCUCAUUUUGAGCUUCGGCGGCAGCAGAAAUUGCUGCAACUGAAUGCUGUGGCCCCAGAGGAGAGGCAACAUUUCAUAACAGCUGGGCUGUCGGCUUGCCAGUAAUCCCUGUGGGAGUUGUCAAAUGUGUGGGCCAGCCCAGAGAGUGUGGAUGUGAGUGCAAGCGGGGUUGGACUGUCAAGAAUACAGAUGUGGAGAGCGCCUCAGGUGAAGAGGAGAAGCUAAGUUUCGGAUGUGGAAUGUGACAGCGAGCAGUGAACAUAGUGUGGGCAAGGGUAAAUCUUUUAGGUUUUGGGAAAGACCAGAGGAGCAAAGUUUUGGAAAAGGAGUAUGUCAAAAUAAAUGCCGCUUUGUUCCAUACAUUUAAAGCACUGCUGCUUCGAGACCAACCAAUUUAUACUCCCCAUCACUGCUUCCCCAGGGAUUGGUAUUCAGUGGAUGUAGCUUUAAAAUCUUGGGAGAAUAGCUGUUCAAGGAGCCUUCAGGUAACACGAGAGAAGCAGAAGGGCACUGGGAAGACUUUCAGAACCGCAAACAUUUAAAUCUAGCAAAAUACUCUAUGCCUCAUUUGUUUGCAGCUCUGAGGCAUCCAUUGGGUUUCAGUUUAUUUAUUUAUUUUGCAAAAAAGAGAGAGAGAGCGCGAAGUCUUUUCAAAGAAUAGGCACCGUGGGAGCAUUUUACCUUCUGUCAAAUCUUCUUAAGAAGGAAGCCACCAGAGCAAGCACAGAAGGCUAGAGGAGGAGGAGACUCCCAGCUAACUGUCCCCUGGCAAACAUGAGUUUGGAUAAUGGUGCUGAAUGACCUUGGUCAUGCCACCAUAUCACUUCAAGCUUCCUCAUUGCCUGCCUCCACAGAAUCCAGUGUGGGUUGGUGUUUUUUUUUAUCGCCCAUCCAUUUGACUUUGAAGGUACCACAAGACUCUGUUUGCUUUGUUAAAGACCAGCAGAUUCAUUGCAGCAUAAAAGUUUCGGGAGUAGAGCUCGCUCACAUCUGGGGAAACAGGCCCUAGAAUCACAGGAAGCUGCGUUUAUACCAAGUCAGACCAUUGGUUCAUCUAGAUAAGUAUUUGUCCGCACUGAACGAAAGAGUCACUCCAAGGUUUCUCUCCUGCGAUUGAACCUGAGACCGUCUGCAUUCAGAACAGAUGGUGUGGCCCUUUGCUAAACCACAGAGGCUUACUCCAUGGUACAUGUUUGCCCCUUGUUUGUGUCGGGAUCUGCGUUCGACCGAGCUGAUAAAGCUCAUCUUCCUCUGGCCGAGUCCUUCGGAAUUGCCCCCGACGUGAUUGACAACCUGAGCCUUUGAUGAGGCUCCAGGCACAUCCCAUUCAGCAGAGAAUCCAAAACAGCACGCGGAAGUAAUGAGAUUUAUGGCUACAUCGCUAUGCUUUAUUUCUUACUACGCAGACAGCAAAGAAAAAUACAUCCUCUCUCUGUGAGAGCAGAGAGCAACUGAGACAAAGGAACAGGAAACCAGUAACGUCACAUCCGUCUCCCAUCUCCCGUGAGACUUCCAACAGCCUGGAAGGUCUCUGGAAUGUAAACAGAGUCUUGUGACUCUAUGCAGCUGCACAGUGGCAAACAGAAACUAAUAGUUUGCGGCUCUUCUGUAACAGAUUUAAUGUGGCUAACCUUCUUGGCUUUACUAAAGCAAAAUAAUUUAGAGGUUUUUUCAGCUUCAGAGUGAAUUUGAGUUUGCCAUGUGCUUCAAAAGGAGGAAGGUCCACUGCCCCGUUGUAAAGCAUCUAGCUUUAUAUCAGUCAUUGACAUUACAAAACUUCAGGCAAUGAAACUGGGCAAGCUGUUGGCCUGAGAGCAACAAAAGUUGACAGUUUUUGUGUUAAUGUCAAAGCUGUUCCAUAGGCAGCCCUCAAGCCAGAGCUAAGCAGCCCAAAAGACCCUGUAAAUGUUAUUAUCGACAAAGCAAAAGUCCUAGCCUGAACAGUAGGCUUUUCUAAUGCUUCCUGUUGAGGAGAGCCAAUGGCCAGCCUGGCUGGGUGGAGGCAAUCCCUUUACUGCAGGGGCAGCCAAUGUGGAGGACACCACAGGCUGUGGACCACAACCCCCAUCCUCCCUCACCAUUGGCCAUGUUGACUGGUGGUGAUGCGAGUUGGAUUCCAACAACAUCUGGAAGGCACAAUCUUGGCUUAUUCUCCUUUGCGAUCAAAGGAGAUGCUUCAUCUUGUAGCGUUGUUGGCUGAAGAUGUGCAUAAGCCAUUGAUUUCUGAAAGUGUACGCAGCAGUUCCUUGCAGUUAGAUCAAUCACUGGUCUAUCUUCAGAAGUGGGCAGCUCCCUAAAAUUAGACGUGGAUGUCUUCCUAUGCCUAUUAGUCCAUUGACAUAUUGGAGGGAAUUAAAGACAACUAAUUGACAGAAUGUAGACCUGCAUCCUACUAUAUUGCUGUUAGCAUUUCCUUUCCUGCCCUGCCUUCUGUUGAGUGUCUAGACUAGAGUUGUUCAUUCAUACAAGGCUUUUUGUAGAUGCCAGUUUGUUUUAAGAGUUGUUUUUCUCGCUGCUCAAGGUCACCAACAGCUUUGGCAUAGCAUUAGUAGAAUGAAAAAGAGAUGUGGGGCAUAUCUUGCAUGACACAGACUUCUGAACCUUUAUCUUUCAAGUUCCCAAAGUCCUUUUAAUAGUAGAUCUUGCUUAUUUUAAUGAGCCUCAUUAUACCUCGUUUGUUCAGCUCUCUUGUGUGCUGCCAUAUGGCUCCGGUGGCUACCUAGUGAAAAUGUAUUUAUUAUCUCAUAAAACAUAUAUAUAGAGAUGUCAGAUGCAUGUAAUUAAAGGAAUUGUCUUUUGAGAUAUAUAUAUUUUAUCAAUUAACCACCUGGAGCUUCCUAGCCAAAUCUUAAUCAGCUAGCUGACGGAAGACAUCUUGAAACCAUGUCUGGAAAGAGGCAAGCAAAGAUCUAUAUAUACAUUCAGGCAUUCACGAAAGUGUGAUAAUUGUAAGAAGUAAGAAUGGGGGGCAGGAUUCUAUUCAGUUCACAUUUAGAGGCGAAUUUCCUAAUUCUCAUUUCCUGACGCACAGCCGUUGUUGGAAAUUUUCCAAAUUUUGCAGUGUAGUUCUACACAAAUUCAUAUACUAGAGGACAGUGCACAUUAGAAUGCACAUGUUAGUGGAAAAAAAGAAUAAAAAAGUAGCUCAGUUGUUAGAGCAUGAGACUCUUAAUCUCAGGGUUGUGGGUUCAAGUCCAACGGUGGGCAAAAAGAUUCCUGUAUUGCAUGAGAUUGGGCAAUACAGAUGAUCCUUACAGUCCCUUCCAUCUCUACAAUUCUGUGAUUCUGUGAAAAUGCAUGAUAUUAGGGGAAAUUGCAUAGGAAAAUGUGUACACUGGGAGAAGUUCGCACUCUUGUUUUUUUUAAUAAACUGAUGAGGAAAUGUAGAGAGCUGAACCAAGAUUGGAAAAACAAGAAACCCAAAUUGGCAGCUCUGACUAUCCCUAGUAGAAAGCAGAAGGGCAAGGCUGUGAACUUUCAUCCCCGCACUGCACCGCGUACUCCUCCCUGGCCUUGAGCUUAUAUCUGUGUUCCUCACUUGUAUCCCCCCACCCUUUUUUUAAUGGUAAUAUUUGGACCCUGCUUUGCUUGGCAUAUCUCCCAGUUCUAGUUGUUAGAAUUCCUGCUCCAUGAUUGCAGUCAUGGGAUUUUUGUCUAUCACAUGAUGGUGUAUGUUUUGACUCCACAGAGUGGGAAGUGACAAAGACAGGAUGUUUGCAUUACUGUGUUCCGUGAAGUGGGACUAUUGUCCUUUGUCCUUUUCUCUUUGCUGUCUGAUGCUAGAGAGAGAGGGAGCCAUGUUGCAGUGCUUUGUGUGUGUUUAUAUGUAAAUAAAGUAGAUUAGCCAAAAUGCUGAGUUGCUGGGGUCUGUCACGCACAUGAUGCGCAAACUCUGCAGAUCCCUAAGUGUGCCAGUGUUGGUUGGCAUCGGUCGCUGUGAUGUUCAGGCUGAAGAAAGCUUUUGAAGCUCCCGAACGAUCGACCAGGAGGGAGAGAACAUGCCAGUUGGUCAUGUGUCUCUGCCAGGGUCCUACUCAAGUGUAGGCUGAACUCUUGACACUAGUAAGAGCACAGAGUAGAACACUUAGGCUUGAGAUCUAACCCCCUGCCCCCAACAUAUGAAACAUUUGCUGGAAAUGGGUGGCAUGUUUUAAUUUCUAGAGAGAGAGGUGCAGAGACUCAGACCAUAUAGGCCAGAGAGACUCCUUAAUGCAAUGUGCAGAUGGAGUAUGGGCAGAGCAGGUUGUGUUUGCUAAGGCACAUUUUGACUACAUUCCAGCUACCUGGUAGAAGCAAUUGUUGGCUAUCAAGCCUGGCCAUGAUUUUUUUGACUCCUGGGAAGUACCUUUCCUUCCUACAAGUCCAUUGUGUGCUGGCAAAUGAUGUCCACAUGCUCUAAGUACAGAUCCCACGCUUUCCACCUGCUUCUUGAAUGGAAUGGCAUCCUUGCUUAACCAGGAUAGCUUAUCACAUCAGGAAGGAACUAGUGAAAACUUGAGUUCACCUUGACACACUGAAUAUUGUGAGAUACACCGAAACAGCAUAAUCCUCACAAAGUGAUUUUUAUGACAUCAAUUUCCUGUGUGGAUUAUGGUGUUUGAACAUUCCUGGUGUGAUAAGAGAUGUUAGGGGAACAUGUCAAGGUGGACUCGUUUUCCAGUCAUUCGCUCCAAUUUCCUACCACACUGAACAUUUGAAUUGGUCCUCGGAGACAAUUGGAAUGUAAAUUCAAGAGUUUAUAGCUUUCUGACUGAAAAUGGGUGUAUGUUUUUGUCGGCAAAGCCUGUGGUUUUUUUAGCAAAAGUAACUUGAGUUUCCUCAGCUACCCAUACACUUUGCCCAUAUGAUGCCAGUCUGUAAUGCACAGACCCCUUUGCUAUGUGCAGGUCUCUUGCUUCAAUAGUAUCUGUGCAAGCAACAUAACACUUGAGAGUCCUUAAGGGAUGCGGGUGGCGCUUUGGGCUAGGACUUGCUGAUCAGAAGGUCGGUGGUUCGAAUCCCCGCGACGGGGUGAGCUCCCGUUGCUCGGUCCCUGCUCCUGCCAACCUAGCAGUUUGAAAGCACGUCAAAGUGCAAGUAGAUAAAUAGGUACCACUCCAGCAGGAAGGUAAACGGCGUUUCCAUGUACUGCUCUGGUUCACCAGAAACGGCUUAGUCAUUCUGGCCACAUGACCUGGAAGCUAUACGCCGGCUCCCUCGGCCAAUAAAGCGAGAUGAGCACCACAACCCCAGAGUCGGUCACGACUGGACCUAAUAGUCAGGGGUCCCUUUACCUUCACCUUUAACAGAUCAACAUUCAGUGGUAAAGGGCAUUCUUUUCUUUAAAAAGGGAUCUGCACCAAAGGCCUUGGAGAUCAACUGACCAUUAGAGCUAAGGGUGUAAGGGAAGAUGGACCAAUUGUCUAACUCUCUGUAUAAGCCAGUUCUUUAUAUCCAAGUAUGCUGUGAUCUCAAGGAGACAGCAGGCUCACUCAUAACUGAGCUAUGGAUGUUGUGGAGAGUUUUCUACAGAGCUGUGUCUCUCAUGACUUAAGGAAUUCUGUCUAGAGAGGAAAUGCUGCAAAGGAUUCUGGGACAUGUUCUACCACACGCCUUGUUAAUUUUAGGUUUGUCUGGCCUCACCACUGCCCCAUUUGAGGUGAGAGUUGUGCCAUAGGACAUACCCAACACUUUCUUAUGUCUGCAUAAGAAAAGGAUGUAAUAAUAAAAGGAUGUCACAUAGAGGAGGGAGAAAGGUUGUUUUCUGCUGCUCCAGAGAAGCGGACACGGAGCAAUGGAUCCAAACUACAAGAAAGAACAUUCCACCUAAACAUUAGGAAGAAUUUCCUGACAGUAAGAGCUGUUCGACAGUGGAAUUUGCUGCCAAGGAGUGUGGUGGAGUCUCCUUCUUUGGAGGUCUUUAAGCAGAGGCUUGACAACCAUAUGUCAGGAGUGCUCUGAUGGUGUUUCCUGCUUGGCAGGGGGUUGGACUCGAUGGCCCUUGUGGUCUCUUCCAACUCUAUGAUUCUAUGAUUCUAUGCAUGUUGUGGGGAAAGACGAGUCAUGAAUGGAUAAGCUGUCCUUCGGUGAAACUCAUUCGCCACUCCUGAACUUAGGGACUUUGAUAACUUUCGAGGGGUUUCCCUGGAACACAAUCUGAAAAUCACAGCUGUUGAAUAUAAGCUGUCAUUACAGGAUAUUAGUUUUUGUUAUAGAGCAGGGGAAGCCAACAUGGUGUCCUCCAGAUGUCGAUGGACUACAACUCCCAUCAUCUCAGACCAUUGGCCAUGCUAGCUGGAGUUGAAAGGAGUUGUGCUGCAAUAACAAAUGGAGGUCACCACAAUGUCUGCCCCUAUUACAGAUUUUGUAAUCCCAUUUAAGAACAUGUGAGACUGUUUUCUGGAGCUGGCUUCUUUGGGAGCCAGAAAGUUAAUUGUGAAAUAGUUGUGUGUAUUUUCUGCAGGUGGUAUGGUAGGAAGAACUUUGUCUUCAUUGCUAGCACAGAUCGAACCCUCUGGAGAGGUCUUGUAUUAAUUUGUGUCUUGUAUUAGAGGACUGGGAACUUGCUUCCUUUCCCUCACCUGGCAGCUAACACCAAAAGAAUUAUGUUUGCACAGUCAAAAGUCUGUUCUGGGGAUGGUGACACGAGAGGACACAGAAAGUCACAGCUCGAGCCCUUGUUUGUCUCUCAGCAAAUUAUGUAGCCAUCACAUGCAUCUCCAGAUUUACUAUCUCUGAAUCUAAUUUAGGGUUCGGGUCUCGGGCUUAAAUAACUGGCUGGAUAACUUGCAUAACUCUGUGCAUAACUUGCAGAAAUAGUUACAGCUUUUGUGUGAGCAUUCUUUAUGAUGGGUUAUUUCAGCUACAAACAAUGCGCGUUCCCAAACCCAGUGAGAUCCUUGCGCUCUGCUUUUGCAGAGCCACGUCACGGAGGAUAGAAGGUAACAUCUCCAGCUUCUAGGGUCAGACACAUGAGUGAAAGUCAACCGGAAAUUGUCAGGCAGAGAAUUGAGGCCAAGGUAGAUUACCAGGAGGCAUCUUAGACAGGUGGAGGUGGGUGUGGAGAAGGGUUGCCUAGGAAAUCGAGAGACUGUGGCUGGCAUCAGUGGUGGGCAUUGCCAGGCACCUGCUGAGGUUCAUGUCUUAGUAGGGGAGUUGCAACUGUCUACCAGAGCCCCCUGCCUCUUCUUGCCAUUGGCUGCCUGCUGUCUCUCCCUCUGGCGAAAUAGGAGAGGGCAAGUGGAUAGCAGGAACCAGAAGAAGGAGCAACAACUGCUGCUGCCUCCUCAUUCACUUGUGCCUCAAGGCAGCAGUAGGGACUGAGCCCAGAGGGAGCGUGUUAGUGCCAGAUAGAGGAUAUCUCUGUCCAGUAUAUCUGAAGGAGCAUCUCCACCCCCAUCGUUCUACCCGGACACUGAGGUCCAGCGUCGAGGGCCUUCUGGGCGGUUCCCUCACUACGAGAACCCAAGUUACAGGGAACCAAGGAGAGGGCCUUCUCGGUAUUGGCACCCGCCCUAUGGAACGCCCUCCCGCCAGAUGUCAAAGAGAACAACAACUACCAGACUUUUCGACGACAUCUGAAGGCAGCCCUGUUUAGGGAAGCUUUUAAUUUUUGAUGCAGUACUGUAUUUUAAUAGUGUGUUGGAAGCCGCCCAGAGUGGCUGGGGAAACCCAGCCAGAUGGGUGGGGUAUAAAUAAAUUCUUCUUCUUCUUCUUCUUCUUCUUCUUCUUCUUCUUAUUCUUACUAUGAUUAUUACUAUUUUGACACAGGGCCCCUCAAAGCCUGGUGCCAGCAUGGCAAAAGUCUUCUGCAGGGACAGAAAUGGUUGCAUGACUAUACAGGGGACAGAAAUAAGGGUGUAUGCACUGUAGGUGAAGCUACUACUCCACGGCAUAGACAAAAAGUCAGCUCACUGGAAGGAUUUUUGUAGGGGACAGGAACAGCCAGGACCUAACCAUGUUGGAACUGGAUAGAGCAAGGCAGAGUCCCUCACAAGCAGCUUGUGAUAAAAACUCAUUUAUUGCUUUUCCAAUCAGCAGUCAUGGCAACUAGAGCAAUGCUCUGUUCCAACUCCCAGAAGGCCUGCAGUUUGAGUCCACCUCUGACUCAUGACCUUUGCAGGUUAUAGAAUAGCAGACACUGCUCCUCUGGAGAGGAGAAGCACCAGCCACUUAACAAAUACCAGUGUCUCCCUUAUUCUUGCAUCCCACCCCCUAAGCAGUCCACGCAUAUGGCAUGAACAAAGAAGAAUGAAACAACCUGCUUGGCCAUUCUUGCUUGGCAUGGAAGGGAGUUUUAAUCAUGGCUGACUAUUUCAGACGCGAUUUUCCCAUGGGAGUUAAUCUCCUAUUUAGGCUGGUUCUUAUAACCAAAUAGGAGGCUCUGGCAUCCCUGUGUUGGUCAUGAUGCGCUGCUCAGCCUUAAAGUCUUCCAUCUUAAAUUCCUCCAAGGGCUGAACUUUUAAGUAACAGUGAGGAAUAUGAGGUCCUUCAGAGCCUGAAGAUUGAACACCCCAUGUAAGCCUCGAACACAUUUUCCUCCUCCUUUGGUGCCGUAGCUGCAGUUUUAAUGCGGUGUUUAUCUGUCAUUGUCAGUAAUGCCCAUGAAAUGCAUAAACCUGUCUGUGGGAUCAAAGGAGCUAUGCUGUGAUUGAAGAAAGAGCAUUCCACUACCUAAACAGAACUGAAUAUACUAAAAUAAUGCUGUUGAGUGCUUGCAUUUGGGGCAGUUCAGUCAGCACAGGUUGUCUCCUGUAUUUGAUGCAGAUAGAACACCUUUUUGCCCUCUUCCUUGACGCUGAUCUCCAGGGUUUAGAUUUCAUGUUUGUUUCCGAUACCCAUCCUGCCUGUUACCUGUCCUUGGCGAUACAUCAUUUGCAUGGUGACGCAAAAGGAGUGGAUUGUCAGUCUUCAUAAAAUGUCAAGGACCCAGUGUCAAGAUAGAAAGGCAAUAUUCUUCUAAGUGGUUCAGGCAGACAAUAAAGCCUUUUUGUCAAGUUAGAGAUGGUAGCGUCUUCCGUCUCCGAGUGUGAAGUGGCUUUAACGUGGGAAUAUCUUGGCUCUGUAGUCUGCUAUGUGACCUGCUCCUCACUGAGGUGGCGAAUCUGUGUUGGGGCUUUGCCACUUUGAGAUUCAGGUGGAGGCUUCCAUUUCUGAAUGCUACUCCUUGCAAAAAUAAAAAAGGGAUGUCACUAGUAGCUUCUUUUGAUGGUCAGGUAGCACUUCAAAGCCACAAGUCAGGAACAGGGUACCCCUCGACCCAUACACUUUCUGAAGUACAAUUCACCAGGUACCAGAGCAAGGUGGGAUCUGAAUCUAGUCAACACAUCCCUCCAGCAAUGGCUACAAUAGGAUAGGUACAACAUUUCACAGGUACAGUGGUACCUCAGGUUACAUACGCUUCAGGUUACAUACGCUUCAGGUUACAGACUCCGCUAACCCAGAAAUAGUACCUCGGGUUAAGAACUUUGCUUCAGGAUGAGAACAGAAAUUGUGCUCUGGCGGCGUGGCAGCAGCCCCAUUAGCUAAAGUGGUGCUUCAGGUUAAGAACAGUUUCAGGUUAAGACUGGACCUCCGGAACGAAUUAAGUACUUAAUCUGAGGUACCACUGUUGUGCAUGGACGUGUGAACAUAUAAAGCCCUUCUGAUAGAGGGUUUUUACAGAAAUAAGCUAUAUCACGGGUCAACAUGUGGAAUGUACACCAAGUUUGGGAUUGUUAACUGUUUUUAAAGAAGAGCAAUCUGACCUUUGUUAUAAAGAUCUAAUUACUUUUCUUUUAGUAGCAAAAUGCCUACUAGUGAGUGGAACAGAACUGGAAAGGAUUGGAACAUCUGUGUAUCUCUCGUUGUAAACAGACUGUACGGUCUAUUGCCAUAUCAGAAAAAUUAACAAAGAGAUACCGUAUUUUUCGCUCCAUAGGGCACACUGGACCAUAGGGCACACCUAGUUUUUAGGGGGUGAAAUAAAGGGGGGGAAUUAUUUUUCCCCCCAGCCCCAAAGAGCAAAGAAGCUCCCAGAGAGGAGCUUGCCGGGCUGGGGGCAGGGGAAGCCUGAGCUUCCCCUGACCCCAGCCCCCAGAACGGGUUCGGGAGCAGCGGCGAGGUUGCACGCAACUUCGCCUUUGCUCCUGAAGCUUGCCGGGCUGGGGACGGGGGCAGCCCGAGCUUCCCCCGACCCGAGCCCCCAGAACAGGCUGCUAUCCGCAAGCCUUCUGAGCCCGGCGGGAACUCCCACCGGGCUCCGAAGGCUUGCGGAUAGAUGCCUGAAGCCCAGGGAGUGCAGCGGGAGUUGGCGCUGCGCUCCCCGGGCUUCAGGCUGCAGGCUGCUAUCCACAAGCCUUCGGAGCCCGGCGGGAACUCCUGCCGCACUCAGAAGGCUUGCAGAUAGCUGCCUGAAGCCUGCAUUCGCUCUAUAGGACGCACACACAUGUCCCCUUUCAUUUUUGGAGAGCGAGAAGUGCAUCCUAUAGAGCGAAAAAUACGGUACAUGCAUUAAAUAAUACAAGUGAUGUAGACGAUUUUGUUGAAAUAUGGCAUCCUUGUAUAAAACACUUUACUGAUGAUCCUGAAUAUUGGCAACUGCUGAAAUCACAGAUUAGACUUUGGCAAAUUUCGCUAGAUUGAUCUGUCCUGUAGCAGGGAGGGGGCGAGCUGGGAUUUUGUUUUUGCAUCCCUUUCUCUCUCUCUUUUUGUAAUUGUUAUAUAUUGGAAGUCAAUAAAACUAUAUUAAAAAGCAAGCAAGGAAACAAAAAAUAUCCCUCCCACAGCCUUAAAGACAGAGCAUUGCCAUCAUGCCUAGUAGCCACAGAAAGCCUCUUCCUAUUCAUCUAAUCCUCUUUUGAAGGCCUCCAAGUUGGGGACCAUCAGUCGCACCUGUGGCAGCAAGCUUGCUUCAAAAUUAGUGUGUCUAGAAUUGCAGCCCUAAGGAGAACAGCAGCCCCCAUCUUCAUAGCAUUUCUCAGGAUUGUAUGCCCCUCUUUAUAAUUAUUUUCUCUGACCACUCCGAUGCUGGGGUUGUUGUGGGUUGGCAUGCAAUGAGGAAGAAUAGCUGAAGGGCAUAUGAUGCAAUUUGCCUGCAUGGGCCCAUAUGACAGAGUGAAGUGAAUGCCUCUGAUUUGUAGCAUAAGGCUAAUGGUGAGUUAUUUGAUUUAUUGUUGUCUUUUUAUGGCCGGGGAGCAGGGAGAGAGGUGUUCGUUGGUUUUCCUGGCUCAGGUCAGGUGCCAAAAUAACUUGACUGGCCUUGACUGGCUACCGAGCAGAUAGGCACUAUAUCACCAAAACAGCGGGUUGCAUAGAUGGAACUUCAUGUUGAUAAACAGCAAGUGUGAAGCUGGAAUAAAACACUCUUCUGUAUUUGUGCUGUCAGAUGCCUUGGUCUGAGGAUUUUCGGCCACACUGUGUUGGUUGUGCCUCUAAGCAACAAAGCAUGCACACACAAAUACCAAAAGAAAAUGUAGACACACACACACACAUUUACUUUUUAUUGCAGUAAAUUGCAAUGUGUUUAUAGUGGUGCAUGUUGUGCACAUGAAUUAUAGCACCCCAGCAGAAUUUCUGAAAAUGAAAAUUACUGGAUACUGCCCUGAGUCUAACUUCUCCAACCUGAUGCCCUCCAGGUUUUUGGGACUACCGCUCUCAUCAUCCGUGACCAUUGGUCAUGCUGGCUGAAGCUGAUGGGAGUUGAAGCAAUAUCUAGAGGGCAACAGGUUGAAGAAGGCUGAUCUAGCUCAUUGUAAGGCAGGUCCAUGGGUCCAGUUAGCAUCUCCACCCCCAUCAUUCUGCCCGGACGCUGAGGUCCAGCGCUGAGGGCCUUCUGGCGGUUCCCUCAUUGCGAGAAGCAAAGCUACAGGGAACCAGGCAGAGGGCCUUCUCGGUAGUGGCGCCCGCCCUGUGGAACGCCCUCCCAUCAGAUGUCAAAGAGAUAAACAACUACCUGACAUUCAGAAGACAUCUUAAGUUUUUAAUGUGUGACAUCUUAGUGUAUUUUUGGUCUUUGUGGAAGCCGCCCAGAGUGGCUGGGGAAACCCAGCCAGAUGGGCGGGGUACAAAUAAUAAAUUAUUAUAUUAUUAUUAUUAUUAUUGCUGUUGUUGUUGUUUCAGAUGUGUUAUUUCCUUUUUUGAAGAAAACAAAUAAUUUCAGUAACAGAUGAACUUCUGGUCCUCUCCACGCUAUGAAUCCUGCAGCCUAUCUUGGUUUUCCUAGUCUGGUCUCCUUUGGACCACAUAUCCGAAAGGGACCAGGCUAGGAGCACUGCAAGCUAUGAAUUUUGCAUGGCUGUCUUCCCAGGACACUUUCCUAGCUGCGCGCCACAGCAGGAAAAGGACCAUAGCUCAUCUUUGCAGGCAAGAAGCUCCAGGUUCCAGGCAUUUCCAGUUUGAUGGGCAAAUAGCGGGUUAUGGAAGGUCCUCCUCUAGGGACCCUGGGAAGCAGCUGCCAGUCAAAAGUGCCUUGUACUAUGCUAGAUGGACCAAUUCUCUAAGGUAGCUUCAUAUCUCAAUAUGAACAUGGGAAGCUAUCUCCAAGCUCUUGGGCAAGCAGUAGGGUGACACCCCAGGAUGCUUAUUCACUUUGAUCUGCUCUCUUUCUGUGGCCUCCUUUCAGACUGUUCCUUCCAGUGCCAUUCUACUGGGUUAUUUGAAUUGGGGUUACAAAAAAAGGAUAACCUUUGUUAUCCGAUGGAGCGUCUCUACCUCCAUCGUUCUGUCCAGACACUGAGGUCCAGUGCCGAGGGCCUUCUGGCGGUUCCCUCGCUGCGAGAAGCCAAGUUACAGGGAACCAGGCAGAGGGCCUUCUCGGUAGUGGCGCCCGCCCUGUGGAACGCCCUCCCACCAGAUGUCAAAGAGAAAAAUAACUACCAAACUUUUAGAAGACAUCUAAAGGCAGCCCUGUUUAGGGAAGCUUUUAAUGUUUAAUAGGUUAUUGUAUUUUAAUAUUUUGUUGGAAGCCGCCCAGAGUGGAUGGGGGGACCCAGCCAGAUGGGCGGAGUAUAAAUAAUAAAUUAUUACUGUAUUAUUAUUACUACUACUAUUAUUAUUAUUACCUUGCAUUGCUUACAUAAAAAAGCAAUGCAAGGCGAUAAGGAUUAUUUUUUCAACCUUUUUUUAACGGGGUGAGGGGAAGAGAGAAUGAAGAUACUAGACCGAAUUGGCAAUGCCUUCACCACUCCAUUAACAAUUAUCGUCCUGGCCGUAUGGUAUUUUGUUUGUUUUCUGAUCCUAAUUAAUCAUCUUAUUUUUGAGUUAAAAUAAUUAAAGCUAAAUCCUCUCUCUUCAUUUUAAUCCUUCCUUUGCUAAGCCGCGCACUGUUGUGCCAUUCUGUCUAUCCCAUGGAAGUUGCUUGGAGCCAUUUUCCUGCCUCGCAAUCAUGUUGUCUCUUGGAAAGUUAUAAACUCUGAGAGAUGAAAACACCUUCUUUAAAAAAAAGAAGGAAGGAAGGCAGUGUUAAUAAGCAGCUCCCUAAUCACAGCAGAUGUAUGCCUAGAUCCGUGAUCAUAGGACACCAAAUGUCAAUGUUCCUUGCCGAAGCAAGCACUGGAAGUUAAAUGCUUUAAUUGGGAUUUACUUGCUUUGUUUUGUUUCAAACCUAAAUGAAUCAUGGAGCUAAAAGGUAUAUUGUGCAAGCUUGAAUAAAAGUCAUUUGCCAAAAGUCUGUGCAGAUUUCAAAGUAAUUAAAACUCAGGGACUGCCUACUUGGCACUAUCUUCUUAAUUGAUAAUCAAAAUGAGCAGAUCAAAUAAGUAUGCUUUGAACACAGCUGAUAAUUGCCAGCAAUUCCCUUUGAAAUUCUUGGAUCAGUUGGAUUCCGUCAUUAAACUGGUUGUUUGCAAAUUCGCUACUAGUUGAUGCAAAUCCACAAAGAAAACCCUUGCAUAAUACAACGAUGACACUGGGUCUCAUUAAAUAACAUAAUAAGUUUUAGGAUGAGAUGAGAGGGAAAUAAGUUGCUUAGAAUUUGUGCUGCCUUUUUCUUUUCUUUCUUUUUUUUGCCAAAUCAAGGCGAAUGAGAGUGUGUAAAGGUAAAGAGCAAGACUCUGUUCAUUGCACUGGACAAUGUUGUUGUAGAAGUCAACCAAAGAUUUAAAACCCCUUUAAAAGCAAUGGGUGUUGUCCAUUGUCACCCAAGUUGCAUGAUGGGACUUCCUUUUCCUCUCUUCUCCUGCAUCUCCUUGUUUCAUCACAAAUCAACUCCAAACCUCCAGAGUACAUUUUGGGGUCAGAGAAUGGAUAUCUGUUCCAUUCUGCUGGCAAACACUAAACUAUACCUUACAAUGUGUUCCUGUAAGGUGGGGUGGUUUGCAGAACGAGAUACAUCAAAAACUUAAUCGUAAUACAGUGUAAUGUGUGCAUACUUUCAUUUCUUUGCAACAGUUUUUUUUUUUAAAGAGUAUAUUACCCAACUAUUCCUGUCCAGAAAGACAGAUGUAGUUACAGUGGUACCUCGGGUUACAGACGCUUCAGGUUACAGACUCCACUAACCCAGAAAUAGUACCUCAGGUUAUGAACUUUGCUUCAGGAUGAGAACAGAAAUUGCGCGGCGGCAGCGCAGCAGCAGCAGGAGGCCCCAUUAGCUAAAAUGGUACCUCAGGUUAAGAAUGGACCUCCAGAACAAAUUAAGUUCUCAACUCGAGGUACCACUGUAUUCUAAACUCCAGAACUCCACGCUGUUUCUUUAUUGGAAUACGUAGUUUACUGCCAUUGGGACAACACACAUUAAUUAACUACUGAGUGGCACCUAAAGGUGUUGAAGGGUUCUUUUCUGAACCAAAUGCCUUACUAAGGUCCAGUGUGUAAGGGACCUGGACUGCAGAGAAAACUUUCUCAUGUAAGAAGAGUUCCAUCACUACCCCUCCAGCCCACUGGGGUCUAGUUUGAAUGCAUUUCACCAUAUGCUCUGUUCCAUGUACAUGCCAAUAGCAUCUCCACCUGGGCAGCUAAUUAUUGGUGUACUAAUGCUACACAUAUAUGGGGUGGUAAUAGCCACCAACUCAAAUGGCUUUUAAAAAGCAUUUGACGAAUUCAAUGUGGUCAAGGCUAUCAGUGGCUAUCAGUCACGAUGGCCAUAUUCUACUUCUACUGUCAGAGGCAUUAUGCCUCUGAAUACCAGUCUCUGGGAACUGCUGGUGGGCUGUCAGGAGUCCAGGUUCCCUGCUUGAUAACACAGUAAGCAUAGGUACCGUAUUUUUUGCACCAUAACACUCACUUUUUCCCUCCUAGAAAGUAAGGGGAAAUGUCUGUGCGUGUUAUGGAGUGAAUGCCUACGGGUGGCGGGGGGGAUCUGCUGCAGUUGUGAGCAGAGGAUCCAUGGUUCCCCUUCCUUCCCUCCUCCAUGGCUCGCUUUGAAACAGCAAAGCGGGAGAAGAGCCGCUGAGUGGGGAGGAGAGAGGGACAGAGAGCCUGCUUCUUUAAAGGAGCAAAGCGGGAGAGGAGAGGAGUCCGGUUGGCUCCUUUAAAGCAAGCAGGCUCUCUGUCCCUCUCUCCUCCCCACUCGCUAAAUAGCAUUAUUAGCAGCAUCCUUCUCCACACACUCCAUGCGUGCUCCUUGUCCCUUGAGUGCUUUUCCUUCCCUCCCCACUUAAAACGUAGUUACAAAGCACGGAUCCACAUGGAUCCUCAGGAUUUUUGCACUGGGUCACCCCAAAUUCACCAUCAGAUCACAUAGCAUGCCCAUGGCUACAUCUUGCACCAAAAAAAUCAUGCACCCACUGUUGCCUGGGGUCGCAGUGGUGCAAAAAUGUGGUUACAAAGCAUGGAUCCACAUGGAUCCUCAGGAUUUUUGCAUUGGGCUACUCCAAGCUCACUGUCAGAUCACAUGUCUGUGGCCACAGCAUGAACCACAAAAAUCAUACAUCCAGUGUUUCGUUUAGAAUAUUUUUUUCUUGUUUUCCUCCUCUAAAAACUACGUGCGUGUUAUGGUCUGGUGCGUGUUAUAGAGCGAAAAAUACGGUAAUUAAAAAGGAGGAUUUAUUGCAAAAACAAACAGAUAGCUCCGGACGGCUCUAACAAAGCCUCCGGCAUCAUUACUCAAGAUGACCCUUCUGAAGACUUCUUCUGGUGUUGACAGAAGAUAUUGAACUUAUGACCCUUACAUCUCUUGUUUUGCUUCCUAUCUAGCAGCCCUCCCAUUCGCUGACUCUUCAGACUUAGUGGAUCAGCUCCAACCUCUUCCUAUUCUGAGAGGCUGUCUCUGAAUUUGUUUGUGCCUAAUUGUGCCUCCUGUGAGCUUUGGCUGUGUUCUAGCCUGCUCUCAGCUACUGCUUUAUCAGCCUGCCCAUCAAGGUCAGGAAGAGCCGAAGCCUUCAGCUGUCUGCUCUCCCCUGCCUGACUAACAUCUAAGCCUCUCUGUUCCUGGCUUCUUUCUGCAGUUGGCUGCAAACCUUCGCUUGGAGCUGGCUCAUUCCUGACAUGGUCAGAGUGCUGUUGUGCUUAUGUCUAGUUUGCAGGCUUCCCAUAGGCAUCUGAUCACCCCAACCAGAGCAGGUUAUGAGACCAGAUAGGCCAAUGACCAGAUCCAAUAGACUUGUCUUACAUUCUUAAGUGUUUGAAUGUGACAGUGGUGCACUGAGCACUUAUGCAGGUAAACACUUUCUCCACUGCUUGCAUCCCAUAUAAACCGGGCCUGAGAUUUGGGGUGUUUGCUUUUUUCAUUCCUUUCCCCCAUCCCAUGCAAUACAAAGGAUUGGCUUAAGUGCAUGUGUCCUACUAAGCGGAGUAUUCCCUCCAAGAAAAUAACGCAUGAACAGAGCCAGAAUGUUCUUAUUAAUUGCUUUUGAAUGCUGCAGUUGGUGUUUUGUGCUUCAGGUAGUGCUGGGAUAAUUGAAACAGCUGGGGGUGGGGGAGGAAUCAAGUAGGAUUCAAGGUGGUCUGCAAAGCUCUGGAGACAGAUGUGCAUAUAAAUGCACAUUAAAAAUAAACCCAAAUAAAUAAAUACCGAGUUACUCGCUCUUAUUUACUUCUUGCGAUCCAGUGGGACAGAACUCAUUCCCACAAGCUUAGAUGCUUGCAUUUUCUAUUAUUACUUAAGACUUUUAAAGUGGGGGGAGGGGAAUCUGGCUGAAGCUUAUGUGAUGUUUCAAAGUAAAGAGAUGAGUAGAAUUUGCAUAAUAGAAUCACAAAAAUGGAAAGCAUGGAACAUUUGAUAUUUAAAAUAGUCUCAUCUAAAGCUUUUAGCACAGGUAGGAAAGGUUAAUAAAAAUCCAUCUGUACAGCAUAUAAAUUAUUCCAGACUUUAAAAUGUAAAACAAAAUUAUGUCCAAUCCAUCUUCCUGCCUUCUCUUACAAACAUAUGUCUCCUUAACAAACCUUUCCUACUUAAACACCUACUUGAAAAAUUAAAAUGAAAUGCAUCACGCUUCUGACUUGUGUGAGCUAUAAUCCAGUGUCCAGUCACUUAGCUCUAGGACUUGGCCCUAGACCAGCGGUCGGCAAAGUUUUUGUGGCUUGGGCCGGUUCACGGUCCUGCAGACGCCGCGGUGGGCCAAAGUGUGUGUGUGUCUGUGUGUGUGCACGCGCACGCACGCAUGCACGCACACAAAUGCAAACACUAUUUCUGGUGCUACUUCUGGUGCAGAGGAGGCGUGCGCAGCUUCUCAUUGGCUGCAGGAGCUUCCUGCAACCAAUGGGAAGCCGGCCAGCAUCGCGGAAGGCGGUCCCCGCUCUUCUCCGCCUGGUUUAGCGUGGCACACAGGAGCCAACUGAGCAGGCGGCAGGGGUCCAUGGGCCAGUUAAACAACCCCUUCCCUAGACCAAUGGCAUAAGGGCACAGUGGAAGGUGCCAUUAAGCAUUUGCACCUUGUCUUGCCCGUGACAGUGAGUAACCAAAGCCAACCCUUCCAUACUUGGGAAGUGAACGCAUGGGAGGGUCUGAGGGGUCAAAGACAUGACUUGCAGCCACCAUCACAGAAAUGAAAUGCUACAGAAUGAUGUUGGAGUACCUAUGAGGAAACAGUUGAAGUGCUGUACUGAAAUCAGGAGCCAAAGAUCCGUUUAGUAUUUUGAGAUUAAAACAGUGAUGGUGAGGUUAAAAAGAAUUAUUAGGGCUAGGCAGAUCUGCCAAUUUUGGUUCUUUUAGUUUCUCAUGUUCCUGAUUCUGGAAUUCAGUCCCCCUACAUUCGUUUGCAAUAAUAAUAAUAAUAAUAAUAAUAAUAAUAAUAAUAAUAAUAAUAGAAUCCUUACAAAAACUCAUCAGCAUUUAGUACAAACUUCUCCUAAUAGACACAUUUUUGUAUGCCAUUUUGAUUAAUAUACACAAUUUUGCAAGCGGUUCCCCCUAAUACAGUGGUACCUGGGGUUAAGUAUUUAAUUCGUUCCAGAGGUCCAUUCUUAACCUGAAACUGUUCUUAACCUGAAGCACCACUUUAGCUAAUGGGGCCUCCUGCUCCUGCUGCGCUGCCGGACCAUGAUUUCUGUUCUCAUCCUGAAGCAAAGUUCUUAACCCAAGGUACUAUUUCUGGGUUAGCAGAAUCUGUAACCUGAAGCGUAUGUAACCCGAGGUACCACUGUAUCCCUUUUUGUAUGUUAUUGUGAGGAAUAUAUUCAUCUGACUGCAGAUGUCCCUCUAAUAAAUGCAUGUUGGGUUGUAGAACUGCUUUGCAAAAUUCGAAGAAGUGCAGAAAGGAAUGGAAGCAUGGGGGGAAACUGGUUGCUUUGUCAAAAGCAGGCAAAGGUACCCACCAGUCCAAAACACUACAUCUACAGAUUCUAGAUGCACAGCUGAAAAUUAGCACUGGCAGCCACCCGGUUAAAAGCAAUCACAAAUUGGCUUAACAUAUGUUUUUCAUCCAUUCAUCCAUCAGUUGCAUUUGCAUCUGAGUAAAACUAAAUGUUCUGAAGCAAUGAGUGUUGUUUUCUUUGUUUUUAGAUCUUGCAUCCAUGUGUUAACAGCAGGCAUCGACUUAGAAAAAGACACUCCCUCCUAUCACAGGUAUAUUUUUAGUCAGUUAAACAUUGGUUAAUGGAUUGACCUAACAAAUUAAGAGAAUAAUAUUGUGCUGUUGUUGUUUAGUCGUUUAGUCGUGUCCGACUCUUUGUGACCCCAUGGACCAGAGCACGCCAGGCACUCCUGUCUUCCACUGCCUCCCACAGUUUGGUGCUGGUAGCUUCGAGAACACUGUCCAACCAUCUCGUCCUCUGCUGUCCCCUUCUUGUGCCCUCCAUCUUUCCCAACAUCAGGGUCUUUUCCAAGGAGUCUUCUCUUCUCAUGAGGUGGCCAAAGUAUUGGAGCCUCAGCUUCAGGAUCUGUCCGUCCAGUGAGCACUCAGGGCUGAUUUCCUUAAGAAUGGAUAGGUUUGAUCUUCUUGCAGUCCAUGGGACUCUCAAGAGUCUCCUCCAGCACUAUAAUUCAGAAGCAUCAAUUCUUCGGCGAUCAGCCUUCUUUAUGGUCCAGCUCUCACUUCCAUAUUGGGAAAACCAUGGCUUUAACUAUACGGACCUUUGUUGGCAAGGUGAUACUACUGAAAAAUCUUUGUGUCUGGCCUUCCUGCUUGCACAGACGACCGUUGCAACCAUCAUCUCCCCCAAGCAGUAGGAGCCUACAGCUGUUGAAACAAGCCAGGCCCCUUUAAAAAUACGAGCUCAGUUGGUGCAGCAUGAGACUGUUAACCUCUGAAUUGCAGGUUUGAGCCCCAUGCUGGGGAGUCCUGCAUUGCAGGGGGUUGAACUAUAUGUCCCUUGUGGUCCCUUCCAACUCUACAAUUCUAUGAUUCUACUUGGAGGAUGGAGCUAACCACCCAGACUCAACCUGGAGUUAAUUGUUGCUUAAGCAACAUCCUAAACCUACGCCAAUCUGAGUCCCACGUAGAGUUUCCCAUUCCAAAUGCCUCACCUGCCUCCUAGCACCAUCAUCAGAAGCAGAACAACAGCUGAGGCACAGCUACAGUGGUACCUCGGGUUAAGUACUUAAUUCGUACCGGAGGUCCAUUCUUAAGCUGAAACUGUUCUUAACCUGAAGCACCACUUUAGCUAAUGGGGCCUCCUGCUCCUGUCACGCUGCUGGAGCACAAUUUCUGUUCUCAUCCUGAAGCAAAGUUCUUAAACCGAGGUACUAUUUCUGGGUUAGCAGAGGCUGUAACCUGAAGUGUAUGUAACCUGAAGCGUCUGUAACCCGAGGUACCACUGUACUAGCCAUUGAAGCACCUUUUUUGGUUUUAUCCAAUGGAUUGCAGUACAUUCCAAAAGGUUAGCUAAACUUGUAAAUAAGCCUCAUUUCACGAUGCAGGUUAGGCAAAUGAUCCAUGCAGUCAUUUCUGCAGAUGGUGGGUCAGUUCCCACCACUUGUAGCUACAGUUUGCACCAGCGUAACUUGGAAUCCUUGGCUUUAUUGAGAAGAUAUAAGUAGAGAAUGAGAUAUAAAACAUGGAUGAUUAUGAUUGAAGUACAUUCUCCCCCAGGGGAUCGUGUCACAACUGAUGGUUUCAUUUAUUUUUUGUGUCUCUUUAAUGAAAAUUCACUCUGCUGGAUAUUUAGCUAGCCCAAGGAAACUUUUCCAUUUGUUAUUUAUGAUGUGUAGAGUUUCUGUUCUGUAGGCUGAAGACGCUAUAUUUUAGAACGAACCACGAUGCAGAUUACUUCUCACUUGACUCUUCUUAUUCAAUUACUACCUUUUCUCUCCCCCUGUUCCACUUGGCUUGGCAAUUGUCCCAUUACUUUUAGCAACCAUAUGCAAGCUAUUAUUCAUGCUAAAUGACCAAUAGGGUUUUUUAAAAAAUGUUUGAAAAAGUAUGGCUUUUUUCAUUUAUUUUUAAUUUGCUAUCAACUCUGUUGCUGUAACUGAUCAUCUGACUGUCCAGUUACAAACUUGAAUAUUUCCGUCUUUACAGCACGAGGUGUAAAUUCCAGCUAAUAUCUAUUCCAGUAGGUGUUUCCUGUUUCCUCCUGUGCUUAAAGAGAUUUCCCAUCCUUUGCUUAUUUAUUCCGUGUCUCAGCCUUCCAGUAACAAGAGUUCUCUGGGCAGUGUGCAAAAUAAAAAUAAAUCGCAAAUACAGUACAGUUGCAAAUUAAAAAGCAUCAGAUAAGGCAGUUAGAACUUGAAAGCAGAUCACUUGAUCAAAUGAUCAAUAUAUAUUUUUAAAAAAUGAAGCUGUGAUGCAUUAGAGCAGAGCAGGGAUGGAGAACCUGUGACCAGGGAUAGUUCAGUUGGUUAGAGUGUAGUAGAAGAGAAGAAGAGGAGUUUGGAUUUGAUAUCCCGCUUUAUCACUAGCCGAAGGAGUCUCAAAGCGGCUAACAUUCUCCUUUCCCUUCCUCCCCCACAACAAACACUCUGUGAGGUGAGUGAGGCUGAGAGACUUCAGAGAAGUGUGACUGGCCCAAGGUCACCCAGCAGCUGCAUGUGGAGGAGCAGAGACGCGAACCCGGUUCACCAGAUUACGAGUCUACCACUCUUAACCACUACACCAUGCUGGCUCUCAUUGUCAGUAGUGCUGACAAUGUCAAGGUCAUAGAAUCGAUCCCCAUACAGGACAACAGCAUAUUCCUGCAUUGCAUGGGGUUGGACUAGAUGAUCCUUUGGGUCCCUUCCAGGUCUACAGUUCGAUGAUUCUAUUAUUCUCUUGGUCCUUGCAUGGCUCCAUCAGCAUAGCCAAAGACAAGGACGGAUGAGACUUGCCCAGCAACAUCCAGUGGGCUGAAGGUUCCCCAUCCUUGGAACAGGGCGUUGGAAAAACAAGCCCAGCGAUCAUGCUAUAAAUCACAGCACUGUGUGAAAUUGUAAAGGUCUGGCCAGACAAAAAGGUUUUUGCCUAGCCUCGGAAAGAUAUGAAAGCGGGUGCCAAAGUGUGCUUUUUUGAGGAAGGCUGAAAUUGGCACACCAACCUUAGCUGGUAAAAGGCAAUCUAAGCCACAGAGGCCGCUUAUGUCUCAGGUGACAAAGAUGGAUUGCCCCAAAACUUUGGAUCUGACUCCAGAGGAUCCUUUAAUGCAGUCCUCUCCAGAACAGGCUGAACACGUAUCGAACCUGUCUGUUGCUUCCCUAGAUCCUUCUGCUUUUGGACAGAUACCUCAGCAUUUUUGGACCCUCUUGCACUCAUGUCCUGGUUGUCUACUGUGAGAACAAGAUGCUGGACUAGGUGGGCCUCUUAUUAUGUUCUUAUAAUAACUCCAUUCUGGGUAGCCUCGGGGUUUGGAGAUGAAUUUCCCCUGUUUUGGGUCCACUGCCUGCCUGUGCCAGUUUUCAGUCACAUUGAAGAUUUCAUUUUUAAAGCAACAAUCUAAUAUUUUUUAUGAAACAAUUCCAUUGCCAUUAUUAUUAGGUGACAGGGGAAGUUUUAGAUAAGAACAGGUCUGUACUAGGCAGUGACUUGCUGGUUGGUAUUCUGUAACAUUUAGACUAGCCUUUUAAUAACUGGGAUCACCACACAUUGACCUGUGUUCUGCUGAGCUAGAAUAUGGUGGAAAUGGCCUUACCUUUACAAAGAAGCAAACACUCCUUAACAGAACCUUAUUGGAGGUUUCAUAGAAUCAAAGAAUCUUAUAGUUGGAUUCUCAAAGGUCAUCUUGUCCAACCCUCUACAAUGCAAGAAUCUCAGGGAAGCAUCCAUGACAGAACCUCUGCUUGAAAACCUUCAAGGAAGAAGAGUCCACAACGUCCUGAGGAAGAGCGUUCCACUGUCAAACAGCUCUUACUGUCAGAAAGUCCUUCCUGAUGUUCCGUCAGAAUCCCCUUACUUGUAACUUGAAGCCAUUGGUUUGGGUCCCACCCUUCAGAGCAGGAGAAAACAAGCUUGCUCCAUCUUCCAUGUGACAGCCCUUGAGAUAUUUGAAGAUGGCUGAUGUAUCUCCUCUCAGCUUCCUCUUUUCCAGGUUCCCUAUUGGAAUUCAGGUCUCAAACCAAUGGCUUCAAGUUACAAGCAAAGAGAUUCUGACUCAAUAUCAGGAGGAUCUUUCUGACAGUAAGAGUUAUUUGACAGUGGAACAGACUCCCUCAGGAGGUUGUGGACUCUCCUUCCUUGGAAGAAGAAGAAGAAGAAGAAGAAGAAGAAGAAGAAGAAGAAGAGUUUGGAUUUGAUAUCCCGCUUUAUCACUACCCUACGGAGUCUCAAAGCGGCUAACAUUCUCCUUUCCCUUCCUCCCCCACAACAAACACUCUGUGAAGUGAGUGGGGCUGAGAAACUUCAGAGAAGUGUGACUGGCCCAAGGUCACCCAGCAGCUACAUGUGGAGCAGCAGAGACGCAAACCCGGUUCACCAGAUUACGAGUCCACCGCUCUUAACCAUUACACCACAUUGGCUCUCUUGGAGGUUUUUAAGCAGAGGUUGGAUGGCUAUCUGUCAUGGAUGCUUUCGUUGUGAUUCCUGCGUUGCAGGGGGUUGGACUAGAUGAUCCUUGUGGAUAACUUUCAACCCUAAAAUUCUGUGUUUUUGUGAUUCCCAUAGUCAUGUCUUGUUCCAGUUAGUUCCCAUGGUCUGGCUUGUUGACAGCCAGCGCUGGAAGCCGAUCACUAACAGUGAAAUGACUCUUACUGCGUUGUACGGGCACGCUGCGCUUAGUGACGGCUGUGAGUGAGGUAUUGUGCUGGUACUCUGUACUUGUCUGUUUCUGCCUGCUUUCAUUAAUGUGCUUGGCCCAAGUACUCGCGCUUCCCUGGAAUGGAGUCUGACAGUGCCAUUUACUUUCCAAGUGCUGCUGAUGCAAUCUUACCCGCUAAGAUGCAGAGAAUCAUCAAUCACUGCAGGGGAGCAUUUGCCACAGCAGUUGCCACAGCAAACAAGAGAGGGGAGCAAGAGGGAGCUGGCAUGAACGAGAUCUGCCUGCUGGGCCUAAUGGUGUUGCCACAGAAGAACAAGGCAGACACGCCCUUGCCUGGCCUACUGCAGGCAUUGAUUGAUUGCCAUUAUUUGGAGGACUAAAUGCCCCCAGCUAUGCACAUGGGGGAAUGCUCCUGUUGUUAGGUGUAGGACACAUAUGCGGUAAGCACAUCACAACAAAGGUCUCUGUGGUUUGAAUAUAGUGGACUGCAGUUCCCAUCAUCUCUGACCAUUGGCCGUGCUUGGUUCAGGUUGAUGCAAGUCGGAGUCCUGCAAUACCUGGAGCACAGGGUCUCCAUCCCUGAUCUGACUACUCCAGUACCCUGCUUUCCCCUGUGGCUAGCAAGAUACUUCUGGGAAGACCACAAAGGUCUUGCUUUGUUACUGAUAUAUAGCAGCACUUCUUCCAGACCUGGAGAUAGGAACUGGGGUAUGGAACUGAGUGCCCUUCAGAUGUUGUUGGACUCCAACUCCCAUCAGCUUGACCCAGCACAGGCAAUAGACAGAGUGGAUGGGAACUGCAUUACAACAACAUUUGGCAGAGUGGGGUGGGUGGGUCUAGGUUGGAUACCUGUGCAUUUACAGAAGGUAAAGGGACCCCUGAUCAUUAGGUCCAGUUGUGGCCGACUCUGGGGUUGCGGAGCUCAUCUCGCUUUAUUGGCCGAGGGAGCCGGCGUACAGCUUCUGGGUCAUGUGGCCAGCAUGACUAAGCCGCUUCUGGCGAACCAGAGCAGCGCACAGAAACGCCGUUUACCUUCCCACCGGAGCGGUACCUAUUGAUCUACUUGCACUUUAACGUGCUUUCGAACUGCUAGGUUGGCAGGAGCAGGGACCGAGCAACGGGAGCUCACCCCGUCAUGGGGAUUCAAACCGCCGACCUUCUGAUCGGCAAGUCCUAGGCUCUGUGGUUUAACCCACAGCACCACCCGCGUCCUGUGCAUUUACAUAGUAACUGCCUAAUAGACCUCUAUGAAUUUGUCUCAUCCCCAUCUAAUCUAAGUGAGCAGCCAUCACCACAUCUUCAGGCAAUGGAGACCUUAAAUUAAUUCUGUGCUAUGUACCUUAUUUUCACUGCCCUGAAUCUGUUGUUGGGUGACCCCGAGUUCUAACAAAAAAAGCAAAGGGUCUCCAUCUGCUUUGCUCACAUUGUGCAUCAUUUUAUAAGCCGGUUCCGUAAUAGGCCGAUUCCUUCACAAGUUUACUUCAGUUCAGUAUGGUUUGCACCCGUGUAAUUGGGCGUAGUGCUGCAACCUCCACCAUCUUUCCCCCUAAACUUAAGAUGCCUCAAAUACUUUAGCCCAGAUAUGGGGAAACUAUACCCCCCCAAAAAAAUGUUUGUUGGACUCCAACUCAUAUGAUCCGUAACCAUUGGCCAUGCUGGCUGGGUCUGUUGGGAGAUGGAGUCCAAUAACAUCAGGCUCCCCAUCCCUGCUUUAGGGAUUUUUAAGAUGUGGUGGAAAGUAGCAUAAAUAAAAUUAACCAAAGCAUGGACAAUUCCAUAUAUCUAGGGCCUUGCAUAUUUGCCGUAGUUGAUUUAAAAAAUAUAUAUCUAGAAAGCCUGGAUUCAGUGACCUGUACAUGUUAUGCCAGUAGAGAACAUUUGCAUAAUUCAUGCUGCAGGGUUUUAAAGAUCAGUUCACACAAUUUUAUUCUAGUUGUUGGAAUGCCACUAAAUCCCAACUGCUGUCAUUGAAAAUUCUCUUGAGCCACUUCUGCUGCUUCCGGAAUUUUAGCAGAUGUGGCCCACAAACAUUCAAGUGUGUCUUGUGGGUGGGUGGGGAAUGCUUUCUAAAAAUUCUGAAAUGAAAGCUUAGAUUUUCAGGCAGCUGAAUCCUAAACCCAAAACAGUUGUACCUUGGUUUUCAAAAAGCUUAGUUCUUGAAUGUUUUGGCUCCUGAGCACUGCAAACCUGGAAGUGAGUCUUCCAGUUUGCGAACUAUUUUUGGAUGCCAAAUGUCCAGCGGGGCUUCCACGGCUUUCAAUUGGCUGCAGGAACUUCCCGCAGCCAAUCAGAAGCUGCGCUUCGGUUUCUGAAUGUUUUGGAAGUCGAACGGACUUCCGGAACAGAUUCCGUUCGACUUAUGAGGUAUGACUGUAUGAUGAUUUGUGUUUUCCUGUGCUGCUGUGGAAUUGCAAGAUAAACACAGCCUUUCAUAAGCAUGCCCAUAGAAUUUGUGAUCACUUAUCAGAAGGGUUUGAAAGCGCUCAGAGCUCUUCAGUAUAUAUGUGUAACGAUUCAGCGGCUGAAAUCUCUUUUAAGAACAAUAUUAAAUAACUAUUAGGCCUCAACUGAGUGCUAAAUUGGAUACCGGUUCACUGUGGACUUGUGACACCGAGAGACAGAAUACAGGAGCCAGGAGGAAACGUGUCAACCGUGGACGUACAAUGUGACACUUUAAAGAGUUGAAUUAUACAGUGUUAAGUAUGUUUCUAGUUUAGCGAUAAAGGAUUACAUUGGAAAAAAUGUAGAGGCCGUUGAGAAUAAGUGUAAGAGAAGGGACCUCAAAUUAAUUGGUGUUGCAGAAAAGAACAGUUGACAUUGAAACAGCUAAUAACUAAUAAUGGUAAGGACUUGUUGGGAAAGUUUCUUCCACCCUUGAAAAGUGGAGAGAAGCUGUACAGAAUACUAAGAUGUGUUUUCUGUACAGUGGCCUCUUUUCCAUUGCGAGGUGGAAUCUUUGAAGUCUGAAAUUAAAGCCCGAUCCUCAGGAAGAGCUGAGCAGCAAGUUCCUCAUGUACAUGCGUACCCAAUAGGCUCUUGCAUCCAUAAUGUGCCACUUUGAGAGUUGGCAUGGUGAUGGUCAAUUGGGCCCACAUUCCCUCCGUUCAUUUAAACCCUGUGAUAUGCUACGAUAUGAAAACAAAUAAUUCUGAAAACUGAAUUCUGUUAAAGGUGCUGAGGGUUAUUCACCUUACAGAGCUACAGUUUCUGAAGUCCACGUGAAAAGGGAUUGUGUGCCCUCCGACAUGUCACAGAGGAAAACUGGGGUGCACGUUUUUGGGGACCUUGCUCCUGCAUGAGUCACAUGACCCAUGUGAGAGCAUGAACCCUCCCCCCCAAAAAAUGUGUGUCUUUCAGAGUUGCAAUCUCUCAGGAGCCAGGUGACUCAUGCAAGAACACGGGCCUCCAAAACAGGGUGUCCCGAUUAAAUCAGGGCAGUUGAGAAGUAUGGGGUUCAUAGUUAAGCAGCCCUAUCAGGGCAGUAGGGGGUCUCCUCUCAGAAUCUGUAACAGAAUUCCCAUAAUUCCUUGGGGGAAUGUAGCCUAGGAGUUUGUGGGCCCAAGCUGGAUCCUACUGUUAAUAAUAAUAAUAAUAAUAAUAAUAAUAAUAAUAAUAAUGGACUUCCGGGUUAGCGCCAUCGGCGAAUGGCGGAGUUCCUCCGACCGGAGGAACUGGCUCCGUGGAAACUGAGUCUUCCCACCGCGGCGAAGGUGGGGACCCGCUAGAAAUCCCAGGCGGAGGAAUCCUGGGAAUGUGGGGUUCGGCAGGGCACCAGGAGCUGCGAACUGACUGCUACUUUCACGGAGUGAAGCCGCACAGCCAUCGCCGGAGAGCGCUGACUUUUUCCUGUGGACAAUUGGAUUUAAAACAAGUACCCGUGAGUAGAAACGGAAAAUUGGAUCAAGAAACAUCUUAAUUUGACAUCGAAGCGGGAAGGUUCAAAACAGGAAGUCCGCCUUCCGCUUUUUGUAUAUAGACUGAAGCAAAAACCUUGUAAGCUAAAGUCUGGAAAGUCGUUUAAAAAGCCUAAUUUUCCUUCAUUUAUAACUACUGAAACCCCCUUGGAAGCAGGAGAAAAGGGGGGGAGACUUUGUGUAACGCCUGCAGGAGAAGGAGUGAAGAAAGAUAAGUUUCCACCGUCUCUAACCUGGGAACAGGGUGUCAGAGACAGAAAUUGUUGGAGAGGUUCAUUGACUGUGAAUGGAAUACUUUGACAGAUAGCUAAAGAAGAGAAAUAAACUGAUUCCAAUGUUGCCUUUUGCAUUCUAAAGAAACAAAAUAUCUGAAAAAUGAAAGUAAUUUUCCUUUGUUGGACUUGCCUUAAAAAGAUGGAUACAAAUAGAAAUUGUCUCCUCUAGAGGGAGCUUGCUAAAUUGUUGCUGCAGUCUACUUGAGGAAUCCACAGCUGUGAGAUUAAGAUCGUGGGAUUAGUCCUUUUGACCUUGACUAAAUAUGAGCUGGAAGGAAGUUUUGGUGCUUGCUUUAUGCAAGACAAAUGCUUUGUUGGAACAGAUGCAUGAGAAGAUGGAUUUGAUGAAUGAGAAAAUGGAUUUGAUGACUGUUGUGGCCAAUAACUGUGGACAAAUAGUGAAUAGUGAUACAGAAACCAUCCAGGGUCCAACUCAGGAACCUGUAUUGAUUGGGCAAGUGCAGAAGAUAAUGGAGGAGGCUGCGGUUGCACCUCAAAUAAUACAAAUGGAGAGGCCCAAGGCCCUACAGGAGCAUAAGCCGCUGUUUUUGAAGAUUGAAGUUGGAGUGGGCCAGGGGGAGUCUGGAGCUGAGGAGGCUCUUAACUUUGGAGAGACUUCGAAAUAUGCUCGUAAACAUUUUUUGGAUUAUAUUGAUGAUUGUGGGGAGUGGGACUGUGGGGAAUGGGCUGGUUUGAUGAAGGGAGACGGAGAUAAUUUUGGGUUGGAACCCCCCAGAGACCUACUCCUCAAUGAGAAAGGAAAGAAAUUAAGAAAGAGACCAACAAAAGACAAGGAAAAGUGCAAGUAUAAACAAGAAGAAGAAGAUCUGUGGAAGGGACAUGGAAGAGACUUAAGGGCCUCGGACAUAAGACUUCCAGGUUGAUGGACUAGAUGGAAUGGACAGUAAGGACUGACACGACCCGAGACCAGGAAGAAGAGACGUUGGAUGAAGAUUGGAAGAAAAUUUAUAAAGAAAAUUUAUAUUUAGGGAAUUAGUCUAAAACUAAUGAAUAUUAGGGAAAAUGUUGGAAUGAAACUAUAUGACUCUAGUAGAAAUGAUAUCAGGAGUUAUGUAUAACUGAGUAUUAAGCUUCAGGUUUUAAGGUAUUUUAUGGUAAGAUAAGGUUAAAUAAAUUAAGGUAAUUUGAAUAACAGAAUAUGGGGAAAGAUGGAAAGGAUCUGUCGAGUUAAUUAAUAGGUUAAAUUGUUAAGAUAAAUUAUUUAAUAAAAAUUGAGAAAGAUGGAAAGAAUUUGCUGAAAUAACUAACUAAACUAGAAUACAAAAAGGGAGGUGUGAGGAGGUCAACGAAACAAGCAAAUGGAAGUUAAAGAUAUGUAAUAUGGGAUUUGUGUCUUUUUUUCCCUUUUUUGUUGUAUUGGUUUUUAUGUUUUGCUUUUUUUCUUCUUUUUAUGCAUUGUAGUGUUGAUUUUUUGUUUUUUCUUUUUUUUCUGUAAUUCUGAAAUUAUUAAUAAAUAUUAUUUUAAUAAUAAUAAUAAUAAUAAUAAUAAUAAUAAUUUAUUUAUACCCUGCCCAUUUGGCUGGGUUUCCCCAGCCACUCUGGGUGGCUUCUAACAAAAUAUUAAAAUACAGUGGUCUGUUAAACAUUAAAAGAUUCCCUACCCAGGGCUGCCUUCAGAUGUCUUCUGAAAGUCUGGUAGUUGUUCUUCUCUUUGACAUCUGGUGGAAGGGCGUUCCACAGGGCGGGUGCCACUGCCGAGAAGGCCCUCUGCCUGGUUCCCUGUAACUUGGCUUCUUGCAGUGAGGGAACCGCCAGAAGACACUCGGCACUGAACCUCAGUGUCCGGGCUGAACGAUGGGGGUGGAGACGCUCCUUCAGGUAUACUGGGGUGAGGCUGUUUAGGGCUUUAAAGGUCAACACCAACACUUUGAAUUGUGCUCAGAAACGUACUGGGAGCCAAUGUAGGUCUUUCAAAACAGGUGUUAUGUGGUCUCGGCGGCCACUCGCAGUCACCAGUCUAGCUGCUGCAUUCUGGAUUAGUUGCAGUUUCCGGGUCACCUUCAAAGGUAGCCCCACACAGAGUGCAUUGCAGUAUAAAGUGAGAUCUCACCCUAGAGCAGGAGGGAGGGGGGACCUUUUGGAGCCUGAGGACUACCUUCCCUCACAACCAACCUGCUGGGUUCCAGUAAUGGCGGUUGUGGCCAGGCUCACACCUCUCCCCCUCCAGGUAAACAAGAGCUGUUGUUAUAACAGUUCAAGGGCACAUAUAAUCCAGUGAAAGCCCACCUCAGAAGGCCUGCUCCCAAGGGCCCCUCACUCCAAACUACAGCAGGGGGCACCAGGAGAGAGAGAGCCUGUUCUGUGUUGGGUGUCCUGUUUGCUGAAUGCUUUCCUUAAUGCAGGGCUUUAAAUUCUGGGCUAUAGCUGCCAUUGUCCCUUACCAUUGAUCCUGUGGACUAGGACGGACAAGGCCAUAUCCUUGCUUUAAACCAAUAGUAUUUAACAGUUUCAAAGGUGGGACUGACCCACCUUUAGUCCAGCUAGGGUUUCACUUCUCAGUUUUCCAGCCUAUAUUUAUAUGGCAGCUUCAUUGCAGUCUCUGGUCAGCUGCAUCUCCCAUCAGUUGAAAACCAGUCCUGUAAAUCGGUCUUCCUCAACCUGAUGCCUUCUGAAUUCUUUGGACCAUAACUCCCAUUGUCUUUCGCCAUUCACCACACUGGCUGGAGCUGAUAGGAGAUACCCCUCCUCUUAAAAAAAAACCACACACCCACACACCCAAAACUCUCACCUUUCACCUACUCUGAAGUCUUUUAAGCCCCAGGCAAAGACUUUAUUCUCUCUGUCUUCUUACCAUUUUUCUAAUAUUUUAGACAUGUUAUUUUAGUCCCUGUGGAAUUCUGACGGUGAUUAGUAUUACUUGCACGGUGGUCCCUGUUCUUAGAGGUUUGCAAAGAUGCUGAAAUCGUUUUCGUUAAGGGUUUCUGUUUUGUUUCUAAGGCCCUAUUAUGUACUGCAUUUUGAACGUAAUUGGGUAUUUUAAUUGUUUUAUGGUUUAUUGUACAUCGUCACCUAGAGGCUUUCACACGAGGUGACAAAUGAAACGAAAUAAGUGCAGGGAUGCCGUUCGCAGCCCCUGCACAGUUUGUGCCCUCGCAUGUUCAGCUGAAAGCCUGAGCAGAAACAUCCCCCUUGACCACUUGAGGUCUUAACUCAUCUGGACGCCCAAGUCUCAGAGACCGGCUACCCCUGGGUUAGCAGAUAAACCUUAGUCUGUGGGAAAGCAGGCUUUGUGGAGGAGACGAACAUCUUGAGGGGAGAUUGAGAGCAAGCAGGAAUUGAGCUUACAGUUAAAGUGUAAGAAAUGAAGAGGGAGUGUGGGGCAUCAGUUGGUAAGGAGUAUGCAACGGAAUAGAACAAGUAUUGGAAGAAAAAUGUAGCACAGUGGUACCUCUUCCAUAGCUGUCAACCUUCAGAUUUGAAAAUAAGGGAUCAGCAGCCUCACCUGUCCCGGGGACAGUCUACGGGAUAUCUAACAAUCCGAGAUAGCAGCGGGAAAUGAUGCUGGAAUAAGGGAAUUUCCUGCAAAAAAAGGGGAGGUUGACAGCUAUGACCUCUUCUUGUGUUCACCUCCGGUUACGUAUCCUUCGAGAUACGCACGCGGCAAACCCGGAAGUAUUUUUCUGGGUUUCACCCCGCAUGCGCCGAAGUGCUUUAUUGUGCCGUGCGCAUGUGCAGAAAAGCGACCUCCGGUUACCGAAACCUCGGGAUCCAACCGGAGCUCCGGAACAGACUCCAUCCGCAACCGGAGGUACCACUGUGCAGGGUCAGCCCAAAGCAUUUUGGCACCUGAGGUGGGCCCCAAAAUGUUGUUCCCUUCACUGCCUUCUUAUUGCUUACCAGGGCCAUCACUCUCUUAGGAGAGUUGUAGGGUCUCCUUAAAGGGCCCACAACUGAUUCUGCAGUCCCAUGGGGGAGGAGUUCAAUUAAUUUUGCAUUUGAAGGCAAUCCGAAGCACAGCCAUCCUUCAAAAUUCACACUUCUCCAGAUUUUGCAAUGCAGGCACCCUAUACAACAAUGCAUAUAUGGGAGUGCAUCAACAUGCAUAUAUUGCCAAAAAUAACACAAACAAAUCCAUUAUAUCAGGGUGAAUUGGGUAUAUUAGUUAAAACUGCAUACAAAUACAUGUUUAUUAGGAGAAAUUCGCACUAAAAUGCUAAUGAAUUUUCAUGAGGAUUUUUAUUUUAUCUUAAUGUGAAUUGUUGGGGGAAUGUGGGGAACUGAAUUUAAGACAGAUUUUCCCAUCCCUAGUCACAUUUUCCUGCGUGGCUGCGGAGAGGAGAAGCUGUAAGGGAGUCAUCCUUAGAGUCUGGGAGCAUUGGGAGAGCCACAUCCUCAGACCAGGAAGGGUGACUGGUGAGUCACCAGGCAGACACUGGGACCCUGAGGCAAGGAAGUUGACACUUGGUGGCCGUGACUCACUGCACGAGUUCCUGGGAACUCUCAGCUUCCAUGCAGUGAAUCAUUCAUGUGCAGCCGUUCGCCAUUUGGAACAGCAUUUCCACUUAGUGCGCUUGUAUGGGUUACAGAGUUCAAGAACGCAUGCUAAGAAGCCAAGGUACCCGGUCUCAGUUCCAACUCAAAGCCAAGGGAGACAGAGGCGUCUGAGCAAGGCAGCAGUCCCUGCCCACAACAUCUGCAUAUAGGAAUUGCUCUCAAACUGUCUUCUCUCUACAACAUCAUGCACUAGGAUACAAACGUAGGCUGUUGUUGUUGUUUAGUCAUUUAGUCGUGUCCUACUCUUUGUGACCCCAUGGACCAGAGCACGCCAGGCACUCCUGUCUUCCACUGCCUCCUGCAGUUUGGUGCUGGUAGCUUCAAGAACACUGUCCAACCAUCUCGUUCCUCUGUUGUCCCCUUCUCCUUGUGCCCUCCAUCUUUCCCAACACCAGGGCCUUUUCCAAGGAGUCUUCUCUUCUCAUGAGGUGGCCAAAGUCUUGGAGCCUCAGCUUCACGAUCUGUCCUUCCAGUGAGCAUUCAGGGCUGAUUUCCUUCAGAAUGGAUAGAGUCCAUGGGACUCUCAAGAGUCUCCUCCAGCACCAUAAUUCAAAAGCAUCAAUUCUUCGGCGAUCAGCCUUCUUUAUGGUCCAACUCUCACUUCCAUACAUCACUAUUAAGAAAACCAUAGCUUCAACUAUACAGACCUUUGUUGGCAAGGUGAUGUCUCUGCUGGCAAUAACGCUGAGCCUGUAGGUUUUCUCCUGUUAAGAGUCUGCCAGGUUCUUUCUGCCCACCAAAAGACCAGCCUUUUUGAAAUCAAAAGUUGGCCGUCCUAAUGGAGAUGCUAUCAAGUGGUCUCUGUGCAUCCCACUGGCUCAUGUGAAGACACAUCUACAAAACGACAUUGGGUGGGGUGUGUUUUGUAACAGGCUCUCCAGGAUGUGGGAAGAUGAGGAAGAAAUACAAGUGAAAAAGGCCUCCACACCCCUUAGUCCUGAAGGUAGUCUUGGGCAGAGAGGACCUUCCACCCUGAUUUCCCUACUACCCACCAAGACAUGCCCACUGUGUCAUCACUCAUUAUCCACAAGUUCCAGACUAGGACUCUGGUCAUUCAGUUAAAGAAAUCUUAGUGAUAGAUCAAAUGAGUUUUGCAAUGCAAUCCUAUGCCUUUUUAGGAAUAAGUCACUUAAGAAUAAGUUACUCAGAGCUCAGUAGGGCUGACGCCCAGGAAAGAGCCGUCUCAGUCCUAUACAUGUCUGCUAAGAUGUAAACACAGAAGUAGGUCUCAUUGAGUCUAAUGAGGCUUACUUACAGGUAAGUGGGUCUAGAACUGCAGCCUUAAUUACUUAAAGCAGCAUAAACUUGCAUAUGACUAAAAUAAGCGUGCAAACUUUGAUUUUAGAUGGUGUGUUAUCGUUGGCACGUCUUUCAAUUUACUGGGCAAAUAUUUGUCAACUGACCAAUCAAUUGGCCAUGUAUUUGAUGGCUGUCAAAUCUUAUCAAGCGUUCCAUAAAGUCAUGGUGCUGAUUAGCCUGCUGUUCCUUAGCAGAAGUGCCUUUUAAAACUACUACUUUUUUUAAAAUUAGUUGCUGUUCCUUUGCUUUAUUUCUGUUUUAAUUUCCUUUUUUUAAAUAACAUGUAGGCUGGCCCUGGUGUUCUAGGAUAAAAGCCAAGGAGAAGAAUUGCUCAGUGAAUCAUUCAUAUUUAUAGAAACCUUACCUAACAUUCUUAAAAGUUAUAAUAAUUUAUGGGAGGGGAUUAAAAAGUUUAUGUUGUCUCCGAAAGCUACCUUAUCUGUGUGUUGUUAUUUUUUCAAUUACCGAAAAUUAAUAUAAUAAUUCAUACUUUGAUUUGUAUGUUGCUUUAGCACAAAAAUAAUCACGCUCAAAGCAGCUUACAAGAAAGAAAACUGAAAUACAUCUCAAAAUCAUCCACCACAAGAACAAUUUCAAGAUAAGAUUUUUAAAAAAACACCACCCCAAUAACAUAAUAGCAAAUGUAACGACAUGCAAAGAACAUUUCAGUGCUAUAAAUACAGUGGUGCCCCGCAAGACGAAUGCCUCGCAAGACGGAAAAACCGCUAGACGAAAGGGUUUUCCGUUUUGAAGUUGCUUCGCAGGACGAAUUCCCCUAUGGGCUUGCUUCAAGACGAAAAUACCUUGCGAGUCUUGAGAUUUUUUUCGCUUUCCCCUUUAUCUAAUCUGCUAAGCCUUUAAUAGCCUUUAAUAGCCUUUUAGCAGCUAAUCCCUAAGCCUUUAAGCCUUUAAUAGCCGCUAAACCGCUAAUAGCGCUAUUAGCGCUAAUCCGUCAAUGGGCUUGCUUUGCAAGACGAAAAAACCGCUAGACGAAGACUCUCGCGGAACGGAUUAAUUUCGUCUUGCGAGGCACCACUGUACAACAUUCACAUUAACAGCAUCACAUCUCCUGGCAAUAGCAAAAAUAGCAAGGGGUUCUGACAGUUUCACCUUGGUCCUGGAAACACCCCUCCCAUGCUAUUGCUCAUAGAAUCUCUCCUGCAGCAACUUGCAAACCUUGCGAAGAAAGUGUUGGGUAGCUGGAAACAUCUUUCCCUGACGCUGCAGGCUGUUGAUUGUUGAAGUAUUUUUAAUUGCAAGUUAAUGCUUUAAAAAUUACUGAUUUUGCAACAUUUGAACUUUCCCCCCUCCCCCAUGACUCAAAUGCCUUGCCCUCUGGUGCGUUGCGUGUCAUAGCUGGCGAUGAAAUAGAACAGCCAUUCUCUCCACUGUGAGAAUAGGGAAGAGGAGGAAAUGCCCCUUCUAAGAUUCCUCCUGCGGUUGUUGCUAAGUACUUAUAUUUAUUUAAAAAAAAUUAACCUAUUAAAAAAAAUAAUUGCCCAGUAAAUGAAAAAAUGCUUUCUGUCAAUUAAUAAAGCUUGCAAAAAGAUGGUUAAGUCCUAAGCUUCCAGGAAGGGCAGGCAGGCAGUCUGUGGGACGCUGCUGGUUUUCCUCUCCUCUUUCAAAGAAAGGGACAAUCAUAGAAUUGUAGGGUUGGAAAAGACCCUGUGGAUUGUCUAGUAGCCCAAACCCACCCCCCCCCAUGGAAAAAUAUGCAGCUAUCCCAUACAGGGAUUGAACCUGCAAUCUUGGCAUCAUCAGCACCAUACUCUAACCAACUGAGCUAUCUAGGCUGAGAAGUCAGAGAGCUUUUCCAGUGCAGCAACUGUUCUGGGGGGGCAUGUCUGGGGCAGAUAGGGUUUGCUGGUUCCAAACCCUCUUGUCCCCCAGGCAUUUCUCUGGAAUAGGAGGGGGGAGAGAUUAUGCCAGCCCUGGGAUUGGCAUGGUUAUUUCCCCUUCCAUUGAGUGAAGGUAACAAGCCCAAGUAAAAUGGUUGAUUUCAAUGGGGAUGACUCCAAAAUAAGUACGUAUAGACUGGAAACAUACAUAGGAAGGCUGCCUUAUACCCAAUUAGACCAUCUGUCAGUCUUGCUUGCACAAUUCAAAGUGUUGGUGCUGACCUUUAAAGCCCUAAACGGCCUCGGUCCAGUAUAUCUGAAGGAGCGUCUCCACCCCCAUCAUUCAGCCUGGACACGUGAGCUCCAGCACCGAGGGCCUUCUGACGGUUCCCUCGCUGCGAGAAGCCAAGUUACAGGGAACCAGGCAGAGGGCCUUCUCGGUAGUGGCACCCGCCCUGUGGAACGCCCUCCCACCAGAUGUCAAAGAGAACAACAACUACCAGACUUUUAGAAGACAUCUGAAGGCAGCCCUGUUUAGGGAAGCUUUUAAUGUUUGAUGCAUUACUGUAUUUUAAUGUUUUGUUGGAAGCCGCCCAGAGUGGCUGGGGAAGCCCAGCCAGAUGGGCUGGGUAUAAAUAAUAAAUUAUUAUUAUCGUCAACACUGACUGGCAGCAGCUGCCCUGGAUUUCUGGCCAAAGUCUUCCCAAACCCUAAAUGGAGACAUCAGUAAUUGAGGGGGAGGGGGGCUUUUGCAUGCAAAGAAUGUGCAGGUACUUGCAGGAAGCAAAUUGCUUUAAAAGGGCAAAGCAGAGUCAGGAAUAGAAGGAGAGAGUCAAGAAGAGGGAAGAGUUGUGUGGCUUUCGGAUUCUGCUGCUUAGUGCAGGUUUUAUGAUGCAAUAGCCCUUUGAUAGUAGUCUAUGCCAACCAGGAUGCAUUUAGGCUAUUACCGUAGAACUAGGAAGGAAAAGUACUGGGCAGGGAUUUUAUAUAUAAUUAUAUGUGUAAUAAACCCCUUUUAUAUUUCAUCAGCGGCAGCUAACUGAGAACACCCAUAAGCUCAGAACUAGCAAUCUACUAUUUUAAGAUAUCCCAGAGCAAGUUAAUUUUAGAGUUAGUGCUUUGUAAUUUUAACUAGAGCAUUGCAUCAUUGGAGGAUUUCACCUUUUUUUUUUACAGUGUUUUAAGAAGGGAAACUCGUGAUUAUCUAGGGAUGAGAAAAAUCUCCAAUUUUUAUGCACGUGCAACGCCUGGAGGAGGAUGGGAGUUCCAGCAGACAGCCAUCACCUGGGGGGCAAAUGAGCCCUAUGUCUGACCCAGGUGAAGACUGAACCAUCCAAAAUGCAUACUAUAUAGCAGCAGUUCUCAUCCAGUGUGCUGUGACACCCCGGGUUGCCUUGAAUGAUGGUCAGGGAUGCCAUGGGCAACACUGGUCUCUUUCUUUCUUUCUUUCUUUCUUUCUUUCUUUCUUUCUUUCUUUCUUUCCUUCCUUCCUUCCUUCCUUCCUUCCCUCCCUCCUCUAAUGCCCUCUUGCAUCUCUGCCUCCCAAAGGCUUGCACAGCUGUUAGUUGCAGCAGCCCUAGAUAUAAGCUCCCUAGGCCAAUGGUGCCUCUGGGGCUGGCUGGGGAGGGUGUGCUUCCCAGGCCCCUGUGGGGCAUUGUAAGGAAGAACCUCACUUUUGGGCAGGGGGGCAGCUCAGAGAAACCUCUGAUAUAUAGUAGGGAUGGAGAACCAGAUGUUGCUGGGCUGCAGUUCCCAUCAUCCCCCACCGCUGCCUAUGCCAACGAAGGUUUGUGGGAAUGUUCAGGGAGGCAGGAGAGGAUACAUUGCUUAAUGAUAUUCUUCCUAACUUGCAUUAUGUCUUAGCAGAGUUUAAACAUUCCCCCUUAAACACACAGUGGUUUGCUUGUUGCAGGCUCGUCUGAACCUCUCUAUAAAGUGGUACCUCAGGUUACAUACGCUUCAGGUUACAUGCUCCGCUAACCCAGAAAUAGUGCUUCAGGUUAAGAACUUUGCUUCAGGUUGAGAACAGAAAUCGUGCUUCGGCAGCGCGGCGGCAGCAGGAGGCCCCAUUAGCUAAAGUGGUCCUUCAGGUUAAGAACAGUUUCAGAUUAAGUACAGACCUCCGGAAGGAAUUAAGUACUUAACCCGAGGUACCACUGUAUAAGAUUCCUGGUAAGAUCCCUUCUUGUCCCUCUUAAAAAGAAUAGACACGACAAUCUUAUUAAAGUCAAUAUAAAAGUAGUUUACUCACAUUCAUUCAGUUCACAGUUAGAUCCCUGAAGGCAGACUUAGGUUACAAAAGUAUAUAUACAUGUGGAACUAUCCCAUAAGGGAGUUAGUCCCAAGUGACUGCAGACAGGCAGUCACUUCUGCUCACACGUAGAAAAACAAAAUGGAGAAGAGGAGCAAAAGAAGGAGGUGUGCUCCCCUGUCCAGGUUAGGCCAUGCUCACCUCUAGUCACAUGCAGAGGAAGUUUGUCCCAACUCAGGAAGAAACAGGAAGUUUUCUCCUGGCUGGUACAAAGCAUUCCCUGGCAUGUCCAUUCUAAGAAUGUUGUACUUGACUGCUAUGUGUUUCACAUCCCAGAGGGUUGAUGGGUGUUGUAGUCCAACAACAUAUAGAGGGGCCACCACUGCUUACCUGUGCUGGGAAGUUGAUCACAACUUCAGGGUGAUAGCAAAUCUCUUUAGAAACACUUCUAACAUUUUAGAAUUAGGAUAGCUUUUCCGGAGAAUGCCCCAUCUGUCACAGCCACCCACCCUCUGCAAGAAUUCACCAUGAUCUGAGUUGAAAGCAUAUAAGGAACGAAAGGGAAGAGUCACAUCAACAUUUAGGCUAACUAGACAUUAGGCUUAAAUCAUAGCCGUACUGGGGAUUUAUAGCCACUUUCAAAUCUGGCUGGUUAAAGGAGUGUGCCAGGUGUGAGGCUAUACUUCUAAAUGCAGCCAAAUUCAACUUGACAUCAUGUCUAUAAAGCUGACUUAAUCGCCUAGCCUGCUAACAUAUUUGGGUCUGCAUGCCAAGUCUGAUGACACAAAGUGCUGGAGUACAGUGCAUCUUACACUUUUAUUUCACUGCCUAAAAUCCUGUUGCUCUGGAGAUUUUCUUUUCUUUUCUUGUUAGCCUGGCUGGGCUGUGCAGUCAGCAGUCUUUCAGAACAUUUUAAUUGCAAGGAGCUUGUGGAGGCAUAAAUAAUCCCUCUCGUUUUAUUCUCACAAGCUGGUGAACCAGGUUAGAAAAAGAUAAAGAGCAAUUGGCCCAGGAUUGCUCAGUGAACUUCGCAGCUGAAUAGCAGGGCUGGUGGGAAACUUGGGACAGUACAGGUGUUGUUGGACUCCAACUCCCAGAAUUCCUGACCACUGGCUAUGCUGACUGGCGCUGAUGGGAGUUGUAGGCCAACAACAGCUGGAGUGCCACAUGUUCCCUGUCCUCGCUGUAGGAGAGCUUCUUUUGGGAUGCUGCUGGUAGCAGGUGGCAAGACCACGGUGCAAACAGCGUGGUGUAGUGGUUAGAGUGCUGGGAGACCAGGGCCACGAAGCUCAGUGGGUGAUCUUGAGACAAUCACUUAUUCUCAGCCUAAUCUACCUCGUGCAGUUGGUGUGAGGAUAAAAUGGGGAGGAGGCGUCAGGAACUGGUCAAGCAUAGGUCUGCAAUAAAACAAUGAAGCACCCAGUGUAAGUGAAGUCAACUCUUUAUUCAAGAAACAAAAAACAGCUCAGUCCUAGGGGGCACAGCAAGCCUUCCCAGUAGGUCUUUCUUCAAUGAAGCAGUUGUGAGGAUUGAAGCGCUCCGCCUUCCUACCGUUCUCUAAGGCUCCUCCCUGGUUCCUUUCCCAGCAGCCUAAGGCUCUGUUGUCUUGUUUCUCAUUGAUCCUGCUUUAUCUUUGUAUUCUGGCCCCCUUCCUCUCCUGCCUCUUGAGUGUGGACUGCUCUCUGCCACAGCCUCUCCCUGCUCACUAAACCUUGUCGCCUCUUCAGCUCCCAACACCUCCUCCUCCUUCCAGUCUUCUCCCUCUUCUCCCUCUAACCACUUAGUGUUGUUCCACCACCAGUCCUCAGGCUCUAAGCCUUCUUCCUGUGGGGGUUCCCCAGCAAGUGCCUCGCACCAGUCCUCUGCUUCAUCCAGCCCAUGACAGGAGGAGAUAUAUGCCUUGGAGGAGAAGGUGGGAUAUUAAUGCAAUCAAUAAAUAAGCAGAGCCAGCCCUUUGUAGCCAAAGAGAUUCAACAGGCAGCCUCCUUUGUGGAUGGGUGGCUUGAGAAUCCAAGAGUCUUUAAAUUGAUUUCCUUCAUUUUCCACACCACAUCAGCAGUUUUUUCACGGCACACCAGCACCCCAUGGUAGACAGCAUGGAAAUGACUAGCAGGAUGUUCCCAUUGCUCUUGUCCAGACAGAGGGUUGCUGAGCACAUAAGGUUCAAUUAGGCUUUCUGUUUUCAGUGGUUCUCAACCUGUGGGUCCCCAGAUGUUGUUGGACUACAGCUCCCAUCAUCCCUGAGCUCUGGCCUUGCUAACUAGGGGUGAAGGGAGUUGUAGUUCAACAACAUCUGGGGACCCACAGGUUGAGAAAGGCUGGUUUAAAAACUUCUGACUCCACUAGUGGGAUGAAGUUGGGGAAAGAGGGUGGAAUGGCAGUAUGGGAGUUCUUGGGGUUUACGUAUCCCAGUUCACGUAUCUACAUAUUCCAACUUUUUGGAGCAUGCAGUCAGGAACAAAGUUGGGCGAAGUUUAUGCCAGUUAUAAAUCUACACAGAAAAGCAACCACGGGAAGCUAAUUCUCAGGAACAGUGCAAACGUUUUCUCUCCCCCUGGAACAAAUCACACAUUUUAGAUGACCCACAGUUUGAAAACCAUGUUUCGAACGGGGAACUCCCCCCCCCCCCCAAGCUUAGCAGUUUACCAUUUAUGCUGCCCUGCAGGUGGGAGAUUGAAUUCACUCUUGACUGAAGGAAUGUGAGAUUGGGACUGGGGCUGAGAACAUCCUUGUUCCCAAAUUCAGCCAGUCACUUGUUUCCCUGCUCCUUGUCGCUGUAAUAGCCAUCUUGCCUGAGCACCUCACAAUUCCAGGUUCUCCUACAGGGAUAUGAAGAAAGAGUGGGCUGAGAACUAAGAAUACUCUGUGUGCUGCUUGUGAGCAUCCCAUAGGCUGCAAUCCAUACUCUAACCAGGAUGGACUUGCAGGAUUCAUAGCAUAAUAAAAUUGGAGGUGGGGGCAGAAGUUCAUCCAUUACUGAAAUUGCAUUGGAUUAUUAUUAUUUUUAAAGGAGAUAAAGCAUUUGAUAAACCAAUAGGUGUCUGGUUAGUCACUGUGUGAAUGAGGAUACUGGACUGUGUGUACCCUUUUCCUGGGCAGCACGACCUUCGUAUGUUCUUGUUUUCUGAAAUUGCAUAAACACAGACAAACUGCACUUUGGGACUGCACAUACUUCCACUGUCAGAGGAAGUUUCCUGGGAGCCACAAGUGGGGAGAACGCUGCUUUGGGCUUCACAUGGGUAUCUGGUUGGCCACUGUGAGAACAAGAUGCUGAACAAGAUAGGCCUUUUGGACUCACAGCUGUCCAUGGAGGCACAGGGCAGCUGUCUACCAGCUCCAUCUGAUACACAGGCUGAGACCCUACCUGCCCACAGACUAUCUCACGAGAGUGGUGCAUGCUCUAGUUAUCUCCCUCUUGGACUACUGCAAUGCGCUCUACAUGGGGCUACCUUUGAAGGUGACCCAGAAACUACAACUAGUCCAGAAUGUACUUUGGAAUUCCCUGAAGUGUUGGGUGCAAAAGGUGAUCUGGCAUUUCCCGGCCGUUAAUUUACUGGCUCAUCUGUCUGCCCUUCCCUUCCCUAGCUGAGUUCCACAAUAAACAGAGAUAGGUAUAGGUGACAGGACCAGAAGAAGAACAGAAGGUUCUCUUGUUAAUAAUAAUAAUAAUAAUAAUAAUAAUUUCUUUAUACCCUGCCCAUCUGGCUGGGUUUCCCCAGCCACUCUGGGCAGCUCCCAAUCAAAUAUUAAAAACACAAUACAGCAUUAAACAUUAAAAACUUCCCUAAACAGGGCUGCCUUCAGAUGUUUUUUAAAAGUAGGAUAGUUGCUUAUAUCCUUGACAUCUGAUGGGAGGGCGUUCCACAGGGCGGGCGCCACUACCGAGAAGGCCCUCUGCCUGGUUCCCUGUAACCUCACUUCUUGCAGUGAGGGAACCGCCAGAAGGCCCUCAGAGCUGGACCUCAGUGUCCGGGCUGAACGAUGGGGGUGGAGACGCUCCUUCAGGUGUACAGGACCGAGGCCAUUUAGGGCUUUCAAGGUCAGUACCAACACUUUGAAUUGUGCUCGGAAACAUGCUGAGAGCCAGUGCAGAUCUCUCAGGACCGGUGUUAUAUGGUCCCGGCGGCCACUCCCAGUCACCAGUCUAGCUGCCGCAUUCUGAAUUAAUUGCAGUUUCCACCAGGGAAUAGUAUGCCAGAGAUCUCUGGGUUGUGAUUAAAAACCCCUUUUUGCAUUUGCCAGCACCAUUAGAGAGACUGAGACAAGUGAGCUGAUGUCGGGUGUCUUAAAAGGGCAGCAAAUUUCUGGUUAUUUCAUUUCUUUCUUGUCUCAUUUUUACUGCUGAGGAGGGCAAGAGGGAGGCACUCGGGGGAUUUUUCUGCCUCACACGCCAAAAUAAUUUCACCCUAUUUUGGAACUAUGAACUUGAUUUGGUAAGAGGGCAUCAUUUGCGGCUCCCAUUUCGGCAAACAAGCCAGACCUGUGAGCAAUUGUAUUUUCAAAACUUCUGGGAAGGCAUUCUGGGUGCCACCAGGGCUGGCUGUGAUCUCACCAUCUUCUCCUGAGCUGCAGAGAAAUCGAAAUUCACAUGCAUCUCACAAAUCACACCCUUUCGCUGUGCACAAACACUGCUGGCAUCCGAUAACCCUUUGGAAGAAUGCUAGUGUUUCUAAGGAGUAAGGGGAGAGUAUUAGUCGAUGGGAGACGGCCGUAGUUCAGUGGCAGGGGCUUGCAGGAGCUCCCAGGUGCAGUAUCUGGCAGGGAAUGGCCCUUCUCCGAAAUCCUGGACAGUUGCUGAUGGUCAGUGUAGACAACAUUGAUCUAGAUGGACCAAUGCUCUGAUUGACCUAUAACACAGCUUCCUAUGUUCCUAUUUCCCAAAACGUUCCUUCCUUUUCCAGGUUGUAGUUUCACAAAACAGUGUAAUAGGUCGCAACCGCAUGCGCUGGCAAGUCUGCAGUGCUUAACAUCAUGAGAGGGCCAACUAUUUAAGAUUUCGGGUACAUAAUGUUCAAUCCAGUGUCGGUCGUAUGUGCUGUAAAAUGAGCCAACACCCUAUGUGUAUAUAUAUUUGUGUGUGUGUGUUUAAUAUUCUAGAAGUGGUUCUGUUCCAGGAAUUACUUAAUCCAAAUUUUGCUUUGUUUUCCCACCCCCUUUCCUUUUUCUCCCCCCUCAUGGCACUUUGAGCUUUGUUCGUUUUGGCUUUUCGGAGACGGAUUCUGGGAUGGGAAGGAAGGGUUAGGUUCCACAUGGCUUGGAGGCAAGGCGUGCCUUUCUUCUUAGUUUUGGCAGAGGCACCAAGGAAAAGAGAGAAGCUUCUCAGAAAAGGGAAAGGCUUCUGUGUCUCUGAGGUUUACCCAGGCAAAGCAAUUAGAGGAUUAGAGCUAUGAACUGGCCUAACUUCUGUUAGUACUUGUGCCCGGAGUUGGGAGUGGAGGGGUUAAAUAAAGAACGCAUGGUCCAAACCAGUUUCUAAAAGAGGAUAACUGGUCACCUAUGUUAAAUCUCACUUCCCUCCUUCAGAGAGAAGUCUUUUUACUGCUUUUGAGUCUCCAUCUUUUUGGGAAAUGAAAAAAAAUAAAAUCUUAAAGGUUUCAUAUUUAGAAAUCCCAAAAACAUCCCAAACAGUUUGAGGAAGUUUUUUUCGCAUUUGUAAAUAUGGGAAUUUAACAUUAGGUGAAAAGAUUACCUGAUGCAGAUACUAUAGAUAUAGAAAGAAUGACAAAUAAUAUUGCUUUCCAGAUAAAUGAGGAACAUUUUUUUCAAACAGACAGAGUAUGCGGGAAAAUGUUUUCAUAUACUCAUUUGGCCUUUAUUGGCAUAAUUUAGACAAUAAAAAUCAUAAAAGGAGGAGAAAAAUCCAUAAAACAUCAGUAAUCCAGACAUAUUAAACACAUAAAACAUAUAAAAGACUCAGUAGCCACCAUUAAGCAAAAUCAAGUAGUUUCAGAUUUGACUUUAAUACACACUGAGUCUGCAACAAAAUGUUGCAGAGUGGAGUGCUCCUUCUUUCAGGAAAACAUUCCUCCCCAAUGAUUGUCUCCCUACCUACCCAUCAGCCAGCUAGCAUUCUGUGAACACUGAGCAUGUUUUGUCUUCAAUGGACUGGGGGAUUUUUUGCAGCAGAGGAGGCAGGCGUCCCAUGAGUGUUCUUUGUUGUUGUUUUUUUAAAAAGCGUGUCUGCAAACUUUGGGGUGGCGCUGUGGGUUAAACCACAGAGCCUAGGGCUUGCUGAUCAGAAGGUCAGCGGUUCGAAUCCCCGCAACGGGGUGAGCUCCCAUUGCUUGGUGCCAGCUCCUGCCAACCUAGCAGUUCGGAAGUCCAAGUAGAUAAAUAGGUACCACUUCAGCGGGAAGGUAAACAGCAUUUCUGUGCGCUGCUCUGGUUCGCCAGAAGCGGCUUAUCAUGCUGGCCAGGCCACGUGACCCGGAAGCUGUACGCCGGCUCCCUUGGCCAAUAAAGCGACACGAGCGCUGCAACCCCAGAGUCAGCCACGACUGGUCCUAAUGGUAAGGGGUCUCUUUACCCUUUACCUUUAAAGCCUGCUAAAUCAUCUCUCUGGUGCAUGCAUGAUGCUGUGGGGAAGGCAGUUUCUUUCAUGAAAAGAGAAAGGGGCCACUGAUUUAGGGAAGGUCCAAUCCAGCAAGAACUUCACCACACGAUUCUGCUGAUCACGCAGCUCAGCUGUCCUGCGUUGAUUGCAGAGCUCCAGGCACCCUUCAGGCCGACUGGCAUGGCACCAGCUUCGCAUUAGGAUUUUUAUAAAGCACCUCGGAUGCCUAGGCACUCUGCGAACACGAAAUUAACAAGGCUGCGCCUGCAGGGCUCACCAUCAGAAAGAAUAUGGAGGAGGGGGAGGAGAGAGAAUAAUUGAAAGAGAAGAUCACAAGCUUAGUAACAAAAUUAUCAUAAGGCACAAGCAAACUGAAAUAAACAUGCCACCAAAAUACUCCAGCUGCUGUUGACUAUAAAAUGAGAACAAGGCAGGGAGGUGGGGAAAUGAUGCGGCCAGAAUUAAUGGCAAGUCACUGGGUCUGGAUAUGUUCCUCUGCUCUCUGUACCAGGGGUCAGCAAACUUUUCCAGCAGGGGGCUAGUCCACUGUCCCUCAGACCUUGUAGGGGCCAGAAUAUAUUUUUGGGAGGGAAAUGAACGAAUUCCUAUGCCCCACAAAUAACCCAGAGAUGCAUUUUAAAUAAAAGCACACAUUCUACUCAUGUAAAAACACGCUGAUUCCCGGACCAUCUGCGGGCUGGAUUUAGAAGGUGAUUGGGCAGGAUCUGGCCCCCUGGCCUUAGUUUGCCUACCCAUGCUCUAUACCAGACAUGUCCAACAGGUAGAUCGCGAGCCAGAUCACGGGGGUGUCCCAGGUAGAUCUUGGUAUGAAGUUUAGUGAUCACCUUUGGCCAACCCUCCCCUAAAAAAAGCUCAACAACAAAAGCUCAACAAUUCCUGGCAGUGACAAUGGGUAGAUCUUUUUAUACUCUGAGUUGAUCGCAGUCUCUUGGGAGUUGGGCAUGCCUGCUCUAUAGCAACACGAGUUACAGUCUUCUUGCAUCAGUAUCAUAUCUUGCAGAGGACAAGGACAUGGAUCAGUUUGUCAGUCCUCCACUGUCAAGCUGGUUGCAUGACUACCAUAAUCUAGUCCUCAAGGAUGGGGAGCCUGUGGCUCUCUAGAUCAGAGCUUUCCAAGCUGUGUGUCAUAACACAAUAGCGUGUCGGUUGCAGUGUUGCAGGUGUGUCGCACAAACUCUCCCUGCGCUCCUCCUAGGGCUGGACUUGGGUUAGCUGAACCUUUGGUUUGUUAGUAAAACUGAAUUACUGUAUCAUGAAACGAUGCUUCUCUAAAAAGCAUGUCAUGGAAGGUUUGGAAAGCUCUGCUCUAGGUGUUGUUAGACUACAGCUUCCAUUAUCUCUGUCCAUUGGCCGUCGGUUGGGGAUUCACAUAAUGAAGGACAACAGGCUCGCCACUCUUCCCAUAACCCCUCGUUUGGCCCAUCGCUGGAAGAUAAUGUUACAGGCUGCUCUGACCCCUGGAUUCCAGGGGUCUUGGGCCUCAACCAAGGUCUGUGCUCCUUUGGAGAAUUGAAGACAAAGCGGUGGCUGUUGUGGCUUUAAGAAAUAUGGUUUAUUCGCUUAAAGGUAAAGGGACCCCUGACCAUUAGGUCCAGUCGUGACAGACUCUCGGGUUGCAGCGCUCAUCUCGUUUUAUUGGCCGAGGGAGCUGGCAUACAGCUUCAGGGUCAUGUGGCCAGCAUGACUAAGCCGCUUCUGGCGAACCAGAGCAGCGCACGGAAACACCGUUCACCUUCCCGCCGGAGUGGCACCUAUUGAUCUACUUGCACUUGGACGUGCUUUCGAACUGCUAGGUUGGCAGGAGCUGGGACCAAGCAAUGGGAGCUCACCCCGUUGCGGGGAUUCGAACCGCUGACCUUCUGAUCGGCAAGCCCUAGGCUCUGUGGUUUAACCCACAGCGCCACCCCAAAUUUUGCAGACACGCUUUUUUAAAAAACAACAACAAAGUCCUAGGCUCUGUGGUUUAAGCCACAGUGCCACCCGCGUCCCAUAUUCGCAUAUUUACGCCUGAAUUUAGAUGGAGGGAGUCCAGACCUUACAGCAUGCUUGUCUCAAGAGGGGCUUGUUGCCACCAUCAGCAGUGCAGCUCUGGAGUCCAAGGCACCUCUCUCAGCUUGCCUUCAGCCAGCCAGCCUUCAUUCUGCCCUUUAUUCAGUUAUUCCAAGCCUCUUGUCACAUGCCCCAUACUCUUCCUGUGACAUCAUAGUCCAGUUACCCUGGCAACCUUCCAAAUCGCCUGUCUCUCUGCACAGCUCAGUCAGGGUAAGGUACGAGGACAGUUCUCUUGCCUUACCAACGGCCCUCAAUGGCCCUAUAUUGUUUCUUAAUGGCCCUAGCUUGGCAAGGUCCUAUUGCAUAGGCUAGCCCAGGAAUUCCUCUGCAGCUUAUAUUUCCCCUUCCUAACCCAAAUAACCCAAAUCCUACUGUCUAGUAAUUUCUAAUUUCCUAUAGCAAUAAUGACUGCACCCCUCUUUUAAAUAUGCUGACUUCUUUCACAGAGGGAAAUGGAUUAAAUAUAAGAAAGAUACCUAACCCCAUAGAUCUGGUGUGAGUUCCUAGCCUAUUUGAAGGCCUACUGAGGCAUCAUAUUUCAAGGCUCAAAGGAUGUGGUACCAGUGGAACUCUUUAGCAGUGGAUCAAGGAUCCAAAUUGGAUAAGACCAUCUUGUUCCCACAGUAGUGAUUCUCGCCUACCUGCCUUUGAGCAAAGAGCGAAUAUCAAUUGUAGCGUGGCUUUGAUCUCGCUCAAUUGCCGCUGCUGCAAAGGAGACUACAGGACACUUAUUAGUGGAUCCUGCAUUGUAAUUCAGACUGCAGCUGUCAAAAUACAUGAACAAAGUGUCUUUUGUGAUACAUUUCCCUUGCUUUGUUUGCUGUUGCUCAUUCAGAGUUCAAUAAUUAAUAACGAGCAUUCCAGUCAUUAGUAUAAAUUAGCCAGGUUCUACUGUGUGAGCCACCCACAACUGUAUUUUUUCUGUCUUUCUUUCCUGGAAAAGAAUUAUUUAGUAGUGUUUCGGAAAUGCUUCCUCACUCAUCAUCGCCCAUUAAUGUCGCUUCCAAACGAUAUGUCUAAAUUCUUGGUUUAAAGGGGGGGAGGCGGGUGGCCUUCAAGCUGAAGGAAUAAAUAAAUAAGAAUGAUUGUUUAUUUAUUUAUUUAUUUAUUUUGCACAGGAAGUUGAUUAGCCAAAAAAUAGGAACUCCAAGUUGAAGUUAAAAUGUAAAUUUAAAUCCCCCCAUGUUUAGGAUUAAAAAUAGGGUAUUUUCAAACACCUUACACAUCACAAGAACAGAUAUAAAUGGGCCUGGUAUUGGUGGUACAUGAAAUCCAUAAAUGGGGUAUUAUGUGGGUCAGAUGGUAGGAAUUUCUCUGUCUGUCUGUCUGUCUCUCUCUCUCUCUCUCUCUCUCUCUCUCUCACACACACACACACACACCCCCCAACUGGGGAGGAGCAAUCAGAAUUAAAAGUAGUGCCCCAUUUCCAUGGACCCCAGCAAGAUUAACACACACCCCAAUUUACCAGCUCCUCAUUCCUGCGAGAAGGAACCCCCUCCCAAUUGGAAGCUAUGUAAACUCACCUUCUGAGCCAAAUGAGCGGGAGACAUUUUCAGCACAGGACAGAGGUUUUCAACCUUUUCUGAGUCCACGGCUCCCUUGACCCGACUACAUUCUUUCUGCGGCACCCCUGUGGGGCUCAGGAGCCCAGUUAUGUCGCCCCUCGCCUGCAGAGGGGCUGCCAUAACAUAGGAACAUACUGAAUUAUACUGGAUUGCUGUAUCUUGCUCGGUUUCAGAGGGGUCUCGCCCAGAGCUAUUGCUGGGUAUUGAAUCUGGAAACUUCUGUAUUCAAGGCAGAUGUUCUGCUACUGAGCUCCCAUAAGAUGGAGAGGGGCAUGAUAUUGCAAGGCUGUGCAAUUGAAGAUGUGAUGUUUUGCCUCUCAUUUGCAGGUAUUGAACCUGAAAGGCCUGGGGGUCCUUCAGAUGUUCAGAUCAUCUGAAAAUUAAGCUGCUGUUCUGCUCAUUUGCAGCAUUUGCAUGUUCCAAAAGACACAUGUUGUUAAACAUAUGCGUGUUUUAAGGCUGAGAAACCGAGAACUAAUAAUCCCACAAAUCUACAAGAGUACAAGCGACUAGAUCUAACACCUAAAUCUACUUUCCUCUCUUUAUUGAUUGAAUUUCUGGUGUUAGCUUUAAAUAUAUAUAGACCUGUCAGGAUUUGAGUUCCUUGGGUAAGCAUCAGUAUUUGUCAACUUCACUCUCACCCAGAAAACUAGCAAAGAAUCCCCAUUGACAUUAAUCAAAAUGUGAAAAGAUGAAAUAGCUUAUGAUUCUGGCACGCUGCAUAAAAGAGCCUUGAGGCAUGAGCUUUCUGUACAGGAUCACACAUCAACAAUGGAGUGAAGGCACAAGAGGUGUGGUAGUCUAGCCUAUCCUGUGUUGCUGCAGAAUAGCAUUCACCAACAUGGUGCCCUCGAGAUGCUUUGGACUACAACUACAACGUUGGCUGGGCCUCCUUGUUCACGGACUCUCUGAUGUGCAUAGGCUUGACCUAAGGUCCUGAUUCUGCUGCUGUUCCAUUAAAAAUUACAAGGCCAUGCUGGGUAUGUAGAGAAUCGCACUGGGUGGGAUUGCAGAACAUGGGGGGAGGGAGUGUCCUGUGGCAGCCAAAGCACAUACAAGAGCUAAGAUGAUGGGAAGCUACUCAGCUGCCUUCUGCUGACUCCAGAUGCAUUGCAAAUAUAGAUGCUCAUUGUAGCCUUGGACUGGAAAGGGUUUAAAACUUUAAGGAAAUGGAUUAAUUUAAGAGACCCCCUGUUGACUGGUGGGCCCAUGGCUCUACCCCUGCAAGUGUGUGUAUAUUGGCUUCUCCAUCUUCUCGACCUAUCGUGAUCUUAUACCAAAUGGAGGCAAGAGCAAAGCCCCCCACCCUCCAAAAAACUAUACACACACACCCUCGGGCUGCAAUGUACAAGAACUUAACACAGUUGCCUGUAUUUUUAUUUUGUAAAUUCAUUAUAGUAAUAAUUAUAAAUUAACAGCCAGUGGCUUUGGGGGAAAAAACCUAUAGUGGGGGCUGAUGGGAGUUGUGGUCCAAAACAUAUUGAGGGCAGCGCUUGGCAAAAAGCUGUUGCAGGAUUAUAAGCAACACAGAGAGCCAGCUAGAGCCAUCAUUUAAAGCUCAUAUACCAAGCCCUAAACAACUAGGGACCUUUGUAUAUAAGUUUAUUAUUAAGUUUUCUGUCUGACAAUUUAAAAUACUCAGUUUACAUCCUUAAGAUAUCAAUGACAUCUCUUCUUCUCUUUCCAUGGUUCAUUUUACAUAUCAUAAAUCCCUGCAUAUUUUACAAAAACUAUACCAUUCAUUCUUCCAUUAUUGCAUCCAUCAAAACUGGUUUAUGCUGUUGAAUUUAUCUUAAUGCUGCCAUCGUUUUCAGCUGUACACAAUUUCCCCCCAUAUAUUCAAUGAACAUUUUCCAGUCUUCUUUAAACGUAUGUUCUUCUUGUUCUCUUAUUCUGUGUGUUAAGUCUGCGAGUUGUGCAUAUUCCAUCAGCUUAAGUUGCCAUUCUUCUUUGGUUGGAACCUCACUUGUUUUCCAAUUUGGAGCUAACAAAACACAGGCUGCAGUUGUAACAUACAUAAAUAACCUUUUUACAUAUAGUAAGUGAAAUAGAAACAUCGCCACCCGACCCCACCCUCACCCAUCUCUUCCCCCCCCCACCUCUUUCCUCCUUUUCUUCCUAAUGUCUCAACAAAUGAAAAUGAUUUGUAAAAAUGUUACAUGGGGGGGGGGACACGAGAGAGAGACAUUGCGCAUUUUUGUAAAUCAACAAAAUCUUUAAUAAAAUAAAAAUAAAUAAAUAAAUAAAUAAAUAACCUUUUUAGACACCAGGGAAUUUCAGUCUGAAUUAUUCCCAACAGAAAGGACUCUGGGUUUGGGGGGUGGGGGUGGGAAGUACUUUUAAACAUUUUUUUCAAUUCGUUAUUGAUCAUUUCCCAAUACUCUUUAACCCUUUUAAAAGUCCACCACAUAUGAAAGAACGUUCCCUGCACCUCUUUGCAUCUCCCAACACUUGCCUGAUUCAGUCUUACACAUCUUAGCAAGCCUAAAAGGUAAAGGGACCCCUGACCAUUAGGUCCAGUCGUGGCCGUCUCUGGGGUUGCGGCGCUCAUCUCGCUUUAUUGGCCAAGGGAGCCGGCGUACAGCUUCCGGGUCAUGUGACCAGCAUGACUAAGCCGCUUCCGGCAAACCAGAGCAGCGCACUGAAAUGCUGUUUACCUUCCUGCCUGAGUGGUACCUAUUUAUCUACUUGCACUUUGACGUGCUUUCGAACUGCUAGGUUGGCAGGAGCAGGGACCGAGCAACGGGAGCUCACCCUGUCACAGGGAUUCGAACCGCCGACCUUCUGAUCGGCAAGUCCUAGGCUCUGUGGUUUAACCCACAGCGCCACCCAUGCCCCUUUUUAGCAAGCCUACUUGGAGUUAAAUACCACCUGUGAGUCAUUUUCAGGUAGUUCUCCCAACUUGGAUCUUUGAUGGAGCUUCUGCUCCCAUACCAGCCUGUGAACCUGCUGAGCUCUGCAGCUGAUGCCCUCUGGGUUGUUCUGCAUCCAACCUCCAGGGAAAGGCCUUAUCCUGCAGCGAUGCCCAAAUGCCCUCCACCUUGAAAUAUGAUUGGCAUUGAUGCUGAUUAGUUUUCGGCACCCGUGGAAAAUCCAUCUCUCCCAUCAGAUCUUUACGGCAGGUUGAUUGCCUGGCCAGGUUUUGAUUAUGCCUGUUACUGCUGCUCUCUUCUUGUGGUUUUAAUGUUUAUGCUUGUGUUGGGUAGCUUUUCAUUCAUAUUAUUGUAUGCUGCCCCCGGAGUGCAUUGUGAUGAAAAAUAGGUUACAAAUAUUUUAAAUAAAUAAGAUGAGAUAAAAUCACGAGAGAUGAAUGUUGAGGUAGUCUGGCUGCAAAAAUAUCCACCCCUGCAUUUCCUACUUUUAGUUUGCCUUUGGGUGACUCAUUUUUUGUACAAUUGUACACCUCAGAGGCAGAUGCUUUAUGUAUGAGUACUACAUGUAUUUUUAGUGUACCUCAUUGGGUCAGCUACAAGGCUAGGGUCUUUGGGUUUAUGAAUGAGGAAAAUUGAUAAUUGAUGGGGGCUAUUUGGUUGUGGGGUUUUUUUGCAGAAGCAAAGAAAGUGAAACAGCUAAAUAACAGAAAUCUGCAUUUAUUGGAGGAGCAUGUUUUGUAUACCGUAUUAUUCGCUCGAUAGGAUGCACUUUUCCCCCUCCAAAAAUUGAGGGGAAAUGUGUGUGUGUCCUAUGGAGCAAAUGCAGGCUCCCUCCGCGCUCCAAAGGCUUCGCGUUGCUUUCCCUGCAGCCUGGUUUCCUUCGCGUUGCUUUCCCUGCAGCCGACCCCUCUCGCUCUCCAGGCUACAGGGAUAGUCGUGCGCAGCCCCUUCCCUCCCCCCUGGCAGGGAGAGGCUGCACAUGGCUAUGGCUUCUUUAGCCUCGCGCAGUCUCUUCCGGCAGGGAGAGGUUGCGCGGGGCUAAAGAGGAAGCCAAAACAGCGAGCGGGAUGGAUCCCGCUGGCUGCCUUGGCUUGUGCCAUAGCCGCGUGCAACCCCUCCGGGAGGGAGAGGUUGCUCGCAGCCUGUACGCUGCUCUUUGGGGCUGGGGGGGAAAUAAGAUGUUUUUUUCUUGACCCCCCCCCUAAAAACUAGGUGCGCCCUAUGGUCCGGUGCGCCCUAUGGAGCAAAAAACACGGUAAUAGUAAGUUCCUGUGAAAAGUUCUGUUAACAGUGAAGCAAGUUUUGCAAGAUAAAAAGCACCUCAGAAAAUAGAAAGAUAACAUUUCGUCGGAACAAAUCUCAUUGCAGCAGUUUGUAUGCCAAUGCCUGCGCAGGCUGUUGUUGGUUUUUUGCACCUCAGAAACACAGCACAAAAUGUGACAGACAGACAGAUGUCCCAGAAUACAGUGCAAAAUGAUUGGGAAGAAGCCUGCCGUAGUUGGGCAGCAACCAACAAGAGGCCAUUGCUGGCUGGGCCACAGACACCUCUGGGCCACUCCUCUCUGUGGUAUGGCAAAUUGAUAGUUCAGAGUAUCAUCCGCCUAUUAUGGUACGCAUGUAGUUCAGGAAGCACAUCUGCUUAUAUAGAUGCUUUGCUUGAAAGGAAAUCCACGUAGCCUGUGAUUAAGAAAGCAGAGCAUGUGGGUAUCAUGUGCAUAUAAGCAACCGCUUAAGGCCAGGUCAACAAAUUGUCCCAGGAGCCUACUGGUCUGAUAAGAAGGGCCGUAAAAACUGAGUUUACACAGUUGCAUGGACCAGCCAAGAGUUUUCCUUAAUUCACCUGGGAAGCUCUUAGUUCCUACCCAAAGUCUUACAGUCGCAACCGAUGCAAAGGCGAGAGUCUGAGGGGAUUUCUGUAGUUCGCACUGAUUUAACAAUCUCUCUGUUUCCACUUCCCAGGGAAUGACCGGGGGACGGGACGGGACGACAGCAGGGUUAUAGCCUAGUUGGCCCAGCAGUGGGGCAACAGACUGCAACAAUUAGCAGCAGGUUUCUGCUAGCCACCCAAUUUCCCCUAAUGUCCAAUUUCCCCAUAUGCCUCAAUUCAGCAUCACUUGGGGGUAGUUCUGUUUUUCUAGAAGAAGUGAUGCUGGAACUCAUCAUGGACCUUGUUCUCUUAGAAUGGCAAUGGCGCCCACCUGAGAGGUGCCAGAACUGAGUUCCUGUGAGUUCCUCCUUUUAAAAAGCCCUGCUUGUGGGGAGUGUGGAAAAUUUAACACGGUGGGCGGCUUCUCAGACUUGCCCCACUCCCAGCAGCUACCUAAUGCCUUACACUUCUGAAAGUGAGGCUAGGGAUCCCCAACGGAGGAAUCUCAGUUUUACUUCUGUUGUGCCAUAUGGGUCACUUUAAGAAAGGAAUUUUGUAUCUGUUGAUUGUCAACACCUGUCACUCGAAUCAAUAUUGUGCUUGUCCAAUAUAACCCUACUCUGUAAAAGUUGUUGCUUACAGCAGCUACUACUACGCUAUAAGAUCCACUGUCCUGUGAUAUCAUAUAUGGUAUGUAAGGUUGUUGAAGGUUCUUAUAUUAUUUUUGCUGUAAAAAUGCGUGAGAUUACGAUAUUGUAUUUAUUUGUAUUACCUAGAGACAUAGCUGUCAACUUUUUCCUUUUUUUAAGGGAAAUUCCCUUAUUCCGAAUAGGGUUCCUCGCAAGAAAAGGGAAAGGUUGACAGCUAUGCCUAGAGUUUGUACUACUGAUGAAGCCCAGGAUGGCGAAACAAGGCUAAUAUUCAGGAAAUCCUUGUCUUAGAGUCUGUGAAAGGAUUCUGUGGAACUGUAACAACCUUUCAUGUGGAUUGUUGGACUCUAUGAACACACAGAUGGAAUAGACACUUAUACAUAUAUGGACCUUAUGCAUAAACUGAUUAGAGAAUGAACUGAUCCACUGGGUCUUCUACUUUUUUUGUUGAACUUUAUGAGCUACUUCUGUUGAAUUCUACAAUUCAAUACAAUGAAUAGUAUAUAUUAUUUUUUCAAACGUACAGCCAGUUACGUCUUGUGUGUUUAUUGAAAUUAUUUAAUCGUAGCCGAGCUCUGAUACUGGAAACGAGCCCAGCAAGAUGGAAAUCACCUAGGGGGUGAUGGCUGUGGGGCUGGAGCAACGGGUGUGGGCUGUUCUAACAUUGGGCAAAUGAGGAUUUGACUCUCCUUGCCUUCUGGGGGUAUCCCAAACCACACUGACUUUUUAAAAAAACAAACAAACCUCAAAGCUGUUUACAAAAGGAUAAAGCCAUAAAAUCAAGGAAAAAUGUACAACCCUACUUUAAAACUUACAAAAGUUAAAUCAAAGAAAACAGAUUUAAAAACAACCCAAUGUUUUAAGCAUCUUGGUAGGCUUGCCUAUACAAGAACGUUUUUAGCAGGUGCCAAAAAGAGUGCAGGGAAGGCAUUUGCUGAAUCUCAAUAGGCAGGGAGUUCCCAAAGUGCUACCACACUAAAUGAUCAAAUUCUUACAAAGGUGGAAUGAGUAAUAUCAUACCCUCCCAACAUUUCUCUGAUGAAAAAUAGGGACGUCCCAUUCCACAAUGAUAAUUUUACUAUUUAUACCCCCCACAUCUUACUGGGUUGCCCCAGCCACUCUGGACAGCUUCUAACAUAUAUAAAAACAUAAUUAAACUGUUUUUUUUAAAAACAAACAAACCACAAUUCCCUAUACAGGGCUAGGGACGCGGGUUGCGCUGUGGGUUAAACCAUGGAGCCUAGGACUUGCCGAUCAGGAGGUCGGCGGUUCGAAUCCCCGCGACGGGCUUCCAAUAUAUGUAAAAACAUAGUAAAAUGUGAAACAUUUUUUUAAAAUUCCCUAUCCUUCAGAUGUCUUCUACAAGUUGUAUAGUUACUUAUCUCCCUGGCUCAGGGGUGUGUCUCAAAACGUCAUACCCUCCAACAUUUCUCCGAUGAAAAUAGGGACGUCUUAAAGAAAACCUAAGGGACGUGGGUGGCGCUGUGGGUUAAACCACAGAGCCUAGGGCUUGCCGAUCAGAAGGUUGGUGGUUCAAAUCCGCGCAACGGGGUGAGCUCCUGUUGCUCGGUCCCUGCUCCCGCCCACCUAGCAGUUCAAAAGCACGUCAAAGUGCAAGUAGAUAAAUAGGUACCGCUCUGGCGGGAAGGUAAACGGCGUUUCCGUGCGCUGCUCUGGUUCGCCAGAAGUGGCUUAGUCAUGCUGGCCACAUGACCUGGAAGCUGUACGCCGGCUCUCUCGGCCAAUAAAGUGAGAUGAGCGCCGCAACCCCAGAGUCGGCCACGACUGGACCUAAUGGUCAGGGGUCCCUUUACCUUUAUACAGGGCUGCCUUCAGAUGUCUUCUGAAGGUUGUAUUGUUACUUUUCUCCUUUACUCGCAAGUCGCACAACUCCAUACACUCCAGCAUUUCUCCAGUGAAAACAGGGACAUCCUAAGGAAAAGCGGGACAUUCCAGGAUCAAAUCAGAAACUGAGACGGCUUCUCUAAAUCAAGGACUGUCCCUGGGAAAUAGGGGCACUCGGAGGGUCUGUAAUAUGUGGCACAUGUAGUAAUGCCAAAUCCACCAACUGAAGCGGUCAAGUGAGCACAUGCGGGGUAUGGCAAUCUCAUAGGUAAACUGGUCCCACGUUGUUCAGGGUUUUAUAUACUGUUGCACGCCACCCCAAUCUCUGAGCCGUGCCAGCUUAUGCAGGGUUCAUGCUUCCUUUGGAAUGAAGGACAGUGGAGGCUAUGGUGUCUUUUUGCUGUCUGUAUUUUUCAUCUGGCACAGAGCCACUUCCUUUGUUACUUUAAUGGACCAUACUUAGAGGGCCAUUAGCUCACCAGGAAGCUAGCCUGGCUAUUCCAACAAUUAGAAUGUGGCUCGAGCAUGCAGCCUGGCCUGCCCCAAACUCAUAACAAUACAGUGGUACCUCAGGUUACAGACGCUUCAGGUUACAGACUCCACUAACCCAGAAAUAGUACCUCAGGUUAAGAACUUUGCUUCAGGGUGAGAACAGAAAUCGCCCGGCGGUGGUGCGGUGGCAGCGGGAAGCCCCAUUAGCUAAAGUGGUACCUCAGGUUAAGAACAGUUUCAGGUUAAGAACGGACCUCCAGAAUGAAUUAAGUUCUUAACCUGAAGUACCACUGUACAGUUGUACCUUGGAUCUUGAACACCAAUCAGAAGCCGCGCUUUGGUUUCCGAACAUUUUGGAAGUCAAACAGACUUCCGGAACGGGUUCUGUUCGACUUCCAAGGUACCACUGUACAGUCUUCUUACAAACCUCUUCUUACAUCCGCAUCCGCUCAUGUCCUUUUUGCCCAACACCCAUGGCAAACCCGGAAGUAACUGGCAGGUUUGCCGCCGUUCACACAUGCGCAGAAGUGGGCAAUCACCGUUCGCACAUGCGCAGAAGCGGGCGAUCGCCGCCUGCGCACAACGGUGCCUCUCCCAGCAACCCAUUUCAACUUUUGGACGGGCCUCCGGAACAGAUUGUGGCCGUGAGUAGAGGUUCCACUGUACUAAUAGCAACACCUCGAAGCCAGCCCAGUAGCAAAUCAGCAGCCCGUUCAGAUCUCUGCACGCAGGUGUUACAUGGUGACAAGGCCUCACACCUGUCAGCAAUCGUGCUUCAGCUUCCAGGUUGACUGCAAGAGAAGGGCCACAUACAGACACUGGCAGAAAGAUUCCUGCAUUGCAGGGGGUUGGACUCGAUGACCUCUGUGGUCCCUUCCAACUCUACAAUUCUAAGAUUUGUGUGAAUGGGUAAACCCAGCCUUAAAUAAAAGGGGCUUCUUCCAUCAUGUCUCAUUUGGCUUCAGAAAGCUCUCAUGUCCCAAGCAAGCCACUAAUAUGUUAAGAAAUGUUAGUAGUAUUGGGAUACCACAGGGGUCCUCCCUCCACAAUUCCCGCCCCCCCAAAUGUAAUAGUCCCAGAACAGCUUAAAGGGAUUGGGCACAUUGGAAGUAAAUAUCUCAGUGACAUUUUGCGAAUUGUGUGAAGUUGACUGGGGAUAAAAGGAGCCUUCAUUUAAACGCCGGUUCUCCGUUCUUUGUCAUGCUCAUAAAAGUUAAAACGGAGUAAAAGCCUUAACAUGUGUAAUAAAGUAAUGUUCUGCCUUAAAGAUUGCACGACCCGUUCUCCGUGCCAGAAAAUGCUAUUUGCUGCAAUGCAUUUGCUGAGCAGAAAAGGACUUUUAACGCACGUGGAGGCAAAAGUCAGCAAUUUUUCCAAAGGCUGCAGAGGAAUUAAAACACCUCACCCAGAAGACCCAGCCUUCUCCAUCAAUAUAAUAAACCACCAAGGCAAGGCUGUCUCCCGCUUUACUGGUGGUUCAUAAGCACCAAAAGGCAAAUGAACUGAGAGAGCUGGAUUUAAUGUUCAGCCUCUCCAAGAGACACUGUCACUCAGUGUCACCUUUUUAAAAAUGCUGACAAAUGUUUCGGCACAGGGGUUGUGUGCCUUGCAACUUCAGAGGUUUGCCGCUGAGCCUUUUGACAGGUACCCCUGAGAUCUUUUCCACUUCCGGAAUCUGAAGGCAAGAACCAAGUCACCUCUGCAGCAAACCUUGACUUCAGCAAAGUUCAUGAACCACCAUGUUAGUGCAUAUUCAAAUGUACAGUUUACUUGAAAGUUGCGCUCUUUGAUCUCCAGAGUUGCUUUGAUGCCUCUGCAGACCUCCCAGCAAGCUAGGCUUCCCUAUUCCUUGCAGUGGGGAUGUGUGUGAAGAAUUCCUCCUCCUGGAGGAAAGGGGGAAGACUCUCUUUUAAUGGGAACUGUGUAGGGCCAGGAAUACGCAGAGCUGCUCCCACACUACCCGAUACCAUACCCUCCAAUAUUUCUUCGAUGAAAACAGGGACAUCUAAUAUUAGUAGUAGUAGUAGUAGUAGUAGUAUACCCUGCCCACCUAACUGUGUUGCCCCAGCCACUCUGGGCAGUUUCCAACAUAUAUAAAAACAUAAUCAAACACACAAAGAAACACAGAGCUCCACAACAGGUUAAGGCUCACUCUCCUUCUCUCUCCUUCUGUCACUCUUUUCUGCCUAAUCUGUGUAAAACUGCCAAAGGUUUGUCCCUCUGUAAAACACACACACACACAUACCCCUCUCAGAACGAGGUUGUGGGCUUUGUUUGUUUGUAUGUUGUUGUUGUUGUUUUAAAAGCAAGGAUGAUGAGAAUUUUGAGUCUGGUGUUGCUCUAAUUACCUGAGGACGCGUGCAUGCCGUUUACUAGAAUAUAUUUUGGAUUAAUACAUUUAUUGUUGUUUUUUCUGCAAUCCAGUUGAGUCUCAUAGAGCAGCUGCAAUAGCCUCUGACUAAUUGGCUUUACCAAAGGCUACCUGCUGAGAGCAUCUGCCAGGACUUCCAUUCUCCCCAAAAUGCUUCAUCUCAGAAUUGCAGGCUGUAGGUUUUGAUCAUUUGGCCUCACAAACAAACAAAAAAAUCCAUAUUGAUAUCUCUUUUUAAAAGAAGAAGAAGAAGAAGAAGAAGAAGAAGAAGAAGAAGAAGAAGAAGAAGAAGAAGAAGAAGAAGAUUUGAUAUCGUACUCAUUCAAAACAAAAGUGUCCUGGACUUCCGGUGAGGCAAACUGAUGAGCCCCUAAGGACUGCCAGCACCAACAGCGCUGCCUGGCUAGUCCCCAUGCCUCACCCUACCCCCCUCCUCUCCCCCCCCCCACUUCUUCCCCAACCUUAUACUGUACAGUGGUACCUCGAGUUACAGAUGCUUCAGGUUACAGACUCCGCUAACCCAGAAAUAGUACCUGGGGUUAAGAACUUUGCUUCAGGAUGAGAACAGAAAUCGGGCGGGGGCGGCACGGCAGCAGUGGGAGGCCCCAUUAGCUAAAGUGGUGCUUCAGGUUAAGAACAGUUUCAGGUUAAGAACGGACCUCCAGAACGAUUUAAGUUCUUAACCCGAGGUACCACUGUACUCAGCACUAAUGUCUCACUACAAAUGUAACUGAUUUGUAAGAAACUUUACAACCUGGAAAAAAGAGACAAGGCAUGUACUUUUAUAAACCAAGAAAAUAUUUAUAAAAAAUUAUUUUUAUUUUUAAAGUGUCCUCGCUUUGGUUUGAAAACAGGUGACAUUUUGAAAUCUGGACAAAACCAAAGCUUAGGCGUAAUUUCAGGUGAUUGGAUCUUUUGUCCAGGGUUUCAGGCAGGGGACAUUCCCAGUCCUUCCGAGAGAUGGCAAGGAUCGAACCUGGGACCUUCUGCAUGCAAAGGAGAUGCUCCAACACUGAGCCAUGUCACUUCCUGUACAAAACUUCCUGGCUAUAGGCCCAGCUGUGAAAACGUUGCUGCAGUUCUUUGGAAGUGCAGAAAAGCCCUUCAAAUGUGACAUUAGCCAUCGAUUUCAGGUUCCUAAGGACCUCGACUUUCUUUUUAAAACAAUGUAGAGCAGCUUUAUGGCCCCUUAUUAUUGUGGAGAUAUGCUUGAAAGUGCCUGGCCAGCGCUUGAAGAAAUUUCAGAAUCCGGAGGGGAGGCUGGAUAAGAUCUCCGCAGGUCAGGGGGCAAGGCCUGGCAUUGCUCUUUGCCCAGUUCUGUGGUGAAUGGGAGCAGAUCAAAUUACAGAAAAUAAGCAGGCAUAUGCAAAGUUCAUCCAUUUGCAUGAUUUAUACGUUGGCGGAAUUUGGAUUUUUAAAAUAGAACUCCCAGUUAGUUUGGCGGAGACUUUGACGCGUGCAUGAGUGUGAAUUUUAAAGCGUUGCCUACGCAGUUCCUGAUUAUUACUGCACCCGAAACCCCUCCAUCCUUGAUCCGGCCUGGAGGACAGAAUGAACCAGAGGCUCUUGUUGUUUCGUUUUCAUACUGCUUUUCCCAUCAAGUAGCUGAGCUGUUCAAAACCACCUUUGAACUGGUGUACCGUCGAUGCCACUUAUCAGUGGAUUGCUUUGUUAGAACGUUGUGCAAUAAAUAAAAAAAAUACAUGCAGCAAUGUCCGGAUUUGUACACAGGGGGCCAGGCUUGGAAAUUCUAUUUGCCGGCAAUGUGACCUCAAUACAGGAAGCUUAGAGCAGUAAACUCCCCCUGACAUUCCACUGCUCAGUGAAAAUCAGAAUCAAAUGCAGCCUUAACCUUAAUGUGACCCACGGGAAAUUACUGGAACCCGGAGCCAUCCUUGCCUUUGCCCUGUCUCAUCCGUAGCUUCUUGGCAAAAAUACGCUAGCUUGCAACAGUAAUUCUCUUGUGGAGCAUCUGUUUGCUGGCUGCGAGCCAUGGCUCUUCUGGUGUAUAUUUUAUUUAUAAGCGAUCUUUUAUCAGGAGUCGAGUACAUGUAGAACACCUAUACGCAAGGUGUCUAAUUACAAGUCGUUGGGGGCUUUUCUUUUUUUGGGGCAGGACAUGGGGGCGUUUGCAGGAUUAAAGUGAAGGGUCCCUGUUUAAGGUGCUGCUAUGAAUUGGCAGCUUCCCUCUCUUCGGCCAUCAUCUAAAAUGCCUGCCAAUUAAUAGCAUGCCUCUUCGUUGAUAGCAUGCCUCUUCGCUGAGCUUUGUAAAAAUAAGAAUAAGCGUCAAGACGUAGCAAGCCAACUACUCAGAAUAUUGGCACUCUGGAUGAGCAUUAAACUUGCUUGUUCCUCAUCAGUUGGGAUCCUUAUAUGUUGUUGAAAAUUCUACACACAUUUUGCAGAUUAUUCUAAGACAGAGCUCCUUCCAGAAGACAUGAAAAGUCUUGAUAUUGAAGGGGGUGCUUGAUAUUCUUUGGCCAAAUCAGUUUUUCCUGAGCAGUGUCUCAUUAAGAGCUGGGAUACUCCAUGCUCCAUUGUGUCCUGAUCAGGGAUUUAUCACCAGAUUUUGCUGUGAUAGCGUUAGUCCUUCAUUAAAGAUCAACCCUGCAAGAAUUCAUCCUGUGAAUUCGCAGUUUCGCUUCUUAUCCAAGUGUACACAACUUGUGAGUUGAGCUUUUUAAGCUUCCAUAUAAACACAAGGGGGGAAAGUUGGGCUGUCCUUCACAAGAAAAGGAACCACAGAGAAAACAGAGUUACCAAUAAAAUGCUCAAAAUGUUGUUGUUGUUUAGUCGUUUAGUUGUGUCCGACUCUUCAUGACCCCAUGGACCAGAGCACACCAGGCACUUCUGUCUUCCACUGCCUCCCGCAGUUUGGUCAGGCUCAUGUUGGUAGCUUCGCGAACACUGUCCAACCAUCUUGCCCUCUGUCGUCCCCUUCUCCUUGUGCCCUCAAUCUUUCCCAACAUCAGGGUCUUUUCCAGGGAGUCUUCUCUUCUCAUGAGGUGGCCGGAGGGUGAACUUGGGAACUUCUGUACGCAGAGCAGAAGCUCUGCUACUGACCUUCUCUCUCUCACACUCAUUCUCUCACACAAACAAUCCUGGAUUUCCCUUCUGGCUGGAGAAAGGCAGAUCCUUAUCCAACCCAGCAGGGACAGCAAAUCCCUUUGAAAGCAGAGGUUGUGCUGGCGACAGGCCUAGAGCAGAUCUUCUUUGGAGAAGAAGCAUCCCGGCUGCAGAGUUCAUAAAAGCUAAAAAGAAAAAAGAUUGGGCUAGUACCCUGUUGAAGCAAUUAUCAGUUGAUGACUCAUGUAAGUUUUAAUCUGCUAAUUAGUAGACCAAAUAUGCAUACUUAGCAUAUGACUAAAGCAGUUGCUUUGGUGGUGGGACGUUCCUGAGGGAGGUGGUUAAGUUAUGCAUGUGCACUGCAUGGCCCCGGAAUAGGGAAACUGGACCUCCAAAAUGUCGCUGGACUACAACCCCCAUCAUUGCUGGCCAUCAGCUAGGCUGGCUGGGGCUGGUGGGAGUUGGAGUCCAGCAUCUGGAAUGCUAAGUGUGCAUAUUUGGUCCACUAAUUAGCAGAUUAAAACUUAUAUGAGUCACCAACUGAUAAUGGCUUUAAUAAUUGCUUCAGGUGAGAGUUCCCAAAGAUGGUUGGGUUUUUUUCAAGUGCUUGCUUUUGCCUGGUGCACUUUUUUGACUCUUAAGUGCACUUUGACUUUUGACUUGAUCAAAGUUGGGUGCACUUUUUGACUUUUAAGUCGUAUGGUUUCCAUUGAACUGGCUAAAUGCCUCACCUGCGGAUGCCUGCGAUUGACCUUCUGCAUGCAAGGCAGAUUCUCCACGACUGAGUUGUGGCUGCUCCCCAGCCAAAUGUGGCCAUCAACUAACUUUGGGGUACAAUGUAAUAAUAAUAAUAAUAAUAAUAAUAAUUCAUUUAUACCCCGCCCAUUUGGCUUUCAACAAAGUAUUAAAAUAUAGUAGUCUGUUAAACAUUAAAAGCUUCCCUAAACAGGGCUGCCUUCAGGUGUCUUCUAAAAGUCUGGUAGUUGUUCUUCUCUUUGACAUCUGGUGGGAGGGCGUUCCACAGGGCGGGUGCCACCACCGAGAAGGCCCUCUGCCUGGUUCCCUGUAACUUGGCUUCUCGCAGUGAGGGAACCGCCAGAAGGCCCUCGGCACUGGACCUCAGUAUCCGGGCAGAACAAUGGGGGUGGAGGUGCUCCUUCAGGUAUACUGGACCGAGGCCAUUUAGGGCUUUAAAGGUCAGCACCAACACUUUGAAUUGUGCUCGGUAGGAAGGGUUGGAUGCAGGGGGGAAAUGGUCCCAGGUGAUUAUCUGAAGGCACAUGAGAGGGCUCCAGUUUGCUGAUGCUCAGCAGGUCUGGGUCUGGUCAGUGAGUGAGUUGAUGGGAGACCUCCUGGCUGCCUCGUGUGUACUGCCUUGGAUUCCAGGCAGGUGGAAUGCAAAUGCAGGAAAAUAAAAUAAAGCAAAUAUAUGCCUGGGCACGCUUUGCUUUAGCAGUUGUGUGAUUUGUGUAAUGUAGCCUUGACCUUUUGUUUCAGCCGCGAUGUGUUGUAAUUGCCUCUCUUUGAGCUAAGCAUCUACUUACGGCCUGUCUGUUGUUGUUGUUUUUAACAGCCUCGUCAGAGAGCUCUUCGUAAACCGUUGCCAGCCUCUGAAGCUGCCGCCCUGCCAGAUGAUUCCGAAAUGAACUUUUUUCUCCACGAGAAAUCAAACAGAAAUACGGCAUGAAGCGAUGGCACUGCCAAAAGAAGACCACUCUCGAGAACUGGAGGAGUAGCCAAAGCCCAACCCGUCUCGACAGCGGGAUAAAACAUGAAGAAUCUUCGUUUGCUCGGGGGAUUGAAAUAAUGGUGCUGACUUUCUCUGGCUUGUCAUUGGUGGACGCUUUAUGCUGGAAAACCUGCUUCUGAUACUCAUCACUGUGCAUAAACUCCAUGUUCCCAUCAGGGAACUCUCUGACCUUCACUAAAAGUUCUGGGUUUGGGGAUUCCGUUUUAGGUUUUUUUGGGGGGGAGGGGCGGUUCUUUAGCAUGACAAUACUGGAUUAUAUUAUGUAUGCAGACGGCAUGAUGUUUAUGGGAUGGGUUGGGCGGGAUGUUCCAUCUCUGCGAACUCACUGGAAAUGUUCACAAUUAUCCUUGCUCCCUGAUAGGAAUGUCGGCAUAUCCUGUAUGUGUUAGUGAUGCAGCUGAAUGGUAAAUUCCAUCCUAUGGUAUCGGCAUUCCAUACGUGAUCUCCACACAGAUGUUCUCACGGAUUUGGUUGUGCUGUGGGAAACUUUCUGAGGACACAUCUGUUAAAAAUGAGUUUCAUGGAUCUCCCUUUCACUAGGAUUGUACCUUAAGUCUAGCUCAUGAUUUGCAUCCUUCAUCGAUUCCUGCAAGUUUGGUCUGGUAACUUGUCUGGAUGUUGUUAGGCUAUUUUGACACUUUACUUAUAGAAGUAGUAGAAUGAGAGCACGUACAUUUCUUUGCUGCACUAAUUCCUCCCACUACCACCACCCCCCAAAAAAAAUGACAAGUAAGACUCUGUUGUUUUGAUGCAUGUUCAAUAAUAGAGGGGAAGAAAAUAAUCUCAGAUAAAAAAGAUUGCUCUCUCGUUGCAAGAACCCCUUGUUUUUGAUGAUGAAGACAGCUGUAUCAUUGUAAAAACAGUGAGGCAAUUCCCGAAGCAUCCUCAUCACACUGGGUGAAAGCAUCUUUUCCUUUCUUUUUAUCCUUAUGGGGUUUUUAUUUCAAAAUAUAUGCAUUGUUUCCAGGGUGACCUCUGGAAAACCUGCAUUCAUCUGCAGCAAAAGCCAGCUGUACAGAGUACUGAUUGGCUAGCGCAUGGAACGCCAUGAACACCACCUGACCGCCCGCUUUUUCUCCCUGGAAACUGGAUGCUCGCCAGUUUUUAACAGGAGAAAAAUGGGAAAAGGUGAACCUAGAGAUGAAUACACUUACAUAUGCUAUUUUAUAAUAAAAUAUAUCCCCCCAAAAAAAACAACAACAACCCCACACUCUUUGGAAACAGGACUAAUUGCUUGAUCCAGGGCUUGACUUGUAGGCGAGGAAGUUCUUGAGACCACUGUUUAAACGUUAUGUCUGUCUUCACCAUUAGAAGCAAUUUGUGCCGAUGGUCAACAGUAAGAAUACUUGGGGGACAGGGAAAUGACUACCUUACCCUUUUUGUUUUUAGGUACAUGGAGAAAUUUUGCAGAUUAUGAUGUUGCAAGUUUAGGAAUGAAGACUGCAGUUAUUUAUAGGAUGGUAAAAUUAACCACCAAUCACUUCCAAGUCUCUUUGGAGGACUGAAGCUUUCAGUAAAGCAGAGCUUUCGCAAAUGUGUUCCUGAGCAGGUCAGUCCAGUGACAUUUUCUUCCUUUGACCAGCUCAGUCCCUGGGCUUCACACCUUCCUUCCAUCAUAUGUGCCAUAUUGUCCUCAGAUCUCUCUUGGGUUAGCCUGAUAACUCACUGGCAGUAGAGUAAGCCAAAAUCCCAAAGGCCACAGAUAUUUUGGAAUUCUUCAAUAGAGUGUCAAGGAGCUAUCUAUUGAACUAUGUUCUGUUUUGAAUCAGAGCUGUCCCUUUUUCAGCUUAAGCCUCUUGCUGUCAUAAAAUGCUGUCUUACUAGCAAAACUGUUUACUUUCAACAUAACUGUAGCUGGCUCGAGACUGUUGCAUCUGCACUGAACUUAGCUCAGCACCGUUCGCUUUCUAGGUUGCCAAAGCAGAGCGGCUUAAUUUCCAUCCAUAAAAGUGCUUUCCAUCACGUUUCCUAUUGGAAACAAAACUUUCAGUAGUGAAAGAUAAUGGUAGCAUCCAUAGGAAACCCAAAGGUCUAGAUCCUCCUAGACCCUAAAUCAAGAGAUAGGAACUCUGCAAUUGAUCUCUCUUUCUCCCACCUGAUAGACUGUUACACAUGCCAAGUGACUUUGAAUAUAUAUGAACUUCCAUGUAAUUCAUACGUUGAACCUUGUCAAUCCUACAAGUUGCACCUUAAGAAACCAGCUGUUCUGUGAGCACACAUGGAUCUUGAACUCCUCACCUCUUUUCCUUCUUGUGAUCACUUGCGAUUUACACUUGUAAUCACUUGCCAUUGGCAGCCCAGAUGCAGCAAUGACUUGUGGACUGGGCAGCCUUCACAAAAGAACCCAAGAAACUCAGCGUCUACGCAUUUGCUAAAUCAAGACUGGCCAUCUCAGCAUAGCCUUACGGCGGUUGCGUGAAAUUGCUAUGGCUGACCUGCUUUGAGGAAGAAAUCAAAACCCAUAUGGAUUUAGUAAGCAUCUCACUUUGUCCUGGUCAAGCACUUGUAUCACAUUGCCAACGUUUUCUCAAUCUGGCCCUUGAAGCUUGACCAUAUUUCUGUUAUUAGGUUCUUCAUUUGUGAUUUCCCACACAGAUGAUUUAGUGUGUUCUGUACCUGGAGGAAAGAGUCUUUCUGAAUAAAAAUCAUGUCCCAAGCAUCUGCAUUGUUGUGGGAGGGGGUGGGUUGCAAUGCUUUGUGAUGUCCAUGCAGAAAGUUCACAUCCUGGUAUUUCAAGCCAAUUCCGACUGCUUUUCUGGUGCUGUGGCAUUGUUCCUGUCUGCUGAGCUUGACAGCAGCUGCUGGUUUAGAGGUGUAAAAACAUGACAUGAAAGUUCCCUAGGAAGGGGACAGGUGUGUUUUGCAGAAGUAGUUGAAGACCACAGGUUUUACUCAGGGUCAACCCACUGAAACGAAUGAACGCUGGGUCCAUUAAGUUCAGUGAGUCUAGUCGUGAGUAAAAGGCAGUUGACUACCACCCCGGGACAAUGUGGUUGAACUUGGCUCUUCCAUAAAAAUAAUCAAUUGCCCUUUGUAUUAUACAAUACAGUCGCUGAUACUAACUCCUGUAUGGGACCAUGUCUACAACCAGUGCCUCAGAUUAUUAUUGACUAGUGAUGAACCUACUUCUGUGUGUGCUGAGGGGAACUAACUGGUUUCCUUGCGCACUCUCUCAGCACUUUCCUCUUCCACCAGCAGCUGUUCGUUGCGUGUACAGCCUUCGAGCAUUAUCAGACUCCCUUGGUAAUCCAUGUGUAGACUCUCAAUAAAGUGUUAAUGUAAAAGAAGAAGAGGAGGAGGAGGAGGAGGAGGAGUCCUGAUCAGACCCAAAGACCCAUCUUUGGUCCAGCAUUUGGUUUCUAACUCUGACCAGCCAGUCACCUCUAGAAGCUCAGGGUGUGAAGGCCUCCUUCAUUGUUUGUCUCCAGCAUCAGGAAUUUAAUUAAUCGACCACCCUGAUCUGUCGUCCUUUUCCCUCAGGGUUAGAUGGGCUGGUUUCUGAAUCCUGUAUGAAAGAAUUACAAAAAGGAGAGAAAAGGCAUUUGCAGGCUCAACAUGCAGAGAACAUCCUUUGCAAGAUUUCCCCUUAGUGAAGCUCCUCUCUGGACCCUUUCCAACAUGUCAACAUCUGCCACGCCCCUCGCUGAACUUCGGGUGAUAUUUAGCUAAGUUUUGCACAGAGUAGUCCCAUUUAAAUUAAUGGACCAAAUUUAAUCGAAUACCGCCCAUAGUUCUCUAGCUGUCAUCUCCCUGCAGCGAUUUUCCUAUUAUGUAUCUUGAGGAACUCUUUACAUGCUGACUUGCGUGCUGAAGACACCUACCAUUAAAUCCUUGUGUGUUGCAACAAUGGUGCAUGUUCUCAGUCCAUGCGGGGCACUGGCUGGGCCUGUUAGGUCUCAUCAUGGGCCCUUGUGAUUUGAGGAAGCACACCCAAUAGGGGAAGCUGAGUGGUGGUGGCAGCUAAGCUGUUUUUCAGGAAAUUGUGCCUGCCAUUGUUGACCCAACUCAUUAACCUCCUGAGGAACACCAGGGGAAUUUUAAAGCACAGUUUGAAGUUAGAUCUUCCUCAUAAGCUUCCUCUUCUGUUUUGUGGUGAUUUAAAAAAAUAAAAAAAAAUUCCAAGAUGAUUUCCAGUAACGAAAAAAUAUGUGAGCUGUUAUGUAUUGUUAUAUAGGCCUAGAAACUAAAUGUGUUCUCAGGUAUUACCAUUACCCAAAGAUGAGGGUAAGCACUGGGUAACCAAUAUAAUGGCUGCCAUUUUGUUUGUGUUUGAGGGGUAUACCCACAAGUCUUUGCCAUACUUGCUUCCAUUCCACGGUCACCAUUGUUGGCCUGACUGUCCGUAGUGACACCUUGGGGCACAGACCAGCCAAAAGGACCUUCAAACUCUUCUCCUCAGCUGGGCCCUUUGGGUUUCAAUCAACUGUUCUCAUUCCAGUCCUCUAAAAUGACAAUUGGAAAGUAUGUUUCUGUUGCUCAUGUUUCCUCCGAGGUCUUGGGCAAGGUGGAAUUCAUUCUGAGAUUUGGUCUGGGCAGAAAAGCCCUCAUUUGCAAAAUGACCAUGAGAUCCAAAUAAAGGUCUGAUCAACUACAAUGUA
rnacentral:lncRNA from 1 species